GGUUGCCACUUGCUGCAAAGACUAUGGGAAGCUUGUUACGGUUCAAAGAUACUGAACAACAGUGGCAGAAUGUUUUGGAUAGUGAGAUAUGGCAAUUGGAGGAAGCAGCUGUGGACCUUUUCCCUCAUUUGUAUUUAAGCUAACGAGUUGUCCCCGGAGCUGAAACGUUGCUUCUCAUAUUGUGCUGUCUUUCCCAAAGAUCAUGAGAUAGAUGUAGAAGAAGAGCUUAUUAGGCUGUGGAUAGCGCAAGGUUAUGUUCGCCCAAAUCGAAGAGGGGAGCACUUGGAGCUGGUGGGCCUUGAAUACUUCAACAAUUUGGCAAUGCGUUCCUUUUUUCAAGAAAUACAAAAUGUUGAAGAUUACGAUGGGUUUCAUGAAUAUCUGAAGUGCAAGAUGCAUGACAUAGUGCAUGAUUUUGCACAAUUUCUCACAAAAAAUGAAUGUCGUGCACUUGGUGGAGUUGGAAGGAAUUCAUCGAGUGAAAGAGCCCGUCAUCUAACAAUUUUGAAAGGCACUGAGGAGGAGAUGUUUAGCUCUCGAGUCGUUGAUUUUGGAAGGCUCAGGAGCUUUUUAGCUUUUCUAUUUGAAAGAGUAGUAGUUCCCCAAAAUCUGUUCUGCAGUUUGAAGUGCGCGAGGACUCUGGUUUUAUGUAAUUGUGAGCUAGUUGAAAUCCCAGCCGAAAUCGGAAGAUUGAUUCAUCUUCGGCACUUGGACUUAAGUAUGAAUCCUUUCGUGACACUGCCAGAAGCUAUAUGUGAUCUAUAUUAUUUGGAAACUUUGGAUAUCAAUCAUUGUAAAAAGCUUUCGUGCCUUCCUCAAAGGAUUAAAGGCCUUGUGCACCUGAGGCACCUUUUCAACCAUGUGGCCGAUGAAUUACGUCAAAUUCCACAAGGACUCUGGAAGCUGACGUCACUUUGUAGUUUGACUCGGUUCAUUGUCAGGAGCAACUCUGAUGAUUUGGCAAUUUUAAAGGAUCUGAACCAACUGGAAAGAUUGCACAUUGUAAUUGAAGGAGAAGUAGAUUUUGGGAGUGCGGAGCUCGGAAAGAAAAUCAACAUACGUAAAAUGUCUUUGUUCUUUAGCUUCGAGGCCCACUUUAUAGAAACUCCAAGUUGCAUUGAAAGCGUGGAACCACCUCCACACUUGGAACGACUUGCACUAAUUGGCUAUCCAGGAACUCAGUUACCAAGUUGGCUUGUGACGAAAUCUCACGCCAAUAACUUGACGAAGCUAAUUAUCGACAGGCCCCGCAAUAUCUCAUCCUUGCUUGCCUUGUGGAAGCUAUCAUCCCUAGAAAAGCUUAUCCUCUACAGAGUGGAAGAGCUGGAAUAUUUGGGUAAGGAAUUCUUCGGAGUUACAAAAGCACUGCAUGAGAAUAGUCGUGAUGCUCUUGACACGUUGUCAAACUCCGAGUCAUCAUUCUCAUCUGAAGCAGUGGCAUUUCCGAAUUUGAGAAAAUUACAUUUUCGUCACGUCCUAAAUUGGACAAAUUGGGAAGACUUAAGUGAAGAUGAUGAAAAAGUUGCUGUAUCUAUCAUGCCAUGCCUGGAGGAGCUAAAAAUUUGGAACAGUGAAAAGCUUAAAAUGCUGCCACAUCGCAUCCUCAGAAAGAUACCAUCUCUCAAAAUUUUGGAUAUUCGACGUUGCUCCAAGUUGAGGGAUCGUUAUUCUGACAAAACAGGAGAUGACUGGAUAAAGAUAUCAUACAUUCCUCGAGUUCACAUAUCUGAUAAAUGUUAAUAUGCUCAGGUAUGGUUAUUCACACAUUUUUUUAUGUAUCUACUCAUCUUUGAAGUCAAAUAAUUUACUACUUAUAGAAUUACAACAAACAAAGGCCUGCUUUGUAGAAUAUGACAUGUGCUUAAUAAUGAAUCAAGUGUUAACAGAGCCAUACGUAUAAUGAAAAUAUGAAAUAUUCAUUAAUAAUUUAGAAUGGUUUUUUUUAUUGAGAAGAUGCGAGUCAUUAACUAGUAAAUAUAACACUAAAUUUCUAACAAUAUCUAAUCGUAAACUCUUGAGUUUGGAAUUCCAUUUAUGUCUUGUCUUUUUAUCCUUUUUUUUUUUGCUUUUGUCCUUUGUUUUCCAGAUAAUGCUCAUUGAUGGCUCAAAAUGAAGCUACAGCAGAAGGCAUUGGGGAUCAACCUCUACGUCAACGUUUCACUUGAGUUCAUGUAAAAUUUCAAAUAAUUGUAAAUAUGGUUGAAGAGGCACACCCACUUGCCUUGUUCAAAAUCAUUUGUUGAAAGCAUCUGUAACCUUACCAAAUUUCCAGAUUGAAUUUCAAGUGGUUACACAACUAGUCUUUACUUCGUCAAAUUAUUAUUGUCCUAUUGUAUGUAAGUUUGUAUAGAUUUAAUAAAGAAGAAUGCUUGUACAUUGUGCUUAUCUAUAUAGUGUAUUAUUGACAAUCUAUUAUUAGCAUACUUAUUUUAUGGAAUUAUUCUAAGAAUAACAUGAAUUCAAAUUUUAAAUUCAAAUAAUACACAUGUGGCAUACAUCCAAAACUGUUAGUAAUAAAAGAAAUCACUACACUGUGAGUGCAUAAAAAGUUAAUCUUUAUUCUAAUGGUUAAAAGUUAACAAGUUGACAAAUUAUUCUUUAUCCUGUUUCCUUUCUUUAAAAAAAAUGUUUACAUAGAUAAUUGGAGAAACUCGGACUACAAAAAUGCAUGUGCACUUAAAGGCACCAAAACUCAUGAUACUUUUAUAGUAGUAGUAGCAGUGGUAGUUCUAGUAGUAGUAAUGACAAUUAUUUGUUAAUAAUACUUUCUUCUAAAAGUGAAUGGACUAAUUACCUUCCUUUUCACUUUUUUUAAGAAGGGAAGGAAUGAGAUUUAAGAAACAGGGAGGGAAUAAGGUGACUAGAACAAAAUAUCAUAAUAAAUCUUGACAAUUUCAUUCAAAAGACAAAAGUUACUACUAGCAGAAUUUUGAACUUGAAAGUUUGUAAGACAUAUCACAGGAAAUCAAUUAUUUGCAUACUUCACGUAUGUGAACCAGUUUAACAAACUAUCCAUAUUCCAGAAUUGAAUAUAUCAUCCUUUGUUUAUUCACUAUUAUACGUGUUCAAUACUUAGUUGAAAAUAUGCCCUCCCCAUCCCUGCUUCCUAAUCAUAGCCCUUCCUAAUAGAAACAAUUUUUAAAAAAUAAUUGAAAAUUUUAGACAUGCAAUUAGUUAUCUUCAAGUUGAUUGAAGAUAAAAUAGAUUUUGACACAUCAAAGUUCAUUGUAUUUAUAUUCAACUCCAACAGUUAGUUAUGUUUUAAUUCUUUCUAUAAAGGCUGUUAAAUUUUUUAAUCCAUAAAACUCACAUUUUAACUAUGAAAUUGGGCAGUCCUAGCCCAAUGACUUUCAUAAUUGAAGUCACAUCUCUCAAGUAGACAUUACCUGAUCAAAAAUUCAUCUCUGAAGAAGCAAAAUUGGUACUUCCUGUUCAGCUUCUAGAAAAUCGAAAUAUGAAAGAAUUCCCAAAGAAACAACAGAACCUUGCCCAAUGCUACUAGAUUGCUACUUAAAUUACCACGCUUGACAAGAAACUGGCACUAAUUUCACCCACAAGUUUGUUUACAAAUUAACAAAAAAAUCCCCACAAACAUCAAAUUAGAAACCAAAGUAGAGCAUAAGAGUAUAGAAGAAAUGUUUAUAAGGUUUAUAAAAACCGAACAAAUACUCCAUGUAACCCAAUGUUGCAAGGAAUCAAUCAUUACAAUUGUUAUAGGAUGGACCUAUUCUGCCUGCUAGUGGCUGUCAAACUUCCAAAAAUAAAAUUUAUAUCAAGACCUACUCCCAAAACUGAUCGAGUAUAGUGUUGAGUAGGGUCAUCUUCUCAGGGAACUAGUAGAUUUAUUACACACAAAGAAUUUGAGGGAUUUUUGGAAGGGAGAUAAAAAGAAUAAAUUAACAAUGUAAGGUUACUGAAUUUUCAAACGCAAGAAGUGCAGUAGAAUAUAAUAAACAAUUAAUUGACACCACGUAGUAAAGGAGAUAAUAUCGGCACCGGCUCACGCAAUUGAUCAUAGAUACCUGGAGUAAUUCACACGUCGCAAAUAAUUUGGUUCUAACAAUUUAACAAUCGCCAAACUACCAAUCUCUGCUUAAUUAUAUGGUAGUCUAGAGACGCUCUUAAACUACCCCUUUGUAAAAUAAAUAACCUAGAGACGCUCGAAGGAUUUAAUCUAUUCACAACUUUAAGAAUUAGAGAGACCCAAUUCUAGUUAACAAACACACAUGCGGGCUCAUUUAAACCAAUUAGAGAGACCCAACACAGAUUAAAUUACUUGCGAGGUAAUUAAAUUGUGCCGUUUAUCACUAAUUUUAAGACAAUCAAGUGAUACGCACCCCUGUCCUAAUUGGCAGUAUACUAUUCGGACAAUUGAACAACUGGCCACAUUAAUCCAAUAAAUCCAAACAAUAAUAGCCUAUUGAAACAAAGAAUAAUUAAAUACCCACGAAUGCAGAAUUUAGAAUAGAGUAGAACACUUAAAAAGAUCUCACAAUUAUCCGUGCACCGGGUCUUGAUUAUUUCUCAACUAGAUAAAAGAAUCUAGCCUUACCUCAUAACGAUGAUGCAAACAGAAAGCUUUUUGAAAUUUUGUUGAUUUGAAAAGAAGUAAAAAGCGGUAUAGUCACUAGUCUCUAAUUCACGUUAAGAAGGGAAGAAAGAGAUCAAAGAUCAAAGAUAAAAACUCCUAGUCUAUUGCUGUCCUCUUUAAAGUGUUUGCGCCGCCACCCCUUUAGCCAAUCGAGUCUUUGUUUCUAUAAAGGAUAGCUUCCCUUAUUUUUCUCCUUGACUUGUUGCCAAAAGAUUCUCUGAAAAUGUCUCCUAAUCCAACGCAACUUCAGAACAUGUCUCCAAAAAAUAGUGGUGGCUUCUAGGAUAAGUCCUGCGGUCCGUCUUUUGGAUGUAACUCUGUGUUUUCUGAUGUGGGCAUGCUCUAGAAUGAACGGUCUUCUGGAAUUUAGUUUCUUUUCACACUUUCGACACCAAUCGCUUGCAACUGACACAAUACCAAUUAUGAGCAGAAACCCAUUACUUUGCAUAAUAAGUGGCCAAAAUUGAGACCAAAUACCAUUAAAUAAAAUGCACAAUUAUCUCACUAUCAAAUCCACUCACACCAAGACAAUGCUUGUCCUCAAGCAUCUCACAGCUCAGAGAUACAAUUACAGCUACACACACGAAGCAGUUCAGUCAUGUGAGCUCAAGUGUCCCAUCUUCCUAAUAAUGUCAUCAAAUUCAGAAAUUUCAAGACUUAACCAUCUCUUAUAGAAUGGAAUAUGAUUACUUCUCACUCCGACAUGAAGCACAAAGGGUCACUCUCACUACACAAUAAAUAUGCUUGCUAAUAUAUCACAUCGCCACCACUGAAACCAAAUAUAAUGCAAAAAUCAAAGGAUUUUGAUGCGGGUUGUAAUGGAGCUCAGGCACAGGUUGGAUCAAACAGGUAAUUUAGGCUCAUUAUAUCAAAGAAAAUACCGUUGACCCACUGCAUGAAUUCCAAUUCCCUUCUUCAUUCCAAUGAUCAUUCCAAAGCAUACCCAUAAAUUUUCCCAAAAUUAGCAAAUACAAGCACAACCAAGGACUUCACCCAAUUAUCUCAACAGAAACACAUAUGGACAAAAGCACUUCAUACCUCUUUUUUAGUUUUCUUUUCUUUGAUUUUUUUUCUUUGUGUGCUCCUUUUCUUCUCUUUCUCCCAUCUCUCUCUCUCUUUCUCUUCUUUUUUUCUUGUUUUGUUUUGUUUCAAAUACGCCCAACUACAUGGGGAUAUAGACACACUCGCUAACUUCAAUCAUUCCCAUAUCUCCAAUUCGAAAUCAUCAUGCACUGAAAUCAAGGCAUUCCUUUGACACUGGAUAGAAACAAAGAGGGUUCGAAUACAAGGGGUUUGGGGUGACAAAAUGAGCUAUUAAACAAAGAAAAUGUCUAAACUCAACCAUGGUCAACUAGGGAAGAUCUGAUUAGGGUCGGCCUUUAGAAAGCCAAAAUUGGUUAACCUGAGUGCCCUUGUCAUUUUAAUACAUCAAAUUCAGGAAUGUGGUCUUGACAUACAUAACAGCAAGUUCUAGAACAAUUAAAUCAUAUGUGAUAUCACUCAAUGGAAGAAAAUAGAGUAGUUAUCAAUGCAACAUUCAUUGGCUCGACAGCUCACAACAGGUUAAUAGCCAAGUCUUGCAAAUUUCAUCAUUCAAUUCCAUUGUCAAGAGACAAGACAUUUAACCACAUAAUAUCACUGCUCAUGCUUGUAGAGUAAUUGCAUCAUCAUAAAUAGCAUCAAGUUCUAGACAUUUUCAACUGUAGCAAAUGAAUUCAUCACAUACAUAUUUUUGGAUUUUCUUUUUCCUCUGUUCUUUUUCCUAUCAAACAAAAAGAGCUAGAACUAAAGAGCUAUCAAACAAAAAGAAAAAACUAGGAACUAUGCCUCCUCACACCAGAAACCUACAUUAUCCUCAAUGGAGCAAAGAAAAAUAGAAAUAAAAAAGAGAGGAACUAGAGUUCCCUGAAAGCCAAACGAGUACAUGAAAGCACUAUGAGGAGGAGAAUGAGGCAGCUGAAAGCCAAUGUGUGCAAAAAAAGCUACCAGAUUUUCUGUCUGAAUGGCAGAAUGGACCUGUAAGACUGUGAAGCGGUCAUCCAGACGCUCAACUCGACCGCCCAACUCAUGAAUGGAGUCCGGUAGAGUACAGAAUUGGGUGUCCCAAGAAGAUAGAACCGCGGAGAAGGAAGGACUCGCCUGAUCUGCCUCUGAGGUGGGUGUAGUAGAGGGAACUCGAGGUUGGGGCACACCCUCUCCAGAAGGUGUGAACUGAUAGGCAUCCCUCACCUUGAGAAUGACGCCCAUCCGUUCUAAACUGCGCAGGUCCAAAGGCUCAAGCUCGCGAGCCAUGGUGAGCUUAUGCUCAUUAUCAAGGUCAAGCACUCCCAAGCAGAUGGCUAAGUGUGUGAUAAGUAAGCCCAUACUCAAGGGCUUAUAGCGCUUGCGGAGGACGGACUGCAACUGAGAGGCUACCGCAGCUAAAGUUGACCUGCAUCUUAUUACGCAUACACCAGAGGAAAUAGAAUUCAGUUUUGGCGAGAAUGCCGCAGAAAUCCUUCCGGCCUGAGAAGUUAUAGGCUAGAAAUCGGUGAAUGACUUUUAGCACUAGAUCCUUAAGGAACGAGACCCUAGAUUGACUCGGAUCGUAGAGUUGAGUGUCCAUGGAUCACUCCCUCCAUAUCUCGAUAUAAUUGCUCGCAAAGGGUUGGGUGAAGUCACAAGCACUAUUGAUAUACGUGUCGGAGGAGAUGGUGUCCUCACUCACAAACCCAACAUCAGGUUGAACUCAUUAAUGAAAUGUGCAUGUGGGUACCCCGCAGCCUAUACUUGAUUACCCCCGGUGAGUCUAAGGCUAGAGAAUCAGAUUUCUCAAACUGGAAGGUGGCGUAGAAUUCAUAGCAGAGCUUCUUGUACGAAAGAUAGUCAAUAACUAGAUAUUGACCCCACCCAAUGGCAGAAAACAACUGCUCUACUUCCCUAACAAUAUUCAACUGGUCGAGAGUCAGAGGAUGAAAACACUUGCACAGGACGAAUGGGUGCAACAUCAAGGAGCUCAACCAUUCCUUUUGCUCAGGUGUGAGGUCCUUUAUAGGUUCCUCCCAUACCCCAAGAGACAGAGUACUCCUAGAAAGACCUAAUCGAGACCUAGUGGGGGGUUGAAUCGGGGCCCGCCUCUUACGAGGUUGGAACCUGAUGCCUCAGAUGGAGUGGUCUUUUUCAGAGCCAUAUAGGGUCAAAGAUGUCAAUUCCAAAGGCACAGAGCCGACAAGAAAACUCAAAAUGGAGACAAGGGACCACAAAUAACAACACCCACAGUCAACAGUCAACAAACAAUUGAUGGUGCAAAAACAAAGAUACCCCACUGGCGUCACUAAGGCAAAUAAAAGUAAUAAAAGGCAGACACGGGACCUCCCGAAACGCAGUCAACAAUCAAAUGCACCCAAGCACAACCAACAAAUAUCCCAAGCCCAACAAAAGAAUGAAAUUAAAUAGGAGAAACUCGAAAUUCGAGUCACCAAUUGGUAAAAAGGAGAGUAGAUAGGGGUACCACUGUUCGACUCUGCGGGGGCAGCCAAGGUGAGUGGAAUCCAAGAAGGGAGGUGACGAUGCGAGGGUCUGUAGUGGCGGACGGCCGCGGGUGGGCUGUAGAUGGCGAGGCGACAGCAGUGGUGGUGGUGAUAGGCGUGAGAGAGAAAGAGAGAGAGAGAGAGACGAGCAGAUAGUAACGGCAGCGGCAACGACCUUAACCAGGACUGCAACCUAGGUCACGUUGAAUGCGACUGUCGUGGCGGUGCGCGUCAAGGAGGAAGCGAAGCAGAAGGCGCGACGGCUGGUACUGGCGGAUGGCUGUGGCUGAGCAUCGCGGGCUUGGAGGCAGCGGUGGCGACAGUGGUGUGCAUGGAGGGGGCAGUUGAGCAGUGGCGACGAUGGAAUUGCGACCGAGAGGGAUGAAGAUGAAAAGAGAAAAGACAAGAAAAAGGAAAAGUAGAAAAGUAGGGUUAGAGUGGGUCCGGUCACUUUUUACUUUUGGUGCCGCAAUGGUAGGAAAGCGCGGGCAAGCCUUGGAAGCUGAAGUCAUCUGCCUCCCUCGUUGUAACAGGACUGAUGCGAUUCGCUGUGCGGCCUAGGCACGCCUUGAAAGCAUAAGUCUUCUGUUCAUUAUUCUUUAAAAAUGCCCAUGUGCAUUUAACAGAAGACGCGGACACGCCUAUAACCCUGGUCGUCUGUUCACGAUCGGAUCUGACCGUUUUUGUAUAGCUCUCCUGGGGCAUCCCUGUAAAGCGUAGGUACACCUUGUAACGGAAAGUCUCUUGCCCCAAAAUUAUGCCUCUAAUCCCAAAAUAAAACUGCACAAAAUACAUCCAUGACCGCAAUAAAGAAUUUCUGUCAAUAGGAACCAAACACCCUGAUCAUGAACACACAAAUAUGAAAUAAAAACAUAAAAUGACUAAAAUUGAAACUCUUGAAUUGCCUUCCAAGUAGCUCCUCUAUUUAACAUCUAUGGCCAGACCAAAAGUAAUUUAACCAUAGUUAUUAAAAACCAACCGGCAAGAGGACCGGGUUGACGGGUCAGUGGUUCAACCGGUGGAUCACGGGUUGAACCGUCGGAUCACAAUAUAUAAUAAAAAAUAUAUAAUAUAAUUAAAUAAACAUAUAAAUUAUAAUAUAAGUACAAAAAAUUCUUAAAUCUUAACAAGUGUUGUUCUGUACUAGGUGUUUGAGAUGGUGUUUCUCCAAUAGAAUCCAUUACAAAUAUCUAAAAAGUAAUAAAACAUACCUUUUAUUUAAAAAAAGACAUUUGUAGCUAGGAAAAUGACACUUAUAUCUGCUUUCUAAUUCAAAACGAAAAAGAGCAUUUUUUGGGUCAUUUGAAAAUCUUUCUACCCUCUAGAUCUUCAUAUCCUAACAGAUCUUUUAUUCCUUUAGCUCCUAUUUUCAGUUACCGAAUUCAACCUGCUAGGCUACUAAGAGGUUCAAUUUACUUUCUUGAAUAAGCUAAUAAAUACAGAUCCACAGUGCAACUAUAAUUCAUGCUUCUAUUAUAAGUUUCUUACUUAAAUACAUCCCAAUCUGAAAAGCUUUACGGAAAUUGAACUAGAUGUCUUAAAAAAUACAUGGAAAAUAUGAAAAUAAAGAUAUUGUUUAAAUUAAAAUAUCCACUUAAAUCCCGGCGUGACUUCGUAUACAAUCAUAUCAUUUUUUAUAUACUACAUGGCAGUAAAUACUAUGUAGUUUACCCUAUUUUAAAAGAUGGGCAAUUGGGGACUCAUUAAUAUUUUUAAAUCAUACCUAAAUUACUAAUAUUUAAAUACACACACUCACGUUUACUGUACUCCUAUAUUGCUAGACUUUUUCGAAUUAAUAUACACACUCACUUUUUCGAAUUAUCAGUCAGAAUCUUUCAAUCAGGUGAUUAGUUUCAUCACGUGGUGGAAAAGUUACCAAAGAAGCCAUCGAAUUAUUGGUCACUUGAUGUUACUGCUGGACAAUCAUUUUGCAAGCAUUAAUUUUCGGCCGUGUAAAAAAGCUCCAAUGAAUCACUUUGAAAAUGCUCAACUUGAUAACUUCAUCAAUUUAGACCACACAUAACUCAUUAUUGGCCUUUUACAUCAUCUAGAUUUAUUAUGCUGCUCUACACUAGAUAAUUUACUGAUUUCAAAAAACUCCCAAUUCUCUUGCUUUUCUGGUUAUUAUAGAAGACAUCAAAUUGGAGUUUAUUUGAACAAAGCUUCACUGGCUUACCAACAACAAAGCUUCAACUUCAAGCCUUCAAUGGCAGCUUCGGUGGUAGCGGCAACUUCCUGGAAGAAUUCUGGCAACGGCUGCGGCAACUUCGAACUUCGAACUCCCAAGGUGCCGUGGUGUGUGCCUAGCUGCAAGGCUUCACUGGCUUACCGGCAACAAAGCUUCAACUUCAAGCCUUCAACGGCAGCUUCAGUGGCAGUGGCAUCUUCCUGGAAGAAUUCUGGCAGCGGCUACGGCAGCUUCGAACUUCCAAUUGCUUGCCUCAGACUCUCAGAGCAACUAGCAAAGCACAGGAAAUAAAAAUUGAAAGCCGAAUCCGUGAAAAAUUGAAAGGCGAAAAUUGAAAAAUUGCUUGCCGAAUCCCUAAAUGCUCACUGGGUUUAUCAAUUCGUUCUCACUUCUCACUUUCUCAGAGAAACAAAGAAGAAAAGAAUCCCUAAAUACCCAAUGACGGUCGAAUGCCUGAAUGACCGAAUCCCUCUUCAAUUUUUUGAUUUUCUCUUCUGAUUGGCUAAAAAUGUAGCGAAAAGACGAUAAUGCCCAUGUAAUAUGAAUGGUCAAAAAUGACUCAAAAUAAAAGAAUUGGGUAAAACGGUAACUUCAAAAAAAUUGCCAAAACCCACCGGGUUUAUCAAUAACCGCCGAUUCUAGCGGUUUCCUGAUUAAACCGUCCGGGUCGAGCGGGUCCAAGCAGGUUCUUUGCAACUCCGAUCUAACUAGUAACCUGGCCGGUUUCAUGCCCGGGCCACCGGUUUGACCGGUUCAACCGUCGGGCCGGGCCGGGCCGGGUUUAAUAACUAUGAAUUUAACAAAUUAAUUAAAACCGGGGUCGAGCAAAUGGACCUCCUCCACAGUCUAAAAACGGCUUGAGACGAUGACCAUUAACCUUAAAACUUUUGUGAGUCUCUAAACUUCUAAUUUCAGCUACACCAUUUGGAAAAACGUUGACAAUAACAUAUGAUCCAAUUCAUUGAGACCGCAACUUACCUGACAUGAAUGUCAACUGAGAGUUGAACAGAAGUAUCUUUUGACCUAUAGAAAAUUACUUAUUACGCAAUAGUUUGUCAUGGAUGGAUUUUGUGCGUUCUUUGUAAAGUCGUGCAUUGUCGUAAGCCUCCAAGCGAAUUUCUUCCAACUCUUGAAGUUGGAGCUUCCUUUCCUUGUCAUUUCUAUCCGCAUUCAAAUUGCACUGCUUAACUGUCAAAAACGCGCGAUACUCAAUUGCAACAGAUGAAUUACACAUCUUACCAUAAAUCAACCUGUAUGGAGACAUUUUGGUUGACGUUUUAUACGCCGUGCGAUAUGCCUACAAUGCAUCAUCCAAUCGGAUAUGCCAAUCCUUACGAUUUGGAUUGACCGUUUUCUCCAAAAUACUCUUAAUCUCGCGAUUAGAGACCUCAACUUGCCCGUUGGUCUGCGGAUAGUAGGUAGUAUCCACUCGCUGGUGAACUCCAUACUUACGUACCAGUGCUUCAAUGGUGUGAUUGCAGAAAUGAGUACUUUGGUCACUAACGAUUGUUCUUGGCACAUCAAACCUACUAAAAAUGUUGGACUUAAGAAAUCUUGCAACAACUCGUGAAUUAUUAGUUUGGGUAGCUUUUGCUUCUACUCAUUUUGACACAUAGUCUACGGCUAAAAGAAUAUAAAGACAACCAAAAGAAUUACAAAACAGUCCCAUGAAAUCUAUACCCCAGAUAUCAAAGAUUUCACAGAAUAACAUAGAAACCUGAGGCAUUUCAUUCCGGUGAGAUAAAUUCCCAAACUUUUGACAUUUGUCACAUUUUUACAGAACAAGUAAGCAUCAUGAAACAAGGUUUGCCAAUAAAAGCCACAAUCAAAUAUUUUUCGAGCAAUUCUCUUAGGACCAAAGUGACCACCACAGGCAUAACAUGACAAUGAACAAGUAUAGAGGGAAUUUCUUCAUUGGGAACACAUCGACGAAUGAUUUGGUCAGGGUCUAUUUUUCACAAAUAGAGCUCAUCCCAAAGUAAUAUCGAGAGUCCUGUAUUAUUUUAUCCUUCUUAUUCUUACUCAUAUCACUUAGAAAUUGUGACUGACCAGAAAGUUAAUAAUAUCAGCAUACCAGGAUUCAUCACCUUUAAGCUGAAAAAAUUAUUCGUCUGAAAAUACCUCGGAUAUGGGCAUUCCUCUUUUCUUCUCGAAUCAAUCGGCUCAAAUGGUCUGCCACUGAAUUGUCCACCCCUUUUCGAUCUUUGAUCUUCCAAUUAUAUUCUUGCAGCAGGAGUAUCCAUGAAUAGUCUUGUUUGGACUCCUUCUUUGCCAAAAUGUAUUUCAAGGCUGCAUGAUCAGAGAAAAUCGUUAUUUUCGAUCCCAAUAAAUACGAUCUAAAUUUCUCAAAAGCAAAAAUAAUUGCUAAAACCUCCUUUUCGAUAGUGGUGUAGUUGCAUUGAGCCGGCGACAACGUUUUUGAUGCAUAGUAAAUGACAUGGCUACACUUUCCGCUUUUCUGACCGAGCACAGCUCCUACCGCAUACUGACUGGCAUCACACAUAAGAUCGAACGACAGGCUUCAAUUCGGAGGUUGAAUGAUCGGUGCCGUGGCCAACAUACUCUUUAGUAUAUCGAAGGACACUUUACACACAUCUCCAAAAUCGAAUGGUACCUCCUUUUGAAGUAGCCGGGAUAAUAGCAGUGCAAUUCAAGAGAAAUUCUUGAUGAAUCAUCUGUAGAAACCUGCAUGGCCAAGAUAAUUACGAAUCUCCUUGACAUUAGUGGGGUAAGACAAGCUAGUAAUCAAAUCAAUUUUUACUUUAUCGACUUCGAUACCCCUAGAUGAAACAACAUGAUCCAAAACAAUACCCUCCUUCAUCAUAAAAUGACACUUUUCAUAAUUAAGGACCAAAUUAGUUUCAAUGCACCGCUGCAAAACUUUUGUUAGAUGAUACAAAAAUUAAUCAAAAGAAUCACCGUAAACUGUGAAAUCGUCAAUGCAUAUUUCAAUGCAGUUUUCAAUCACAUCAGAAAACAUUCUCAUCAUGCAUCUUCGAAACAUUCCUGGGACAUUACACAACCCAAAAGGCAUACGGUAGUAAGCAAACGUGCCAAACGAACAAGUGAAAGUGAUUUUGAGCUGGUCCUCUUGGGUAACAGUAAUUUGGUAAUACUCAGAGUAGACAUCAAGAAAGCAAACGAAACGCUUACCUGCCAAUCGCUCAAGCAUCUCAUCAAUGAACGGUAAUGGAAAAUGAUCUUUUCUUGUGGCCACAUUCAACUUCCUGAACUCGAUACACAUUCUCCACCCAUUUUGGAGUCUCAUUGGCACCAACUCAUUCUUCUCAUUCCGCACAAGUGUAAUUCCAGUCUUUUUAGGUACGACAUGCACGAGACCUGCCCACUUACUAUUAGAAAUAGGAAAAAUUAUUCUUAAUUCCAAUAGUUUAAGAAUCUCCUUCAUUACCACUAUUUUCAUGGCUGGGUUAAGCUUUCUCUGACGUUCCCUCAGGGGCCUUGCAUCUGGCUCAAGUAGAAUAUGAUGCAUGCAAAUGGAUGGAUUUAUACCUUUGAUAUCUACCAAUGUCUAUCCAAUUCCAGGUUUAAACUCUCGCAAUACUGGUAAGAGUUUUCUUCUUAUACUAGGGUCAAAUCACUUGUAAUGAUGAUCGGCAGAGUCCCAUGAUCUCCCAGGAAAGCAUAUUUUAAAUGCUUUGACAAUUCUUUCAAUUUGAACUCCGGUGCCUGUUCAACAAAGGGCAAAAUUCUCUCAUUAGAAGCAGGCAAUGGUAAAAAUAAGUCUACUGACCUAUCAGGAAAUGCAAACAGUGAAUGAAGUGACAUAAUUGCUUCUACAAUAUCCUCAUCAUCCACACUUUCCACUUCCUCAUUCGUUUUACUCUGUUGUAACACAAAUUUCAUCUUGUUUUCCAUAAGAUUCUGCUCAAAAUGAUCUUGCACAAUGAAAUUAAUGACACAAACAUAAUUAACAGAUUCAGUAUCAUCCGGGUAUUUUAUCGCAUUAAAAAUGUUAAAAGUAAAUGUCUCCCCGUCAAAUUCUACAGAUAGGGUACCUUCAUGCACAUAUAUCUUGGUCCUAGCCGUACUUAUGAAUGGUCUACCCAGUAGAAGUAUAGCUGAAUUAGCUGAGUUAUUAUCAUUCAUGCCAACAGUAUAGAAAUCAGCAUAAAAGAUAAACUCAUUAACUUUCACUAGGACAUCUUCAACUCCACCCUCUGGGUAAACAUUUGACCUAUUGGUUAGUUGAAUUAUUACCCUUGUGUCCUUUAGAGGUCCUAAGUUUAAGGCCCUAAAUAUGGACAAAGGCAUAAUAUUAAUAGAUGCCCCUAAAUCAAGCAUAUCUCUGUCUAUCCUCUUCUGGCCUAUGAUGCAUGGUAUCAUGAACAUACUUGGAUUCUUGCAUUUGUGACAACUUCUUUUGUAGGACUGCUGACACAUUCUGGCCAACCUUUAUUUUAUCUUGAACAUUCAACUUGUUCCGGUUAGUGCACAGCCCCUUCAGAAACUUAGUAUAUUUUGGUAAUUGCCGAAUCAUAUCAAGCAAAGGGAUGUUGAUUUUCACUUUCCGAAAGGUGUCCAAAAUCUCCUUCUCUGACUCCUCUUUCUUGGCUUUAGCUAACUUGCCAGGAAAAGAUAGGUUAAUUUCAACGGUCUUAGGAACAUCUGAUAGGGUGCUUACUUUUUCCUUCUCAAUCUCCCCAUACACUUGUUCAUCUUCCACACCAGCUGCUACUUCUGAUUUUGAGGACUACACCUCCUUGCCACUUCGUAAAAGUAUUGCACUUGCAUUCUCCUUGGGAUUGGGAAUUACCUGAGAAGGUAGCUUCCCUUCACCAUUCUCAAAGUUGCUCAUUGACGAUGCCAGUUGUGACAUUUGCGCCUCCAAAUUUCGAAUACUGGCGCGAGUCUCUUGUUGAAAUCUCUGCGAGUCCUGUUGAAUUUGAUAAGUGCUAUUAGCUAGAGAUUUGACCAUAUCUUCAAGGGACAUCCCCGAAUUAUAUGCGGAUGGUUGCUGUACUGGUGAUCUCUGUUGGAAUGAUUGUUGAAAACCGAGGGUUUUGGAGCAUAGCUGAAGUUGGGGUGGUUCCGCCACCCUGGAUUGUAUGUGGGCUUAUAUGGGUCAUUUCUCCUUUGGGGUAGUCUAGAUAGACCUCUCGUGAUGUUGGCUUGCUCGUGAGAGUCUUCUUGAAGGGUUGGGCAUGUAACGGUCACAUGCUCAGAAGCAGCACAUAUCCCACAUGCUUUAGCUGCCUAUACUUGCCCUAUAGCCAUUUGACGAACCAAUGUAGUCAGCUCCGUUAAUCUAUUUGCAAGGUACGAAUGAUUUACCUCAUUGACCCUUCUAGUCACUCCCUCAGAUCUGACUCCAAACUAUUGAGAGUUCUCAGCCAUGUUCGAGAUAAGCCAUUUGGCUUCAUUUGUUAUCUUAUUUACUAAAGCACCGCCACUCGCUGCAUCUACCAUGCUUCUAUCCAUGGGUAACAAUCCCUCAUAAAAAUACUGGAUCAACAGUUGGUCAGGGAUCUAAUGGUGUGGGUAACUAGCACACAACUGUUUGAAUUGCUCCCGGUAUUCGUAAAGAAUUUCUCCAUUGGCCUGCCGAACUCCACAUAUUUCCUUUCUUAUGUUGGCGGCCUAGAGGCUGGAAAAACUUCUCAAGGAAUUGCCGUUUCAAUCCUUCCCAUGUAGCGAUGGAUCCUGAUGGCAAGUAUAACAACUAGUCCUUAGCCCUGUCUGCUAAGGAAAAAGCAAAUGCACGUAGCUUGAUUUGUUCUUCAGUAACUCCCUGAGGUUUCAUGGUUGAAUAUAUUACAUGAAAUUUCUUUAAGUGCUUGUGUAGAUUCUCACCUGCAAUAUCACGAAAAGUAGGCAAUAAGUGAAUCAACCUAGAUUUUAAUUCAAAAGCCUCCUCAGUGUCAGGUAGGGCUGCAAACAAAUUGAGCCGAGCAGCUCGAGUCAAACUCGAUUCGAGCUCGAUCAAUAUUGAGCUCAAGUCGCGUUCGAGCUGGCUCGAGUCAAAAUCGAGCUCGAACUCGAGCUCAAAAUAUUAAGCUCGUUAGCUCGCGAGCGGCUCGUGAGCUCGAGUAUAUAUAAUAUAUAUAUAUAUUUUUAAUUUUUUAUUUUAAGUAUAUAUAUUUUAUAUUUUUUUAAUUUUAAUAGUAAAAUUACAUAUAUAUCCUUAAUAUUUUAUUAUUUAUUAAGAAAAAAAUAUUAUUUUAUUUAUUUUUUUAAAAAUAAAAAAUUAUUUUUUAUUUUUUUCGAGCUCGAGCUCGGCUCGAAUCAAGUCGAGCUCGAGCUCGAGUUUGAAAUUGUCAGCUCAUCUUGAGUUCAAUGCAAUUAUGUCGAGACUCGGCUCGAUUAGACCAAAACUCGACUCGACUCGGCUCGUUUGCAGCCCUAGUGUCAGGAUACGUAAUGCACAGAGGCUGUUGGUUAACAUUCGAGAUUGCAAACUCCCUCAAAAUCCUUUGGGCUGCCAUUAAUUCGUUAGGUCCAGGCAACUUUAUUUCCAGUUCAAUUGAUGAAUCACUUAAGUCAGAAUUUUGUUCCAGUCCGGGGUAUUGCCGCUGAAGCUUGUUGCUUUUGCAACUUAGUCUCCUUCGUCAACCUCCUUGCUAUUUUCUCAAUCUCUUGAUCAAAUUCGAGUCUUUCUAUACGGGACAAUCGACGCAUAAAACGUAGGCUAAACAAAGCUUGUGCAAUCAAUAACUUCAAACACUAGGUCCCCGGUAACGGCGUCAAAAUUUGGCGACUGUCAAACUACCAAAAAAAAAUUUAUAUCAAGACCUACUCCCAAAAUUGAACGAGUAUAGUGGUGAGUAGGGUCGUCUUCUCAGAGAACUGGUAGAUUUAUUACACACAGAGAAUUUGGGAGAUUUUUGGAAGGGAGAUAAAAAGAAUAAAUUAACAAUGUAAGGUUACUGAAUUUUCAAUCUCAAGAAGUCCAGUAGCUAAAGAAUAUAAUAAAUAAUUAAUUGACACCAUGUAGUAAAGGAGAUAAUAUCGGCACCGGCUCACGCAAUUGAUCAUAGAUACCUAUAGUAAUUCAUGCGUUGCAAAUAAAUUGGUUCUAGCAAUUUGAUAACCUCCAAACUAUCAAUCUUUCCUUAAUUAUAUGGUAGUCCAUAGACGCUCUUAAACUACCCCCUUGUAAAAUAGAUAACUUUAGAGACGCUCUAAUGAUUUAAUCUAUUCACAGUUUUAAAAAUUAGAAAGACCCAAUUUUAGUUAACAAACACACAUGCGAGCUCAUUUAAACCAGAUUAACUAUUCGUACAACACAAAUUAAAUUACUUGCGAGGCAAUUAAUUGUGCCGUUUGUCACUAAUUUUAAGACAAUCAAGUGAUACGCACUCCUAUCCUAAUUGGUAGUAUACUAUUUGGACAAUUGAACAACUGGUCACAUUAAUCUAAUAAAUCUAAACAAUAAUAGUCUAUUGAAAUAAAGAAUAAUUAAAUAUCCACAAAUGCAGAAUUUAGAAUAGAGCAGAACAAUUAAAAAUAGAACAAUUAAAAACAUCUCACAAUUAUCCGUGCACCGGGUCUUGAUUAUUCCUCAACUAGAUAAAAAAAUCUAGCUUUCCCUCAUAACGAUGAUGCAAAUUGAAAGCUUUCUGGAAAUUUGUUGAUUUGAAAAGAAGUAAAAAACGGUACAACUGCUAGUCUCUAAUUCACGUUAAGAAGGGAAGAAAGAGAUCAAAGAUCAAUGAUGAAAACUCCUAGUCUAUUGCUGUCCUCUUUAAAGUGUUUGCGCCGCCCCUUUAGCCAAUCGAGUCUUUGUUUCUAUAAAGGAUAGCUUUCCUUAUUUUUCUCCUUGACUUGUUGCCAAAAGAUUCUCUGAAAAUGUCUCCUGAUCCCACGUAACUUCAGAACAUGUCUGCCAAAAAUAGUGGCGGCUUCUAGGGAUAAAUCCUGCAGUCCGUCUUUUGGACAUAACUCUGUGUUUUCUGAGGUGGGCAUGCUCUGAAAUAAAUAGUCUUCUGGAAUUUAGCCUCUUUUCACCACUUUCGACACCAAUCGCCUGCAACUGACACAAAUACCAAUUAUGAGCAGAAGCCCAUUACUUUGCAUAAUAAGUGGUCAAAAUUGAGAUCAAAUACCAUCAAAUAAAAUGCACAAUUGUCUCACUAUUACCUGCUGAGAAUUACAACAGUACAAAGCUCUAGUGUUGGCGGACAGCGUCUGCUUCCUAGAAUUUCAGAUGGUGUUCAAACAAAGAAGCCAUUUCAAUCUGCAAUACAACUCAAACAAGGAAACAAAUUCAUCAUUGGUACCGGAUCAUGAAUAGACAUUAUUAGAGAGGAAAAUGCAGAUCAUGAACAUUUAUUUCUAAAAUAUAGUACAACUCAUUAUUUUGUCAGAGCUAGGACACAUAAUGAACAGCAUACCAUUAGAUAUGUUAUGAAAGCAAAAACAGACUCUUCCCACGAGAUUUUCUUACUCAUAAGAUCAUGACCUAAAGAAGGACAAUAUUAUGAGCAACGAUGAAUCAGAAUUUGAUUUAGAAACCUACCGAUAACUACAUGCACUGUCAUAAACUAGAUACAAUUCGGAACUAAUAAAAGUUAGAUAUUUCACAGAGAGAGACUCUGGUUGGGAAACCACCACCAUCGCAGAGAGACUCACCAAUGGUCGUUAUGGAGUUCAACCCCUUAUUUGCCUUCUAACUAGGAUUGUCAAUGAGGUUGGGCCAACUCGAGUUCGGAUCAUUCGACCCGAUAAAAAGCCUGAGGAGCCCGACAUUGUAGUGAGCCGAUCUGAAUUUAAGCCUAAAAAUUAAGCCCGAAUUAAAUAUGAGCCGAACUUGGACCCUAUUAGGCUCAAACUCGAUAUAGGCUCAGCCCUUUAAUUAUAUAUAUAUAUUUAUAUUUUGAUAUUAAGUAUAAUUAUAUAUCCAAAUAUAUUAUUAUUAAAUACUAAAUAUAUAUAUAUUACAAAAUAUAAAAAUACAUCUAAAGACUCUUUCAUGAGAUUUCUUGAAAGCCAAUAUUAGUUACGCAUAACUGAAUCUCUAACUUUUCUUAUUGGUUGAAUAAAUUUUGUGUUAACAUAAUAUUGAUUGAUUUCUUUUUGAUUUACAAACACAACUCAUCAAGCAUGUUUGGAUUCAAAUCACAAGAUUAUAAAAAAAAUUCAACUUUUAAAGAUUUAUUGGCUUAUGAUCGCAUAUUUUAUUACUAUUUUUCAUAUAUUUUGAACGAAUUAAAUAUAAAUAUUGUUGAAAAAGUUUUGGUUUAUAUACUUUUUAAGAACUAUUAUUUCAUGUUUAGUUUUAAUAUUAUAGUUUUGUAAAUGUUAAAUUAGUUUUACAACUUAAUAGUUAUAAUAAUUAUAUUAAGAAAAUUAAGAAGUAAUAAAUGAGUUUGAACUAAACCCGAUUAAGGCUCACAAUCCGAAAAUUAUAUGAGUUGAGUAUGAGUUUCACAUUUAUAAACCUGAAACUCAUAACUCGAAACCCGAAAACGUUCCAAAUUAAAUGAGCUGAGCUUGAGUUUAUGAAAGCCCAGUUCAUUAGGCCCAAUUGACAAGCCUACUUCUAACUCCCAUUUUUAACUCAAAAAGUAAUUUAUUUUGGAUGAUCGAUACCUCACUGCUUAAGUAAGAAGGCCCUUUCCAAGCAUACCUAUUGGCUGCAUAAUACUAAAUUAUAUUGAGAGAAGGCCAAUUACAAGGGCAAAACCAAGCAGAGAUGGAGAAAUUCAUCAAAUCACCCCUUUCCAAUGUAACCAAACCAAAAGGAAAAACAGAAAAGAUUCUUUAUUGAUGACAUUUGAUUUAAACGGAACACAAACCAGAUACUAUUCACAAAGCAAACAAUUUGCCAGACAGCAAAUAAAUACUCCAUGGAGUAAAAAGAGAAGAAAAUGAAGAGACAAGAAAGCAACUCAACAAAAUGAAAUUGACUUACAGCUGUCAGCGCUGCUUCAGCACCUUUAUUUCCGGACUUACCACCAGCUCGAUUGAAAACCUGCAUUUAUCAUAAUGUAACUUCAAGAAAUGGGGUACCAAUGGGGAAACUUGUAGAAUACUGAUAAAGAUCAGGGCGGCAAUUUCCAUCAGCAAAGACAUUUUACGAAAAAUUAGCAAUAGGAUGAUAAUCAUACAACAACAUGACAAUUAUAUGAUGAACUAUUUUAUGAUUUUCGAUGCAAUAACGCCCCUAAAAAAAAAGUAUAGGAGAUCAGAAAGGUCAACCACGAGUUUUCAAUGAGUUGUAUUAAGAAAAAGAGAAAUUUCAUGAAUUUACCUACUCCAUGUCAUCACAGGUCAAAACACCACAUAUGCAUGGAACACCUGGAGUUCUUUUUUUUUUUUUUCCAAAUGAUAACAUGAACACCUGGAGUUCAUUGAAAGGAAAAUUAAAUGUUUCACCAUCAAGCCACUGUAAAUGUUUUGAGACUGCAUUCCAUUCCAUGGAUAGAAUUGUCUGCAUUUGAAACACAAAAAUGAAGUAAUAGGUGUGCACAAAACAAAGCAAGUUGAUGAUUCCUAUACAUCUCAAGUAUCUUUUAUGGGGAAUGUAUCCGUAAGCUCCUACCCUAAACGAUUUCUCAUCUUCUGACAUUUGAGAACAUAAGAACCUCUGCUUCUGUGUCUAUGAGCAGAAAAUGGAAAAAACAGGUACACCCACUAUGCAGUGUACUUAUUACGAGUCAGACAAUUUCAAAGUGGUUCUAAGUAGCAAUAAACCACGAACAUCUUUCAACAACAAAAGAUGUGUGCUUUUAACACAAAAGCCAUCUGUCAACUAGGCAAAAAUUUCCAUCAUAGCUACCAUCUACGGAUCAGUAGUAUACACAGCAACCAAUCUUUUGAUUCCUUUCUUAACAAAACUUGUUUAACUAAGCUAUUCAAUAUCUCGUUAGUACAAUCAAAUCUACCAUAGCUCUGUAACAACUAUUUUCCCUAGGGCUGAAUUCAUGCAUUUAGUAUUUCAAGUUAGUAAGAAUUGGUUCUCCAGAUCAUACAGUGGUUUAGAUAGAAGUCAUUAACUAGUAAGAUUGGUGGAAAUAUUCAUUAAUAGUUUAGAGUGGGUAUUUUUUUGUCGAGAAAAUGUAAGUCAUUAACUAGUAAAUACAGCAUCAAAUUUCUAACAAUACCCAACUGUAAAUUCUUGAGUUUGGAAUCCCAUUUAUAUCUUGUCUUUUUUUCCCGCUUUUUCCUUUGUUUCCCAGGCAAUACUCAUUGAUGACUCAAAUUGAAGCUAUGGCAAAAGGCAUUGAGGGAUCAAUCUCUAGGUCAAUUUUUCACUUAGGUGCAUGUAAAAUUUCAAAUAAUUGUGAAUAAGGUUGAAGAGCCACAUCCACAUGCUUUGUUUAGAAUCAUUUAUUAAAAAUGUUUGUAACUUUAACAAUUACCAAACUGACUUUCAAGUGGUUAGUGGUUACACAACCACCCCUUAUUUCUUCAGGUUAUUAUUGUCCUGUUGUCUAUAAGUUAGUGUAGAUUUAAUAAAGAAGAAUUGUGUACAUCGUGUUUAUCUUUAUGGUGUAUUAUUGACAAUCUAUUAAUGGCGCACCAAAUAUACGGUACUAUUCUAAUGAUUAAAAGUUAACAAAGUGACAAAUUACCGCCUAUUGUACCUGCUAGCUAAAUUAAGAUUUGAGGACAUCCUUUUUUUAAAACUUUUUUCGACCAAAAAAGGAAUAGGAUUCAAUAAGUGGGGAGGUCUCAAUCUCAACUACUAGAAUUUGAGGUUAUAUAUAUGUGCACGCGCGCGUGUGUAUAUAUAUAUAUAUAUAUAUAUAUGUAUAUAUACUUCUCUAACCUAAUAUCUGAUCUUUUUAGACAUGUGGGUUCCGCAUGCCAAUGUGGCCGGUGGCUUCGGCCGUAUGGGAAAAUAGACUAGUGUCCCGUGUAUCAACAGGCACACGGGAAGACAAGUGGAGUGUGGAGAAUCAAAUUCAAAUUUUAAAUUUAAAUUUCAUUAUAUAUAUAUAUAUGUGUGUGUGUGGAUAUGGAUAAUAUCAAAAACUUCCCUUAAUGUUCCUCUUAAGAGCGCUUAGUACUUCUAAGAUUUUAAAAAUAUCAUUUCCCUCCCUUGAUAGCUUCAAAAUGACUAUAUCACUUCAUAUAUAACAGAUAUACCAAAUAAAUGGAACUUAAAAAAUUAAAGAAAAAGAAAUAAAAGUCACUUUUAUCUCUUUCCCCUUUAUUCAACUUUCUAUCUUGUCUAUUUUUGGGUGACUAUGCGAUUUUUUCCGUAAAUUACGGUAAAGUGAAUUUUGCUUAUCUUUUUUUCUUGUGUGAUUGUAUUAGUGUUAGGUACAAUUUCUUUGGUUAUUUUGAUUUCAUUUUUAUAACGAUUUACUACAACUUAAAGGCUUGGGUCAUGAGUUGAGAAGAUAUUGGAAAAAAAAUGGAGUUCAUAAAAAAUUGGUUUUUGAUCAUAUAAAUUUGAAUUGGUGCUAAUGUAUUUAUUUACAAGUAUCUUUUUUAUUUUUGAAAUUUAUAUUUUUAGGAGUUAUGCUUUUGUAAUGUGGUGGUAGUACUUAAGAUUGUUUUAAGGUGACGGUUUUUAAUGAAGUAAAUAAAGUGGUUUAAGUGUAUUUUUGUUUAAUAAAAGGAGCAAAUAAUAUUUCUGUUAGAAUGAAUUUUCUUCAAAUGUCUAGAAUACUCUCAAUCAAUCAACUACAUAUAUUCUUCUUGAUUUUCGUAUGUUCAUUAACCACUAAUUAUUCCUCUUCUUCUCUCUUCGACUAAAGGUUUUUUUUCUACUCUCUUACUUUCCUAGGAACAGUAGGUUUCCGACUCUAGUGGAGUAGGAGGCAGUGGAAGAAGAGUAAAAGAAAAGGCAGAGGAAGGCAAUGGGAAAAAUUACAAAGACAUGGUAGAUUUGGCAUGCUAUUGGUAUCAAUCAAGAAGGAGAGUGGUUAGACAUUUCUUUUUUCAUAUGUCAUUUUUCAAUAAUUAAUUUACCAAUUUAAUCUUUUAACUAUAAUUGAAAAUUUAAUGUUUCACUUUAAUUCAAAACCGUAAGGGCUAAAUUGCAAGUUUGCAACCUAUAGAGAGUUAACACAUCCAAUCACCCAAGCAUAAGAGAGUUUUUUUUUUUUUUAAACCAAUAUAUUGAUUAACGAGAAAAUUGUUUCAAUCUAUAAAUAAAUAUUAAGAAAAUAAUCCUGACAUUCUUCUCUUUAAGAGAGAAUCUAACGAGUGGUCAAAAGUUUGCUCUUCAAUUAAAAAAGCGUUCUCUUCAAUUCGAGCAUUAAAAACAUUUAGUCUGAUGACGUCACCUCAAACAGUUAAUCUUCAAUCUUUAAGAUUCAACUUGAAACUUGAAUUUAGUCCAGUGGCCAGAAUCCCUUGCCAAGGUAUCUAGUGUCUUUGGCAAACCAUCUAAAAGUGCAAAAAUACAGAAUCACCAAGAGAUCUGGCUUCUUUGGCAAACCAUCCCGAAGUGCAAAAAUGUGAAAUAUGUUGGGUUUCAAAGAAAUUCUUUAGAUUUUCCUGUUCAACUCGAGCAGUUUGUAACUCAAGAAAUCCACUUAAAAACAAACUUCAACAAAUGUGCUAGUCCAAAUAAUUCAUUAUGAGUCGAUCAAUUAAUCCAUUUUUAAAUAAAUGGGCAUUGCACCUUUAAUAUGAUUUAAGACCCACAUAAAAUUGGCGCAACUUGUAGGCCGAAAUGUUAGUUGAUUUUUCAUUAUUUAAUUUAAGUUAAUCAAUACCAAUUUAUUUUUAUUUCAAUAUUGACUAAAUAAAUUUAUUUUUUCCUAACAGGAGAAGGGUGAAAGUUAAGGGGCUCAGAUUGAACUUAAUACCUAGAGGUCCUGAGGCCUUUUUUUAACUCACAGAAAAAGGACAAAUAGAAUAUAAACAAGAAUUACUAUAAUAUAGGAUAAGUUAUUAUAAAGUAACAUGACAUCAAAAUUCGGGAAUAAAAUAUGUGGUCAUUGUUCAGUAAGCAUAAUAUAGCUCAUUGCUGACCACUGAGAUUUGAUAUACACAAACAAGGGCAUACCAAUUCUGCAUUUCGACACCACAUGCAAAUGCAAAAUUUCUAUUGUACACAACUAUACAACUGCACCACAUUGAAAGAAAGCUAUACAGCAAUUGUACAGCAAUUAGUUCUGUUUCAGUGUACAGCAAUUGAACAGCUUGUAAAGGUUUUAGUGUAUUAAUACGGUGAAUUAUCAAUAUGGCUCUUACCCAAGCACUUAUAAACUGAACCAAUUUAAAACUUGUAUUCAUCGUCAGCACAGAACCCACAAGCGUCAUCAGGGUUUGAAUCCUGGAGAGCCCCUCCAAAAGCGCCACCAGGGUUUCAAGGGCUCACCCUUAACCCGAGGACGGUGCCGAAGUGGGAAAAAAAGGAAAAAAGAAAGAGAGGGGAACCUUACUUUCCAUUUCUGCUCUCGGUCUUAACCCUCCUGAGAAGAGUGGAAGCUUUUACGGCAAACAUGCGUCCCACAAUCACGUGAAUUUUCACCAGAAGAAGAAGAAGAAGCAGCAGCAGCAGCAGCAGCUUCUGAUUUCAAGCUUCAAAUUUGACAAUGAUGAUGACGACGUUGAAGACUAGGUUGUGGGUUUUUAGGAGAAAAGAUGAGUUUUUGAUGCAAAAUAAACUGGUGAAUUUGGUGGCUUUGUUUAAUAGGUAUGUUGGGAAAGGAUUUCGGGCUUUGGGCUUUGGAGCCUGGAAUUUGGGAAUUUUAACAAGUUUUAAAUCCUAUUUGAUAACUCAAUUCAUCAAUUAAAUUUAUUGGAUUCAGAUUUUAACAUAUUCAAAUCAUUGAUAACAAAAAAAUUGAAUGUCUGAAUUAAUUAAAUAACAUUGAAUUUUCUGAACAAAACUUACUCCCAAAAUUAAAUAAUAAGUUAUUCACUUAUCGCUAAAUAUGAUAUAAACUCAAAUGUAUUAAAUUUAAUAUUUUAAUAAUUCAAUAAAUUAAUGGAUUCAGAUUUCAUAUUUCAAAUUUCAAAUUUCAAAUUUUUUAAUUUUAUCAAACGCACCAUUAAUCUACUUAUCUAAUAAAAGUCAAUCACUAAACAAACAAUAUAAUAAAUACCUAAUUAGUACAUUUUAUCAUCUAAUUUUCUCUUUCCUUUAGCUUUUUUUUUUUUUUGGUUCCUUUUUUUUACUAGCAAGAACUGCAAGAAAUAUUUUCAUCCGUUUGUACAAAAAUUUGGUCAUUUUGUCAUCUGUCUUUCGGAUUACCAAGAAAAGUCUGGUUAUAACUCUUUUGUAUUUUGAAGCUGGAAACCUUGAGCACAAAAAACUUGUUUGUUUCAGUUUAAGGGGAAAAAUGGGUUAGAAAAAUAAAACAUCAAAUAUAUUCUGAUUAACUUGAAGUUAUCUUUGGAAAGGGUUAGCCCACGUUUUGAUAAAACUUGACGUCCUUAAUGACUUCAUUAGCAAAUGAAAGAUUAAUUGUUAAACAUGUAUAAGUGGUUUUUCUACAGACUCCAUGUUGAACAAUUUAGAAUGAAUCGAUAGAUUAGGUCGAACAAUUUAUUAUUCUAAUUACUCGAAGAGUAAUCGGACCAAAAAAAAUAAAAAUAAAAAUAAAAAGGCAUCAAAUCCUCUGUGGCACACUUCUCAGGCAGGUAAUUUUGAAAUGAAAUAUCAGGUCUAUUGCUAAAAAACCACAAUGGAAUUAUUAGAUUUGUUGCUUAAAUUUCUGAUUAAAUUGGAAAUUGGAAUUUGGGUGCAGGUAAUUUUGAAAAGAUACCUUAAACCUUGCUGGACUUCUAAUCAGAUUCUUUUAAAGAAUUUUCUCUAAAAAAAUAAGUACUUUUUUUUUUGGGUAAUUAGGCACUGGUAAGUAUUGGCUGUAGUGAGUCAAGAAGAUGAAAUUUAAAUAAGUUGUGGUGGACUUGCCGGCUGCGGGGGUAAAUUAGUGAUACCACAUAAGUGUCCUGCAAUUUGAGCCUUGCUAGGCGACGAAUAUCCCUAAGUAUGAUAUGAACCAUAUGAUCAGUAGGAGGAUACAGUAGUUUAUUAAACACCUUCCGGUUCCUGCUCCACCACGGAUGCAAAAGCAACCCUGCACACAUGAGAAACAAAACUCUGCUGAGAGCAAUACAUGUUCAUCUACUACAAUUCUCUAUUCCAUUGAAGAGCCUGUCUGUAAAUCAAAUAAAUAAAUUAGUAUUCAAUUAAUUCAUCAAUUUUUGUCUCAACAAAUUAUUAUCGUUAAAAUAAUGCAAUUAUUUGGAUUACAACAAUCAUUAAAAAAUGUACUUUAAUAUUUUCUAAGGUAUUGGCUAUUGAAACUUGUACUUUCACUUUUUAUAUUUUCAUUUACAUUUUGUUUGAACCGUGGAAUUGACACCUACCAACCAAAGCUUUUUAACAAACCUUAAUUGUAUACUACAUUAAAAUUACAUUGCCUACUAUAGAUCCAAAAUUUUAAUUGUUUUGUUUUGUUAAUCAUAUCAGUAGAAGCCAAGAGCCAACCUUUUUUUUUUCCCUUGACACAAAGAAUUCAUCUGCUUAGCCACUACCUAACUUUUUUUCCAUUUCUUUAUUUUUUCUGUAAAGAAACAAUGAACGGUUGCCAGGUUUACUGGUCACACUAGUGUGAAUACCCGUGCUACGCACGGUGCUGGCAUUAUUGAAAAAGUAAAAAUAAAAUGGUGAAUAAAAAAGGUUUAAAAAUUGUACCAACACAAUUAAAAUGUAAUAUUUGUCUAACAAUAGUUUGAAAUAUGAUAGAAUAUGCAUAUCAUUCAAGAACUGCCUUUUUUCAGAAGAUAGGUCCUAAAAAAAUAAUAAAAAUUUAUUUUAGAAAAUGAAUGAUAUAUUAACAAAAAUGAAUGUAAUUGAAUGUUGUUAAAAUGAAAUACUUACAAAUAUUAUGCAUUCGAUUUGAUAAUCUUGCAUGAAGGUGCGAACAUUCUUCACACAAAUUAACUUUUAGUACAAAAGCCAAAAUUGGUGAUUUAAUUAAUUCAGUUGAAUUUUGUGGAGUGCGUACUACAAAUGAAAAUACACGAUCUUUGCAUGAAUUGAUUUGUUGGUUGAACAACCUAUCACCAUUUUUCUGAGAAUUAAGUACGUACGAAAUUCAAAAUUAGUGUAUUUUUUUACAUAGUUUAUAAAUAGCAUUAUAAAAAACAAAUAUAUAUCAAGAAAUUCUACCUACCUUCUUUGAGAUAAGAAGCAUCACGACCAAAUACGAAUCGUGCAUGUCUGUCUUGUAGAUUAAGAUGCAUGUUACCAUUGGAAUCUCUGAUUUGUAUGUCAACAUUGUACCUGUUUGACAAAUAAAAUGUUAUAUACAAUACAGAAAAAUAUGUUGAAAUUAAAAGUACAUGAAAUUAAUUACCUAACAACAGUGUCGAUCAUGUUAUUACAAUGCAGACCAAAGUGACAAAGAAUCAGAUAAUGACUAUCUUUUUGUGAUAAGAAACAUUAACUCUUUUGGCCUAAAGAUACAGAAACCAUCAUCAUGACAAUAUCAAAUACUAUACAUAGUUAUCGAAAUCCAAGAAUCCAAACUAAGUUGCAAACAAACUAAGUCGAAUUUGAUGUGAGAUUUUCCUUUCGUCAACGCAAAGUUGCUGAAACUUUUUGAGCUGUUGUGUGAAAUCGUUGCGGUGUACGUUUCAUUUUCUAAACAAAUGUUUCCUCCUUUGUAAUCUUGCGAGUUUGAAAUUUAGUUGCCGUUGAAAUGCUUGUAGGCAGGCAUGUUUCAUAGUUAAAUUAUGUUAAGGGUUAAGAUGGAUACCAUAAAAAAAUUAAAUGAGAUAAUAAGUUCUUGGGAAAAUGCAAGAAAGUUCUUUUAAUUGGAAUGAGCACACAAGAAAGUUGAAUGAGAAUUCUAUGUUUUGGAGGAAUUUUAAUUGGAGUGGAAUUCUUAAAUUGGAAGACCCUUAAUUGGAGUGGAAAAAUAGGGGAAAUGCAGGGACUCUCAAUUUGUGAUUUUUGAAACAUGAUUGUAAUUUGCAAAACUCAUUUGAAGGGGUGGUUAUAGGGUUAGUUUGGGGAUAAAUAUUUUUUUAAUUAUAAAAAUGUAACAUUGUAUUAAAAUAGCAUACGAAAUGAGCAUUUGUUUUUAAUUAAGGAGUAAAAAUGAUUUAAAAUAUAAAUAACAAAGUAUAAACGGUUUAUGAAGUAGAUAGUGGGAAUGUUUUAAAUUUUAAAUUUGAUUGGUGAUAGGGUUGGUUAUAACCCACUACUUUUUAUGUAUUAAAAUAAAUACAAAAAUCUAGACAAAAAUCUAUAACUCAUUACUUGUUCCGUUCUUGAAAUUUUUUUUAGGGUUAAAUAUAGUAAACCCCUUAACUUUAUAUUUAGCUGCACUUUACCCCUCAACUUUACAUUUAGUUACACAUUUGUGAUUUUUUUGAAAUGUGAUUGUAAUUUGCAAAACUCAUUUGUAGGGGUGGUUAUAGGGUUAGUUUGGGGAAAACAUUUCUUAAUUACAAAAAUGUAACAUCGUAUUAAAAUAGCAUACGAAUGAACAUUUGUCUUUAAUUAAGGAGUAAAAAGAAUUUAAAGUAUAAAUAACAAAGUAUAAACCGUUUAUGAAGUAGAUAGUGGAAUGUUUUAAAUUUUAAAUUUAAUUGGUGAUAGGGUUGGUUAUAACCCACUACUUUUUAUGUAUUAAAAUAAAUACAAAAAUCUAUUGUGAGAACCCCGAAAAUAUAAAUACAAAUAUCAUAUCAUAUUUCAUUUGCACUCUUAAUUCAUUAGUAAAUACUAGUACUACUUCACUUGUUUCAAAAUAAGUGCGUAAAAUCACUUUUCAUGAAAGGAAUAAUAUAAUUUUUCUAAGACGUGAAAUUUCUCGGUUUUGCUAGACUAGAUUAAUACUUUUAGAGAUAGAAUAAUUUUUAGCACCUCAACAUAAAAAUACUAAAGUACUUAGUUUUAUUUUGCUAGAGUAAUAUCACCUGAGUGGAUUAAUUUUACUAUCUUAAAAUAAAUCCUUAAAUUUCGAUAGCUAGCUUUAUUUCCGAAUAAGGUUAAGAGUAAAUAGAACCCUUGGAAUGAAUGUGCAAUUGAUAAAAUUUCAGACAAAAAUGAUAUAAGUACCCUAAGUAUUCUGAGGACGUAAGAAUGUCAAUAACCAAAAUCCUUGCAAGAUUAGUGCAACAUUAGGAAUUUAAUUUACGUUCGGAAUAAUUUUUGGAGUUAUAUUGGAAUUGGGGUCUUAAGUGGUCAUUAGUAGGGCAAUGUGAAAUGUCCAAACUACCCUUUACAAUAUCACAAAACCACCAUGCAAACCCAAAACAUUUCCGGACAUCAUAAUAGCCAACCUCUCCAUUCGGCCAACCCGCACCUUCACUACCACCACACUCAAUCACCUCAUACACUCAACCUCCCUCAAAACCACAACACCACUCCACAACUCCAUUCUGUUUCGGUCCAAGAACAAACGAGAGAGAGAGACUUACCUCGUGAGUAUCGAUUGAGUAGAGAGAGUGAGCUGCAUCCGAGAGCAAGGGAGGAGAAAACCGCGAGCUGCAACUCUUCCAAAUUUCUGUCUGCGAGCUAGAGUGAAACCAGGGAGAAGCCGUGAGCGAGCUCCAUCCAGUUCCGCAUCAUCAACCAGCUGCAAUCCAGCUUCAACCUCCAUCCAGUUCCGCAUCAUCAACCAGCUGCAAUCCAGCUUCAACCUCCACCAGUCGCAACCACUGAAAUCCAAACCAAUCUCCAGUCACGAGCGAGCUGAGAGCCGAGAGGGAGAAUAGAAAUUUUCUUCCAGAUUUCCUGUACGUGAGCUGAGCUAUUCUGAGGUAAUUUUCUGGACUAUUUUAGGUUGAUCAGAGGUAGAUUGAGCCAUCUAGGGGCAUGCAUGUAUUGGUUGUGCAGUCGGAUGAGGAAAUCAAAGUUUCAGAAAAAUCUGUUUUGAUUAAAUGUCUCUGCCGAGAAACUGAAUUGGAAAUGCAGCCUUAAUCUCGCCCAUUUGUGGUAAUUUGAGCUCAGACAUAUGAUUACUUAUCUCAGGACUAGAGGAUUAAGCUUUGCAUGUUGAAUUUUAAACCAUCGGAUGAGACAUUAGAAAAAGAAAAUCUGACUGGAUGGCUAAAUGGUUCGGCCGAGAGGUUAAUAAAGUAAUGCAGUUUCUAAUCCGUCCAGUUCUAAUGAUCCGAGGUUGAGGUCAUGAUUAGUUAAAUAAAAAGUGAAUGAUUAAGUUGAUUAGGGUGUUGCAUGUGGAAGCUAGAUUCGGAUGAUGGUGUUAAGGCUUAAGAAAAUUCUGUUUUGAUAAGAAAAUGGUCGGCCGAAAAUUGAUUUAAGAAUUGCAUGAGGUAAUCUGCUUUGUUGUGAUGAUCAGCAACCGAGAUUAUGAUUAGUUAAUUGAAACUUGGAUGAUUUAUACAAUUAAGGCCUUGCAUGUUGAGUUGUGCGUUUGAAUGAUUAAAUUAGAAGCAUAAGAAACCUUGAUUUGGAAGGAAUUGGACUGCCGAGUAGCUGAGUUGAAAUGCAGCACUAAACUGUUCACUUGGUAACAAAUUUGAUCUGAUGAAGGUGAUUACCUCACUAAUAAGAAAGUAAUUAAGUCUUGCAUGAGGCUAAGUAACCCGGCUAACCAAGAAAAUAAUAUGAAAACAGAAAAUUUCUUCAUGCAUGCUCAUCAGUGACUAGCUGGACAAAUUUCUGGAUUUUUGGGAUGUAUGUAGUUGUUAUUCGAAGCUGAUUAUGAACCAGAAAUAUUAAUUAGCUAGCUAAGUGAUGGCAUAUUGAAUUUGAGCCCUUAACACGCUGUUUUAGCCAAGGAAAAAGCUGGUUUAAGAACAUCUUAUUACUGGAAAAUUUUGUGAACUGCCGCAAGGUUUGAACCUGGAAAUUAUGAAGUUUAUGACUGUUGUUUGAACUCCAUUUUGAACUGGGAAAUGUUAAUUGGUCGGAUAAGUUGAUGUAUGGAAAAUUUAAGGACUUAGAACCAUGUUUUAACCGAGGAAAAAAAAUGGAUUUCUAAACACCUAAGUGUUGGAAAAAAAUUCUGGAUAGCCGAGAGGCUUGAACAGAAAUUCCAGUUUGCUCUUUUUGGAAUUUUAAUUUGUUUCUGGAUUUUUCCUUAGAGUGUCAUGGUUUUGAAAUGCACCAGAAAUAUGUGUUUUGAGCUGCAUAAGUCGUUUAACCAUGAAUCAUUUGAUAUGAUGGAAGUUUGAACUAAGAAUGUGGAAGAGUAAACCUGGAAAAUUUCCAAGUUGAAUUGAUAGAAGUAGUAAAGGAAUUUUCCAGAUUUCUUGUGGCGAAUGUUGAGUCCAAAAAUGAUAGCUUUAAUUACUAUGAGAAAUAAUUGUUGGAUGCUAAGGGCUAAUGAUUGAUGAAGCCCUUGGCCAUUUGAAUGAUUUUAUACAAGUGUUAAAGCGUGAUGAAAUCAAUUGCUAGAAUUACUUGAAUUUUUUUAUAUGUAUUUUGCUUCAACUGUGAGGUGAUAUGAAUUGCCAAAACCAAGAGCUAAUGAUUGACGAAGCCUUGGUCAUUUAUUCCAUUUUGAGCAGAAGUGAAUCUAUUGAAAACCCAGGGCUAAUGAUUGACGAAGCCCUAGGGAUUUUCUACUAAAAUGUGAAUUUGAUUUGCUGGCAAAUUUGAACCAUAAUGGGAUUUCGAGAUGGGAUCGAAUUUGGGAAUUCGUUUCGACUCUGCGAACUCGCAAAGGCUUAAGCAACCUAUUCAAAAACUUUGGUGCUUAACAUUAAUCGAUAAAACUUAGUAUUGAACGAUUAAGUUAGAAAUUUUGGUGUGGGAUUUUCUAAAAUCUUGCCGACUCGACGCUUUCAACUUGAGCUUAUAUUAGCCUUACUAUUUUUAGGAAAUGAUUUCACCUGGUUCAAAAAACUCAAGUCUCGCUUAAAUUCCUUUUCUUUCGUCAAAAAAAAAAAAGAAAAAUUUUGUCCUUGAUUAGUUUUCUAGAGGAAAUUUCUAAAAUACGAGACUUUAGUGACUAUAGCUAAAAGCGUAGAAAACUUGUUCGGCAAGAAACAUUAUGUCACGCAAAACUAGUUUUAGUAACACUUUUACAAGAAAAGUAAGAUUAAAGAAAUUCUACAAAGUAUUUCUCUAGUUUUAAUACUCCAUGGUUUGUGACUUAUUACAAACAAAUAAACUAGCUAUAAUGCAAAUAAUUUUUCUACAUAAUCCUAGAACCAGUAUAGCCAACUUAUAGUUUCAAAAUGUUGGAUUUCUAGGAUUUAGCGAGGACGCUGAUUUCGACUCCCAACUUGAUAUCUGAACAUCACCCUUGGUGAGUGUCCCUGCUUGUUCUAUGCUUACUUGGUUAAAGUGCUUUCUUGACUCAAUAGGUGAUAAAUUGCAAAACAAGUUUAGAUCCAUCGAAGUGAGCAGUGUGUACUUUACCACACUAGCCGUUCAAGUGGUGACCUGUGUGAAACAUUUUUCUCCUGAAUCCGUGAAUCAAAAUGUAGUUGCGUCGUUGGGUGAAUCCCUCGACUUCUGAAUCCAACUACGGAAACGUCGCUGGGUGAAUCCCUCGACCAAUCUCCUGAGGAUAUACACGAGUAUACUGCUCCCAAUUAUCUAAGGGUAUACGCAAGUAUACUGCUUCCAAUUAUCUAAGGUAUGCGCAAGUAUACUGCUUCCAAUUAUCUAAGGGUAUACGCGAGUAUACUGCUUCCUUAGUCGGUGUUCGGGCCCGGACAGGGGUAAGAACGGUGACGGGUUAGGAGUAAAAAAUAAGAGGAUCUACAUGGACUAUAAGUAGUGAGAGUUGACGGAGGGUCAACUACGAGGAAUGGUGAUCAAGCGAGGAAAAUGGCUCCUGAGAGCCCCUGUAUCCUACCUUGUGCUGUUGUCUGCUUUUAUUAAGUGUGAAAUUGAAAUAUUCGUUACUUGCCUUAUGUGAUUGCAUGUUUUGGGGCACCACUGAGUUUUAACUCACCCCACGUUCAUUUGUUUUCCUUACAGGUCUUGAAGUUUGAAGGAUUUUAAGCUGCUUAUAUUUCCUAUGAAUGUACUUGAACAAAUUGAAUUUAAAUUUCGGUUUGUAAUGAAUUCUAAGUUAAGCACUGUACCUUUUAUUUUUGGUUGCCACUUGAACCUGGAAAAGUGUAAUCCCUAAUUCUAAUAUUCGGUAUGUAUGUUUGUAUUGGUAUAGUAUGUCUUUUAACCCUUGUGGGUAACGCGUGAAGUGUUUAAGAGCCGUCGAUUGGCUAAGUUGUGUGCUGUUAUCUCUGAAGUUAAUGUGGUGAUAGAAAUUGAUUUAUUUCGGAAGAAUUAUUCUGUAGAAGUUUAGGUUAAUCUCUGGAAGAUUUUGAGUUCGAAUGCUUGCGUGAGUCCUGGCGAGAGCUGGGCAGACGGCCCGCCAACCUUUGGUUCGCCUUAGGAGGAAGUGGGUCGCCACAGGUGGUAUCAGAGCCUAGGUUAGAAAAGUUAUUUGAGAGAUAUACUAUACGAGUUAGGAAUCCCGAUCCUUUUAGAAGUAAGAAUUGAGACCAUUAGAUAUAUCUUAAGUAAUGCCGAUUCAAUUAGCUAUUUAAGUUCUAACCUCUAAGUUUUUAAUUCUUUUGCAGGUAUGGAGAAUGGUAAUGGACAUGCUAAUGGUAAUGGGGCGUCUAAUGGACAUAUAGAGCCUCUUAGGUCCGUCUCCUAUAGGCCACGAGGCGGAGGAGCUCAUAUACGUUACUCCCCUGCUGAUAGGCAUCCUCGGUGUCAGUGUAGGGCCACUCAUGCCUACCCCAAUGAGCUAGUACUAUCCCUGGAUGAUGAGCGUCGCUAGCUGAGGGACGCUAACUUUACUUUGACUCAGGACGUAGAGGAGCUGAGUAUCAUGGUGGACACUCAGUUCGACCGUAUAGCUGAGUUAGAGUAGAGGGUAGCAGCGGAGCAUGCUAGGCUGGAGGCUGCUCGCGUAGAGAUAGCGCGUCAGAGAUCGAGGUGACUCGAUUGGCCGAAAGGAUACGUGAUAGGAGUGCCGGUAUCAGGGCUGAUGCCGCGAUGAUGAUAGAUGAGGCCACGAGUAUCCUUCAGGGUGUCGAGCAGGAGGACCCGGAGGAGGAUCCGGAUGAGGAUCCGGAGGAGGAUCCGGAGGAGGACGUAGCUCCUGAUAGCCCUGCUGAGGGUUAGGCUGGGAUCGAUUUGACCAUACUAGAUAUGUAGGGUUAGAAUAGGGGGACCUUAGCUAGGUCAUCAAGUUUUGUCUAGGUGGAUGACUUGCUUUCAAGGCACCAUAUCCCUAAUUUUUGUUUAAGGGAUUACUUGUAUUUGCUAGCCUUUGUGCCUUAUUUUUGGAAAAUGUCCCAACCUGCUAUCUGUAUGACUUUCACGUAUGAAUAUAUGCUAACUGUUUUAUUUCCUUAUCCCUCCAUUCCUAAGUUGAUUACUAGUUACAAAGAGAAUAAUAACAGCUUUAAAUAAACAAUCAACUUCCCUAAUUGCCUUACUUUUCAUAAUAGGCAUAACUAAACUAUGGAUCGCCAAGUGAUAGGAAGGAGCCGUGGGAGACCCACUAGACAACACUCGGAAGCGGGUGGUGAUAGGGAACCCGAGGUCAACCAAGACCAAGGGCAAGAGGGUGUGGCCGGAGAUCAAGUGGCCACUGCAAUUAACCGUAUCACUGACGUCCUAGAGCGCUUGACUGAGCAUCAAGCCUCUGGACGAGUGCAUCACCAAGGAGGUCCAGCCGAUUCCGAUGAUCGCGGGCACUGGAGAGAUUUCUAAAGUUCGGACCUCUCAAAUUCUAUGGAGGACCUGAACCGAAGGUAGCUGAGGGCUGGUGGGAGAGAAUCUCCGAUAUCUUUGUAGCUUUAAACUAUUCAGAAGAGCGACAAGUGACGUUUGCCACAUUCCAGUUUGAGGGAGCUGCUCGCUCCUGGUGGAACCUGGUAAGGGGAACUUGGGACAGGAACCAUACUCCAAGGACCUGGGCAAACUUCACAAGGGAGUUCAAUGCCAAAUUUCUUCCACCUCUCACUCAAGAGAAAAGAGAGGACGACUUCAUAAAAUGUAAGUAAGGGGCGAUGAGUGUCGCCGAAUAUGAGGUCCAAUUUACGAAACUGUCCCGAUUUGCUCCUGAAUUGAUAGCCACGGAGCAAAGGCGUGUCAGAAGGUUCGUGCAGGGGCUGAAUGUGGAAAUACAGGAAGGUUUAGCUGCCGUGAAGAUAGACACUUUCGCAGAUGCCGUCGAGAGAGCCCAGAGAGUUGAAGUAGCUAGGGCUCAAGUGAAAUCCUUUCAGGCCAAGAAAAGAUUUGCUCCUAGCAGUAGUCGGGAGCCGGCAUAUGGAAAUGCUCCACCGGCCAAAGUGGGCCGAGGAACCAGUGGAGUGACUAAUCCUGGAGCACCACGAGGCGCACAAGCAAGAGGAACCAGGGCAAGGAAUGCCGGGGAAGAAAUAAUGGAGCUAGAGGAGGAUCGAAUGGAAGGGGACAACCUAGGAAUACCUCACUAGGAGGCCGAGCAAUGAUUCCCCAAAUGACUUGCGCCUACUGUAAGAAACCUGGUCAUACUAUAGACGGUUGCUGGAAGCAGUAAGGAAAGUGCUUGAGGGCGGCAGUAGUGAGCACCAAAUUUCUGGAUGUCCAAAAGUGCAGGAAGGGACUACUCCGAACGCUAGACCCAACACUUCUGGAGGGAGCCGGCCGACAGUUCCUGCCAGAGUGUAUGCUAUAGAUGAUCAACCUGUACCUGAUUCCUCGGAAGUUGUGGAAGGUACACUUCCGAUUUUUCAUCGAUUAGCUAAAGUGUUAAUUGACCCUAGUGCAACUCAUUCAUUCGUAAAUCCAUCUUUUAUGUCUGGAAUUGACGUGAAACCUGUUAGACUACCCUUCGAUCUUGAAGUUAGGACACCAAUGGGUAAUAAGAAUGUAAUCACUGGUUUGGCCUAUAAGAAUUGUGAAUUCUGGAUUGGAGAGCGUAAAAUGCUAGUGGAUCUGAUCAGUUUGGACAUAAAAGGUUACGAUGUUAUAAUAGGAAUGGAUUUUCUAGGCCAUUAUCAUGCUAAACUUGAUUGCCGAGCAAAAGUGGUGAAAUUUGGUAUAUCUGGAGAAGCAACCCUGAGGUUAGAUGUUAAGGGUAGGUUAGCAUCGUCUGCUAUGAUCUCAUGAAUUAGGGCAAGGAAAAUGUUGUCCAAAGGAGCGCAAGGUUUCUUAGCCUUCUUGAUUAAUGCUCCCAGUGAUCAAGUGAAGUUGGAGGAUGUACCAGUAGUACGGGAAUUUCCGGACGUCUUUCCCGAAGAGCUAAAAACUCUACCGCCGGAAAGAGAAGUGGAAUUUAAGAUUGACUUGAUGUUUGGAACGGCUCCAAUUUCUAAAACUCCGUACUGAAUGGCUCCUGCCGAGCUAAAGGAGUUGAAAAUCCAACUGCAAGAUCUCUUGGAGAAAGGUUUUGUGAAGGAAAGUGAUUCACCGUGGGGAGCACCCGUUCUAUUUGUUAAGAAAAGGACGGAAGCUUGAGGUUAUGUAUCGAUUACGAGGGUUAAAUGAGAUUACAAUUAAGAAUAAAUACCCUCUACCGUUGAUAGAUAGUUUGUUCGACCAACUGCAAGGGUCAGUAGUUUUCUCUAAGCUGGACUUGAGGCAAGGGUAUUACCAGUUAAAGAUUAAGAAGGAGGAUAUACCCAAGACUGCUUUUAGUACGAGAUAUGGACAUUUUGAGUUCGCAGUCAUGCCUUUUGGUUUAACUAAUGCACCAGCGGCAUUCAUGGAUUUAAUGCAGAGAGUCUUUAAGAAGUAUCUGGAUCAGUUUGUAGUGGUUUUCAUCGAUGAUAUCUUGAUAUACUCUAAGACUCGAGAGGAACAUGUUAAGCACUUGAAGAUAGUUUUGCAGAUAUUAAGGGCGCAUAAGUUGUAUGCCAAAUUCAGCAAGUGCGAGUUUUGAUUGGAUGAAAUAUCUUUUCUAGGGCACAAGGUUUCCAAAGAUGGAAUUGCCGUGGAUCCGGCAAAAGUUGAGGCCGUUAUGAAUUGGAAGCAGCCAGAAACUCCAACGGAAAUUAGAAGUUUCUUGGGAUUAGCAGGUUAUUAUAGGCGAUUUAUCAAGAAUUUUUCGAAAAUUGUUGGACCCAUGACCGAGCUAACCAAGAAAGGGAAUAGGUUCAUUUGGACUCCGAAGUGCGAGUCAAGUUUUCAAGAAUUAAAGAAGCGUUUAACAUCCGCUCCUGUUUUGGUGUUACCUGACGGGGAAAAAGGUUAUGCCGUAUACUCCGAUGCUUCUGGAGAAGAUCUAGGAUGUGUUUUAAUGCAAAAUGGUAAAGUGAUUGCCUACGCUUCUAGGAAACUGAAGUCUCACGAACAAAACUACCCAACUCAUGACCUAGAGUUAGCAGCAGUGAUUUUCGCCUUAAAGAAAUGGAGACAUUACUUGUAUGGCGUGACUUUUGAGGUUUAUACGGACCAUAAGAGCCUCAAGUAUUUGUUCUCCCGAAAGGAACUAAAUUUGAGACAAAGGCGAUGGGUAGAAUUUCUGGAAGAUUAUGACUGUUCAAUUAAUUACCACCCAGGAAAAGCUAAUGUGGUAGCUGACGCUCUAAGUAGAAAGGCCCAAGUAGCAGGGUUAAUGGUUAAAGAGUGGGAUAUGUUAGAAGAAAUAAGUGGUUGGAACCCUCGCUUGGAAAAAUUGAAGGUUUUAUUUGGGAACUUAUCGUUGAAGUCACCGUUACUAGAGCGUAUUAAGGAGGCCCAGAAAACGGACCCUAUGAUUCAGAAGAAUUUGGAGAAAGUGCAAAAAGGGGAACCCCUAGACUUCAAAUUAGGGUCUGAAGGGGUAUUGAGGUUUCGAAAUCGAAUUGCGAUUCCAGCAGAUGAGGAGAUAAGAAAAGGAAUUUUAGAAGAAUCACAUCGGUCGAAGUAUACUAUACACCCAAACUCCGAGACAUCAAUCUCAGCUGAAGCAGUGGCAUUUCGCAAUUUGAGAAAAUUACAUUUUCAUAACUUUUACAAUUGGACACGUUGGGAAGACUUAAGUGAAGAUGAUGAAGAAGUUGCUCUCUCUAUCAUGCCACGUCUGGAGGAGUUAGAUUUUUGGGGCUGUGGAAAGCUUGAAAUUCUACCACAUCGCAUCCUCGGAAGGAUAUCAUCUCUCAAAAAAUUGGAUAUUGGGCGUUGCUCUAAGUUGAGAGAUCAUUACUCUGACAAAACAAGAGAUGACUGGAAACAAAUAUCACACAUUCCUCAAGUUCAUAUAUCCAAUUAGUAUUAAUCAGGUAUGGUUAUUCACACAUUUUUUUAUGUAUCUAUCAUCUUUGAAGUCAAAUAAUUGCUCCUUAUAGAACUACAACAAAGGAAGGCCUGCUAGAUACUUAUUCUAAUUACUACUUGUAGAAUAUGACCUGUGCUUAACAACGAAUCAAAUGUUAACAGAGCCAUAUGUAUAAUGAAAAUAUGAAAUAUUCAUUAAUAGUUUAGAAUGAUUUUUUUUUAAUUGAGAAGAUGCAAUUCAUUAACUAGUAAAUACAACACUAAAUUUCUAAUAAUAUCUAACUAUAAACUCUUUGAGUUUGGAAUUUCAUUUAUGUCUUGUCUUUUUGUUCUUUUUUUUUUUUUUGCUUUUGUCCUUUGUUUUUCAGAUAAUAUUCAUUGCUGGCUCAAAAUGAAGCUACAGCAAAAGGCAUUGACGGAUCAACCUCUACGUCAACUUUUCACUUGGAUUCAUGCAAAAUUUUGAAUAAUUGUAAAAAUAUGGUUGAAGCGACACAUCCACUUGCUUUGUUCAAAAUCAUUUGUUGAAAGCGUCUGUAACCUUGUCAAUUUCCAGAUUGAAUUUCAAGUGGGUACACAACCAGUCUUUAUUUCUUCAAAUUAUUAUUGUCCUAUUGUAUGUAAGUUUGUGUACAUUUAAUAAAGAAGAAUGUUUGUACAUUGUGCUUAUCUAUACAAUGUAUUAUUGACAACCUAUUAUUAGUGCACUUAUUUUAUAGUAUUAUUCUAAGAAUAACAUGAAUUCAAAUUUGAAAUUCAAAUAAUAUGCAUGUGGCAUACAUCCAAUAAUGUUAGUAAUAAAAAAAUCACUGCACUGUGACUGCAUAAAAGUUAAUCCUUAUUCUAAUGGUUAAAAGAUAACAAGUAGACAAAUUAUUCUUUAUCUUGUUUCCUUUCUUAAAAAAAUGUUUACAUAGAUAAUUGGAAUAACAAAAACUCAGACUACAAAAAUGCAUAUACGCUUAAAGGCACCAAAACUCAUGAUACUUUUAUAGUAGCAGUAGCAAUGGUAGUUCCAGUAGUAGUAAUGACAAUGAUUUGUUAAUAAUGCUUUCUUCUAAAAGUGAAUGGACUAAUUAGCUUUUUUUUAAAUUUUUUUUAAGAAGGGAAGGAAUGAAAUUUAAGAAGUGGGGAGGAGAUAAGGUGACUAAAACAAAAUAUCAUAAUAAAUCUUGACAAUUUCAUUCACAAGACAAAAGUUACUACCAACAGAAUUUUGAACUUGAAAGUUUGUAUGACAUAUCAUCAUAAAUCAAUUAUUUGCAUAGUUCACAUAUAUGAACCAGUUUAACAAACUAUCCAUAUUCCGAAAUUGAAUAUCAUCCUUUGUUCAUUUACUAUUAUAUAUGUUCAAUACUUAGUUGAAAAUAUGCCUUCCCCAUCCCUGCUUCCUAAUCAUACCCCUUCCUGAUAGAAACAAUUUUAAAAAAAUAAUUGAAAAAUUUAGACACGUAAUUAGUUAUCUUCAAGUUGAUUGAAGAUAAAUAGACUUUGACACAUCAGAGUUUAUUGUAUUUAUAUUCAACUCCAGUAGUUAGUUAUAUUUUGAUUCUUUCUAUAAAGGCUGUUAAAUCAUUUAAUCCAUAAAACUCACAUUUUAACCGUGAAAUUUGGCAGCACUAGCCUAAUGGCUUUCAUAAUUGAAAUCACUAUCUCUCAAGUACACAUUACCUGAUCAAAAAUUCCAUCUCUGGAGAAGCAAAAUUGGUACUUCCCGUUCAGCUUUCAGAAAAUCGAAAUAUGAAAGAAUUCCCAAAGAAACAACAGAACCUUGCCCAAUGCUACUAGAUUGCUACUUGUAAGGCCGGGUGCAACCCAAUGAGUACAAACAAUUUCACAAUGAUGCACAAAGAUAUAUCAAAUUUAAGCACAAUAAAGAAAACUUAAUUAAAGAGAAAAGAUAAGAAAUGCAAACCAAAUAUCAAUCCAAUAGCCUCUUCAAUAGAUGGCGAUGCUAACCAAGAUGUACAAGUGAAGGCUCACUCCUUCCUCACCCAAACACACUUUGGUUGAGCCAAGAAGUUUUACAACUAUUCUAGUUAACCCUCAACAACCUACACUUGAAAGAUCACUCACCCAAUUAAAAACUAUUUUAAACAAAUGAGGCAACCUUCACCAAGGUUUUACCACUUCAAGUGAUAGGUUCACCUUCACCAAGGUUUUACUCCACCUAGAGAGUAACCUUCACUUGAGCAACCUCACAAUCCAACUUUCCCAACCCCUUAUACAACCAACAAAGAAUCUUUCUACUCAAAAAUCUCACUUGUAAGCUUGUAUUUUGUGUUGGCAAAAGUCCUCUGUCUUCUUGUGUUUUGGGGUAUUUAUAGAAGGUGAGAAAUGGCUCCAAAAGGCUCUCCAACGGUCAAAUAUUAAAUGCUGUCGAAACUAGCCGUUGGCCUGUCGGACGUCCGACAGCUUAGUCAUCGUCCGAUCCCAUCGUCCAAACCACCUGUCGGACGUCCGAACCCUGCGUCCGAACGUCGUCCAGAGAGUUAUCAAAUUUUCGUGGAAUUUUUAGGACGUCCGACACGAUCGAUGUGCGUCCGAAGAGUGUGUCCGAUCCAUCCGGACGUCCGAUGCUUCCUCACGAGCGUCCGACAGAAUAUCCUUCCUGAUGUUCUUCAUCCUUUCGGACGUCCGAUAGCUUCCUUUCGGACGUCCCACAUGAGUGCCCUGUUUUUGCUUCUUCUUUUGUGCCACAAGAAUCUGUUCUAACAAAUUGCUCACAUAAAAAUAUUAGCCCAAAUCUACAUUUUGGUUUGUUAAUCAUCAAAACCAAGGACUGAUCAACCAAGGUCAACAAUCUCCCCCUUUUUGAUGAUGACAAACAAAAUGAAGAUUUCUUUGAUCAAAUAAGUUCAAAUAAAACUACCCCUUAGAAAAUGCCAACAUACAAAGAAACUUCAAUAAGUCCUACUCCCCUUUUGGCAUCAAUCAAAAAGCCAACUUCCCGUUUAUUUUUCAAGUCAAAACCAUAAUAGGGUCCUUGGGAGUUAUUACAACAUGAUCUAGCAAUCCACAUGGAUUUCAUACCUUUUCUCAUAUUUUUCUUUACAUAGCAAUCAUUUUGCAUAUGUCCAAAUUGGCAACAAAAGUGACACAUGAUAGAAGUAUUUUGCACAUAGGUGGAUUUAAUGCAACUAAUUUUCUUACUUCUUAUCAUAGCAAACUUAUUUGUGCCUUGAAAAGAUUUGCUUUCUUUUGUUUGAGAAAACUUUUGUUUUUCAUUUUGGAGAAACUCGUUCAAGACAUUAAUUCUUUUCUUUAACAAAUUUUGUUCCUCCAACAUUUUUUCAUAAAACUUUGUUUUCUCUUCCAACUUCCUUUUCAAAUUAUUUUUGCAAUCAAAAACACUUUUUUGAUUUUUUAAAUCAUCAUUUUUCAUUCUCAAACAUUUAUUUCUUGAAAAAGUUUGGAAUUUUCUUCCAACAAAUCAUUUAUUUUUGUUUUCAAAUCUUUAUUUUUAGCAUAAGAUUUUCUCAAACUUUUAUGCAUUUUAAUCAUAAGAAUUUUCACAUCAUCAUCUUCAUUAUCUUCAUCACAAGAAGAGUGAUAAGAACUUACCUCAUCUUCUCCAACGGCCAUUAGUGCCAUUUGGGCCAACUCUUCUUUUUCUCUUUUUGAAUUGCAUUCAUCCCAUGUAAUUUUGCAAUCUCCUCUUGAACAUCUCUUGUUGAAGAUCUUUUUGAAACUUUUGAUGUGAGGAGUUAUAUCAUUGUCCACUUCCAUGAUUUCAUUACCCAUGAAGGAUGGGUUAUCCCCCACUUGAGAUGCUUUAAAAGCUAUGCCUCUCUUAUACAUUCUUGCAUUUUCUUCCUCUUGCACUUUGAAUUUCAGCUUUAAUUCAUAAGAGGUUAGGGUAUCCACAAGAGAUUCAAUGGACAUAGAAUUUAAAUCCUUUGCCUCUUCUAUAGCAUUUAUUUUGUUUUCCCAUUCUUUUGGCAAGCAUUCAAAAUCUUUCUAUUUUUCUCACCCAAAGAAUAUUUUUUUCCAAGCAAUUUAAGAUCUUCAAUAAUGUCACAAAAUCUACUACACAUCUUAUCAACAUUUUCAAGAGGAUGCAUUUUGAAAAAUUCAUAUUGAGAAACAAGCAAAGAUUUCUUUUGUUCUUUAAUAUCUUGUUACCUUCAUGAAAUACACACAAUUUAUCCCAAAUAUCUUUAGCUGAUUUACAACCUUUAAUCCUACUAGAUUCAUUUACAUCUAAUGCAUUGUACAAUAUACACAUGGCCUUGGCAUUCAAAGAAAGGUAUCUCUUGUCUUUUUCAUUCAAUUCUUGUCUAGUCUUUAAUCUACUCAAAUUGGUGAUAGAGUCAACUAUUCUAGCUUCAUAAGGACCAUCUUCUACCACAUACCAUAAUUCAAUAUAAACGGAUUGUAAGAAAAUCAUCAUUCUUUGUUUCCACAUGCUAAAAUGAGAACCAUUAAACAUAGGUGGUCUAUCAAUAGAUUGCCCUUCUAAAAAGAAACUUUUAUGGUUGCCAUGAUCUUUACUCUAAGCGGUUAAGCUUGAUCAAAAGAGACCAAGCUCUGAUACCAAUUGUAAGGCCCGGUGCAACCCAAUGAGUACAAACAAUUCACAAUGAUGCACAAAGAUAUAUCAAAUUUAAGCACAAUAAAGAAAACUUAAUUAAAGAGAAAAGAUAAGAAAUGCAAACCAAAUAUCAAUCCAAUAGCCUCUUCAAUUGAUGGCGAUGCUAACCAAGAUGUACAAGUGAAGGCUCACUCCUUCCUCACCCCAAACACUUUGGUUGAGCCAAGGAGUUUUACAACUAUUCUAGUUAACCCUCAACAACCUACACUUGAAAGAUCACUCACCCAAUUAAGAACUAUUUUAUACAAAUGAGGCAACCUUCACCAAGGUUUUACCACUCAAGUGAUAGGUUCACCUUCACCAAGGUUUUACUCCCUAGAGAGUAACCUUCACUUGAGCAACCUCACAACCCAACUUUCCCAACCCCUUAUACAACCAACAAAGAAUCUUUCUACUCAAAAAUCUCACUUGUAAGCUUGUAUUUUGUGUUGGCAAAAGUCUCUGUCUUCUUGUGCUUUGGGGUUUUAUAGAAGGUGAGAAAUGGCUCCAAAAGGCUCUCCAACGGUCAAAUAUUAAAUGCUGUCAAAACUAGCCGUUGGCCUGUCGGACGUCCGACAGGUGUCAUCGUCCGACCAUCGUCCGAACCACCUGUCGGACGUCCGAACCCUGCGUCCGAACGUCGUCAGAGAGUCAUCAAAUCUUUGGAAAUUUUCGGACGUCCGAUGCGAUCGAUGUGCGUCCGAGGUGUGCGUCCGAUCCUUCCGGACGUCCGAUGCUUCCUCACGAGCGUCCGACAGAGUUUCCUUCUUGAUGUUCUUCAUCCUUUCGGACGUCCGAUAGCUUCCUUUCGGACGUCCGACAUGAGUGCCUGUUUUUGCUUCUUCUUUUGUGCCCAAGAAUCUGUUCUAACAAAUUGCUCACAUAAAAACAUUAGCCCAAAUCUACAUUUUGGUUUGUUAAUCAUCAAAACCAAGGACUGAUCAACUAAGGUCAACACUACUUAAGUUACCAGGUUUGACAAGAAACUGGCACUAAUUUCACCAACAAGUUUGUUUACAAAUAGACAAAAAGCCUACAAACAUCAAAUUGGAAACCAACGUAGUGCAUGAGAGUAUAGAAGAAACUGUUAUAUAAGGUUUACAAAAAUCCCAACAAAUAUUCCAUGUAACCCAAUGUAGCCCACGAUUGAAUGCAUGCAGGGAAUUACAACACAAAAUCUUUGGAAUAAGGAAUCCUAUUCUGCCUGCUGAGAAGGAUUCAGAAUAGAAGAAUUACAACAGUACAAAGCUCUAAUGUUGGUCGACAGCACCUGCUUCCUAAAAUUUCAGAUGGUGUUCAAACAAAGAAGCCAUUUCAAUCUGCAAUACAACUCAAACAAGGAAACAAAUUCAUCUUUGGUACCGGAUCAUGAAUAGACAUUAUUAGAGAGGAAAAUGCAGAUCAGGAACAUUAAUUUCUAAAAAUAUGGUACAACUCAUUAUUUUGUCAGACCCAGGAUACAAAAUGAACAUCAUGCCAUUAAAUAUGCUAUGACAGCAAAAACAGACUCUUCCCGCAAGAGUUUCUUACUCAUAAGAUGAUGACCUAAAGAAGGACAAUAUUACGAGCAACAAUCAAUCAGAAUUUGAUUUAGAAACCUACUGACAACUACAUGCACUGUCAUAAACUAGAUACAAGUCGGAACUAGAGAUAGAGUCCUACUGAGAAACUCUGGUUGGGAAACCACCAGCAUCACAGAGAGACCCACCAAUGGUCGUUAUGGAGUUCAACCCCUUAUUUGCCUUCUAACUCCCAUUUUUAACUCAAAAAAUAAUUUAUUUUGGAUGAUCGAUACCUCACUGCUUAAGUAAGAACGCCCUUUCCAAGCAUUCCUAUUGGCUGUAUAAUACUAAAUUAUAUUGAGAGAAGGCCAGUUACAAGGACAAAAUGCAGCAGAGAUGGAGAAAUUUGUCAAAUCACCCCUUUCCAAUGCAACCAAACCAAAAAGAAAAACAGAAAAGGUUCUUUAUUGAUGACAUUUGAUUUAAACGGAACACAAACCAGAUACUAUUCAAAAAGCAAACAAUUUGUCAGACAGCAAAUAAAUACUCCAUGGAGUAAAAUGACAAGAAAAUGAAGAGACAAGAAAGUAACUCAACAAAAUGAAAUUGACUUACAGCUGUCAGCGCUGCUUCAGCACCUUUAUUUCCGGACUUACCAGCAGCUCGAUUGAGAGCCUGCAUUUAUCAUAAUGUAACUUUAAGAAAUGGGGUACCAAUGGGAAAAAUUGUAGAAUACUGGUAAAGAUCAGGGCAACAAUUUCCGUCAGCAUAGAAAUUUGACCAAAAUUACCCACAGGAAGAUUAUCAUAUUCAGCAACAUGACAAUUAUAUGAUGAACUCUUUUAUGAUUUUCAAUGCAAUAACUCCCAUGAAAAAGAGUAUAGGAGAUCAGAAAGCUCAACCAUGAGUUUACAUUGAGUUGUAUUAAGCAAAAGAGAAAUUUCAUGAAUUUACCUGCUCCAUGUCAUCACAGGUCAAAAACCAAAUAUGCAUGGAACACCUGGAAUUCAUUCAAAGGAAAAUUAAAUAUUUCACCAUUAAGGCACUGUAAAUGUUUUGAGACUGCAUUCCACGGACAGAAUUGUCUGUAUCUGAAACACAAAAAUGAAGUUAUAAGUGUGCACACAACAACGCAAGUUGAUGAUUCCUAGGUUGCUUCUACGGUGGAAAGCUGAGUCGUCUUUGUAUAGUAGGCAGAACAAAAGGAAUGAGGACAGCACAUGAGCAUGGGCCGGCAAAGGACAGCGUCCGUGAAAUAGCUACCGAAACCGGGUGGAAGGAGUUGUAAACAUGGGACCCACUUUAGUAUAUGGACUGUAUUAUUGUGAAUAAACAUGCACCCAGACAAGUUGUGGGCAUGUUUUAUGACCCCCAAAACAAGUUGUGGGCGUCCCCCAUUUUGGAAUAUACGGGAGUAGAUCGUUGAUUAUAAAUUGGCGCGAAGAGAAGUAAAAAAUAGUGGAAGAGUAGAAAUAAUAGGAUCGAAUUUGUUUAAAAAAAAAGAACCGAAAUUAUAUAUAUAAACCAUACAUAUGAUCAUAAAUCAAGAUUAUUAAGCGGUAAAUGUUUAUUUAAAGAAAGAAUUAUGUUGAUUUAAACUAAAUUGUUAGUUGAUGCAAAUGAGUGAAUAUAUACAUAAUUGACCAAAAUUUUAGGUGAGUAAUCGUAAACAUAAUUAACAUUAUUUGAAAAAAUCAAAAUUUGUGGUUGUGGAUAAUUAAUCACAAUCAUAAUUAACAUAGUGAAUUUGAUUCACAAACAUAAUUAUAUAGUUGACAUAAUGACUUUUAAGCCAGUAUUGAAAAUCAAUCUGGAGUGUAAUUUACACUUUGCAAUAGCAGUUGUUCAAUUCCAAAUUAAUUAAGACUAUAACAAUUGUUGAUCUUAUUACAAACAAUAUUAAACUUAUAUUCGUUAAUUAUCAUCGAUUUUAAUCUCAACUUCUGAUUGAGUGACAACAUCUUAUCUUAACACAUGUAUUGAACAUAUCCAAUCUCUCUUUCGAUUUCAAGUUCACUAUGUCAAUUACAAUUUUUGCUCAUAUUGAAAAGAACAAUUUAUGUUCUCCCUCAAACAUAUAUUCAAGUCCUCUAUGUCAAUUAUGUUUAUAAUUAGGCACCAACAAAUUUAGUUUUGUUUUUAAAACAAAAUUUUCAAUUAUAUUUGUGAUUACUCAUCUGCAAUAUCAAUUCCGAUUUCAAAGCUAUGAAAUGAACUGUGAUUGUCAUAUAUCAUGUACAAUCAUAAUUAUAGGAGUACAAUGUCAAUUAUAAUUAGAGAGUUUUUGGUGUCCAAUUUAAUAUUGCUAAUUAUAGAAGCAUAAUGCUAAUUAUAAUUUCACUAGUGAGUAUAAAGGCAUCCGUCUGGUUCGGUGUUGAUUCGUUCAGCCCCCUCCAAAUUUCCCAUUGACUUCCUUGAAUCCACUUAGGGGUGACAAUUUCCGACAUGAUUUGAAAACACAAUACGAGUCUUAUACGAAAUUAAUAGGUUUAGGUUGAGGUUUCGCAGGUUUGGAUCAGAACCGGGUCGAACCCGAUGAACCCAAAAAGAAGUCGAAUACGAGUCAAUCCGUUGGUGACCCGAUAACCCGUUUACGAAUUAAAAAUUAUUUUAUCUAACUAAACUAAGUUAUUCUUUUUUUUUUCCAAAGGCAUUAAUCACUUAAUCUUAAAUGAAUUUAUUUAACUUGUGUGAAGUUAAAAUUAUUAUAUUUGGACAAAUAAUGUAUUAUAUUAUUUUUUACUUUUAUACUGUUUUAAUUUAUUUUAUAUUUGGUUUGUGAUAAUACACUUUUACGGUGUUUUAUUUAUUUUAGAUUUGGUUUGGGAUUAUUUAUUUAAAUUUUUAUUACUUGAUUACGUAAUUAGUUUUGUGCAAAAUUGGUUUUAUUAAAAAUUACAGUGAUAAAUUAAAAUUAAAAUUAAAUUUCGAGUAAUUUCGGUUCAACCCUCCAACCUGAAAUUUUUUGGGUUCGGGUCAAGUAUCCUGACUCUUUUCGGUUUAGGGGUCAAGUUCGGGUCAGCGAGUUUUCUUAAAAAGAAUACAUUGGAAUGUCCUUCUUUAACAAAUCCCAAAAAAAAAACAAAAAAAAGAGCCUACAGCCAAAAUUUUUCAUAUAUCCAAAAUCUGGGAGACUAAUGAGAAUUUAAAGACAGACAAGACUUCCACCCGGUUUCGGUAGCAAUUUCACGGACGCUAGUACACAGAUAGACAAGACUUGCUUAAACAAGCAGAACCCGAUGAUGUUGCAAAACAUGACGACCUGGAAAAAUACGAUUACGUCUACGGUGGAAAUUGGGCAUUAGAUGAUGAAUAAAUUUUUAAGAGGGCUUUUAUUAUAAUUUUAAAAUGUAUUGCAUUAUUUCAUCCAAGCACAACGCUUUCUCCAGUGUCCGGUACAUUAUUUCUUUGUGCGUCCCCACAGAGCACAGUUGGCCUCCUUGCAUUGCUUCUGCCUACUGUGGGCAGAAAGUGAACUUUCCACCGUAGACGUAACCUUGAGUAUAGGAGAUCAGAAAGCUCAACCAUGAGUUUACCUCCUUGCAUUUCUUUAUGAUUUUCAGUGCAAUAACUCCCAUGAAAAAGAGUAUAGGAGAUCAGAAAGCUCAACCAUGAGUUUACAUUGAGUUGUAUUAAGCAAAAGAGAAAUUUCAUGAAUUUACCUGCUCCAUGUCAUCACAGGUCAAAACACCAAAUAUGCAUGGAACACCUGGAAUUCAUUCAAAGGAAAAUUAAAUAUUUCACCAUUAAGGCACUGUAAAUGUUUUGAGACUGCAUUCCACGGACAGAAUUGUCUGUAUUUGAAACACAAAAAUGAAGUUCUAAGUGUGCACACAACAACGCAAGUUGAUGAUUCCUAAACGCCUCAAGUACCAGUUAUGAGGUAUGUAUCCGUAAGUUCCUACGCUAAACAUUUUUCUCAUCUUCUGACAUUUGAGAAUAUAAGAUCCUCUGCUUCCGUGUCUAUGAGCACAAAAUGGGAAAAAUAGGUACAACCACUAUGCAGUGCACUUAUUACAAAUAAGACAAUUUCAAAGUGGUUCCAAGUUGCAAUAAACCAUGAACAUCUUUCAACAACACAAGAUGAGUGCUUUUAACACAAAAACCAUCUGUCAACUAGGCAAAAAUUUCCAUCACUGCUACCACCUAUGGAUAUGUAGUAUUACACAGUUACCAAUUUUUUAUUCCUUUCUUAACAAAACUUGUUUAACUAAGCUACUGGAUAUCUAGCUAAUACAAUCAAAUCUACCAAGGCUCCUCUAAUGACGAUUUCCCCUAGGGCUGAAUUCAUGCUUUUAGUAUUUCAAGUUAGUAAGAAUUGUUUCUCCAGAUCAUAUAGUGGUUUAGAUAGAAGCCAUUCCCAGUAUAUGAAAACAUCAAGAUCAAGAAAACUUGCAUAUCAUUUCCAUUAUGAAGGGCAAUUUUAUUAUUACAGUUUGUAGUUCACAUUUAUUGCUUCAUUAGGUAUUGAAAUAAACCAUACCCUGGGCUAGUAAUCUAUAUGGAAAUGUAGGCAGGAGCCGGAUAAUUCUCUUUCUUGAAACCUGACCUCUUCCUCUCCCCUCCAAACUUCUCAACAAAUAUAAAGUAACAGCGAAGAAUAAAAGACAUCAUAUUUUACUUGCUUUACACAAACUCUAUUUUCAUAUACAUUAAAGAAAACAAAGUCACUUCUGAUAAUUAUAUAACUGAAUCAUCUCUCUUCUGCCCACAGGAAAUUAACCCUCAUGCUUGGUAUCCCAAAAAUCUGAGAGUCAAUAAGCGGAAAAAAAAACUAGGUAAAUCAGGAAAAUCUAUUAUAGAAAGUUUUUUUUCUUACACAGCAUAUGAGGAACAGAAAUCUCAUGCUGAGCAGUGUACUAUAAUAAUGCAAACAUAAAAAGUGAAUUAGCAAAUUUGAGAGAUAUAAUACAGAAAGUUACCGCCAACAGUGGAAAGACAUUCAAAUUUUGUGUUUGACUACAUUGACUAACCAGAUUUAAGGCCUGCAGACAGUACUCCGGAUGCAGCUGAAUUAGCCACAGCAUCAUAAUGGGAAGUAUCGCCUCUAAUGUACUGGCCAGAAGAGCAAGUAACAGGAAAAAAAAACACAUGAACAUUGAUUCAUGCACUAACAACUGGCAUGAAAUAAGGAACCAGUAGCUGGUAAUGAAGUUGAAUGGUACCAUAAUCCGGUAAUUAAAAUGAAUGAACUCAAGCCAUGAAACCUCAUACAAAUAACUGAGGAUCUAAACAACCUACAAGAUGUUUUAGCAGUCAUUACAUAUUUGUACUCUUUAAGAAAAAUAAGAAUCAUAGAAUCACUAUUUUAAAGCAGAAGCAUAAAGUUACAAAAGUUGAAGUAACAAUUUUUUCCCCAAAUAGAACAAUUAUCAUCCAGAUGCUCUCAUAUCCAGAUUCAGGUUUUCAAUUCUUCAACUGAGUAAGAAGAAACAUAACCACCAUUUCUCUCCUUUUAGAAACUAUAAGCAACCUCUUAUAGUCUAGCUUUGUCAAAUGUUACUAGAUGACUAGCCAUCAUCCAACAGCCAAGAUCAAAAAAAUAUAAGGACAGGGGAAGAAAAUAGGUCCACACAUGUAUGUGCGCAUGAGAGAGAGACAGAGAUAUAUAUAGAGAGAGAGAGAGAUAGAGAGAGAGACGGGAGGGAGGGAGGGAGGGAGGAUUUUGAGAGAGAGAGAGAGAGCAUGACCUUCUCAUUAUGUUUUAAGAGUCCAAUAUCCACUUGUAUCCAAUUUAGAAAGCAGUAAUCACACGAAAAGCCAAUGCGUCCUCUUUUCAUCAGCAAAAUCAAAAUUGUUUCUCUACUUCCAACUGAAAUUUACAUUUUCAAUUUUUGGAAUACAAGGUUCAAAUGUGGAAGAAGAAUUUGAUAAUGAUGGUUGAUUUUACCAAGUUUAAUGUGAAGUUAGAGCCAUCAUCACCAUUAAAAGGUAGGAAUUCUAUUACAAUUAGUAAAUACUAGAGAGCCCCCUACUAAAUAAUCUAGAAGUAUAUUAUCAACUCAAACAUAAAUCAGAGCCAUCAUCACCAUUCAUUGGAAGAGCCUUAAGUAUGUGAUUUUGUUUAUGGCAGUAAUGACCGGACUUUUCCCUAUUAUAUUUGGUGCCUUAGAAAAUCUAUCCCGCCCAUUCUACCCUUUAUUUUUUUUUCCGCGGGACAACCAAUACAAUCAAGAAAGGGAAGGAAACGAGUAUAACUUAAGGUAAUCCUGAAGCUCGCAAGAACAGUCAAAAUGCAGAUUAAGGGAAAACUUAGAAAUCUCAUUAGCAGCAAUAAGAAACCAGUCCUAAGCAGAUAUGAUUGAAACAAACAACCUGAAAUUAAGUAGCAUUUCUGCAAAAACUCUCCGUGCCCUUCUAUAAUGGAAGUUACAUUAUAUUUGCAAUUAGUUCAUAUCAAUUUACUACUAACAAAUGUUAAAGACCAUAUUAUAUCAACUAUUCCACAGAAAAAGCUUCAUUUUUAAGCAUUGCUAGAAGAUUCCUGAUCCGAACUACAGUGGCUUACAUAGCUUGAAGCACCGGAAUCAGACAGCUCCUUCGGCCUAUGGCCUCAAACAAUGGCUCAGGUCUUAAGCCAAAGACAUCUUAGGAACAAUAGAAAACUAUUGUGUCUUAGGUAUUCAACAACACUGAUCACAACAAUGUUUUAUCAAAGUUAAAUUUAUGCUUGUACAAUGAAAGGUGCAUCUUAGGAACAAUAGAAAACUAUUGUGUCUUAGGUGUUCAACAACUCUGAUCACAACAAUGUUUUAUCAAAGUUAAAUUUAUGCUUGCACAAUGAAAGGUGCAUCUUUGGCCUCAUUCUGGUUGUCAGCCAAAAAACAAAUGUUGGUUAUUUAACUUCCACGAACAUGUCCAGUAAACUGCUCCUAAAGCAAUUCUAAUUUUUAGUAUUUGAUCGAAAUUUCCCAAGAAACACUAUACAUGGCCAAACCAAUACUUGACCAAGAAGGUUUGCAGUUUACCAAGCAUCAAAACAUGGAAAACUUUCAUUAGAGAUGACUAACUUAGGUAGAUGUUUGUCCUCAGAUUCAUCUGGACCUGAGGUGUAAAGGCAGUUAUGUAGCUAACAGUGUUUCAAAAAGGCAAAGGCUGGCCGUUACUUUGAAACAGAACUGGAUAUUCUGAGGUAAAGGAGUUGUCAAAGAACCAGUUCUGGCAGUGAGUUUCAAAGUGAUUUCCAAAGGUUAAAUGGAGAAUAAUAAAAAAAGACAGAGCCGUUUCAAAGAGGUUUGACACAAAGAUGCAGGGAUGAACCUGAUUCAUAAGACUCUAGAAAUUACUAAUAAGACAAAAUGAUAUAACAUCUAAUUGCCAUCUUUAGGGGAAUUAAAAAAAAUUAUAACACCUGAAAGCCAUCUUUAGGGGUGUUAGGCAUGGUGUUUUAUCUCAGUUGGGGCAAGCUUAAAGCACCAAGCGUAAGGCGUUAGCCCCGCAAAUCUUGAAAUUUCAAUAUUAAUACAUAGAAACUAUGUAUAAUUUGUUAUAAAAAAAUAUUACUAAAUGCUUUAAAUUUAAAAAAUAUCACAGAGAAUUAUAACAGAUGGAUAAAUAAAACAUACACUACAACUUGAAUUACCUAAUAAAUAGGUGUCAAAAACACAAUCCCUCCAUCAAAUCAUUAUCUAUAGAUCAUCCAAAACUAAAAGGACAGCUGUCUAUCUUUCACUUUAUAAACUACUUAUUUUAAUUUUUUUCCACAAUUGGAAAAUACAUACAAGGUUGACCCAAAGCACAAGAAGACCAAAAUAUAAAGUUGAUAGAAACAUUAUCUUAAGCCUUAAAUCACACUACAUGGCAUGUAAACUAAUAAGUACAAUGUUUUUUGUAAUUAAAAAGAAAAAAAGUUCAUAUGUAAAUCAGAAAAGUAAAGGAGUCAAAAAAUGAUGGUCCGGUAAAAAUACCAUGGAUUAAGAGAUCGGACUGUGCAACAAAGAGAGACCAAGUGAAUUUUUAAGUUUAUAAUUGUAAACUGUCCCACAUUACGGAAGCAAAUAAUGCAUGUGAACCUAUGCACUAUGAACUACAAAUUUCUGACUGUGAAGUACUCCUAACAAAUAUGCAUUACAGCGCAUAUGCAUCAAACUUUGGGGCACAAAAGCCAUGGCUUAUCACCUAAGGCAUAUGCCUCAACUGUCUUGGCAAACACCCUUCAAUACCCAGGCCCCACCUGAUUGUCCCAAGGCAUUUUCAUUGCUGGGCGCAUUUUUAUAGCAUUGGCAGCUAAUUCUUUAUGCCAUUUUUUUUAUCUAUCACUUGUCAAGUUUUUUAUUAUUAUUAUUUUUUUCUGUAUUGUAGAACUCCUUAAUAGAUUGUAUGCCAUAGGCAAAGUAGUAGAAGACUACAGCGUCAUCCAUCAUGUGCACAUACUGUUUUUUAGUAUGUGCCUCCCUAUGCACAAGACUGGAAACUUUUAAUUCUUUAUCUACAGUAGAUGGAUUCACUGAAGAGUUUUUGGUAUUUUGAAUUGCAUCUCUCUCAACAUAUAUUUAUAGGUUCAGCUAAAAAUCAAGAUAGUACCCCAUAAAUGGUCCAAUAGAUCAGUCCAACAUUAAGCAAUGAUUCAUCCCCCAAACAGAAAGAUAGGAAAACAUAGCAUAAACUCUUGCAAAUGUGUGCAUUUGUGGUAGUUUUAAUCUUCAACGCUGAAGACAACACUUUCCAGUCUAACUGCAUAACAAGUUUCAAAUUUUAUGAACAACUCAGGAAAACUAAUAUCCAUAAGGAUUCCAGCCUUCACAUCAAGUGAAGACGAGUAAAGUCUAAAUGAGUAUAAUAAUGUUUUACUGGCAGUGAUAGUUCCGUGCAUCAUAUGGAACACUUGACUGGUUCGCAGCUAUGAGCAGGUUGAUUUAAACAUCAAGGAUGUCCUCACAGGAAUAACUAAUAAUGUAACAGUUGAUCUAUGAUAUCGGUGUAACCAUUUUAGGGGCCGUUAAAGCUGAGAACACUGGAUUCUAGCCAAUGUCAGUUACAAUUAAGCUACAAAUACAAGAGUGAAACAGUAGCAAUCAUACUUUGUUUUGCGAAAGAGAAUACCAUUUAAUAGCCUGAUGCAACUUAUAAGCAAACCAAAGAAUGCUAAAAAAAAUUCUCCAUAACUAAUGCUUCAAUUGAAUGGGAAAAGAGUAUAAGUGGAACAUAAACAACUAAAUGAGGGAAUCAAAUCUACUGACCAAGCAUUAUCAAACAGGAAAUAGCUGAUGAGUGCUUACCAUAGCUCCAAUACAUAAGAUGGCUUGGUACUUUCUUGACUUCCAAAGUUUCUCUGCGACCAGACCAAUUCAAAACUACCGGAACCCACACAACCUGAUGCAAAAUGAUCAUAAGGAUUCAUAUGUAACCCAUUAAGAGCAGUUAAAAGGGCAUAUUUGAGUGAUGUACAUAAUACAUUUGGCCAAUUCAUUUUCUUGCAUUAUUAACAAACCCCAAUUGUAAACUGUGUUACUUCCUGAAAACUAAGAAAAAUGGAGAGAAAAUACUUUUCUUCAUCUUAUUUGGACUACACAAUAUACAUAUAUAUAUACACAAGUGUAACCUAAUUUAGAUCCUAAAAUCGUGCUAAUCUAAAUCAAUCUACUACCUAAUUAAUACAUGAUACUAUAAUCAUAUGAUACCUAAUUAAUACAUGAUACUAUAAUCAUAUCUUUCCUAAUAUUAGAUCACAUAUCUUCAACACUCCCCCUCAAGUGGAGCAUAGAUGUUGUUCAUGCCCAGCUUGUUACAAAGGUAAUCAACUCGAACCCCAUGUAGAGCCUUCGUAAAGAGAUCUCCCAAUUGUUCUUCAGUCCUUACAAAUCCUGUAGAAAUCAAGCCCUGCUGUUUUUCUCACGAACAAAAUGACAAUCUAUUUCGAUGUGUUUUGUUCGCUCAUGAAAUACGGGAUUGGAUGCAAUAUGAAAGCCGCUUGGUUAUCACACCACAAUUUUGCAGGCAUUGUGGUUUUGAGACCUACUUCAGUUAGAAGUUGAUUUAUCCACAUGAUUUCACAUGUCGAUUGUGCCAUAGAUCUAUAUUCUGACUCUGCACUCGAUCGCGAGACAACAUUCUGCUUCUUACUCUUCCAUGAGACCAGAUUUCCUCCAACAAAGACACAAAAUCCAGUUGUGAAUCUUCGAUCUGCCUUGGAUCCUGCCCAAUCAGCAUCUAAGAAACACUCAAUCCUAGUAUGACCAUGAUUUUUAUACAAAAUACCACGUCCAGGAGCUCCUUUUAAAUAACACAAAAUUUGUUCUACAGCUGCCCAAUGAUUAACAGUAGGAUUAGACAUAUAUUGACUAACAACACUAACUGAAUACGCGAUAUCUGGACGAGUCACUGUAAGAUAAUUCAAACUUCCAACCAAUCUUCUAUACCUCCCAGGAUCUUCUAACAAUUCACCUUCUUUUGUGAGCUGCAAGUUAGGGAUCAUUGGGUACUAGCUGGUUUAACCUCCAAUUUUCCCGUUUCAGAUAGUAAUCAAGAACAUAUUUUCUUUGGGACAGGAAUAUCCCCUUCCUACUCUUUGCUACCUCAAUACCCAAAAAAUACUUUAACAGUCCCAAAUCCUUUGUCUGAAAUUGACUAUGGAGAAAAGUUUUAAGAGAUGAAAUACCUGCAGUAUCAUUCCCAGUGAUAACAAUAUCAUCCACAUAUACUACCAACAAAAUAAUACCAGCUUCUGACUGUUUGUAGAAAACAGAGUGAACAGAUUUGCUUUUCUGCAUCCCAAACCUUUCAACUGCUAGACUAAAUUUUCCAAACCAAGCACGAGGACUUUGUUUCAGUCCAUACAAGGACUUCCGAAGAUGACAAACCUUCCCAGACUCCCCUGAGCAACAAACCCUGGUGGUUGCUCCAUAUAAACUUCCUCUUGGAGGUCUCCAUGAAGAAAGGCAUUCUUGAUAUCUAGUUGAUGCAAAGGCCAAUUAUGAGUGGCUGCCAUAGAAAUGAAUAACCUGACAGAUGUUAACUUAGCAACAGGGAAAAAGUGUCAGAAUAAUCCUCUCCAUAGAUUUGAGCAUAGCCUUGGCAACAAGGCGAGCUUUUAAUCGAGCAACCGAUCCAUCAGAUUGAAUUUAACUGCAAAAAUCCACUUACUCCCAAUGGUCUUCUUCCCUGCAGGUAAAUUUACUAAGUUCCAAGUAUCAUUACCAUCUAGAGCAUUCAUCUCCUCUAUCAUAGCAUUGCGCCAUCCGGGAUGGGAUAGGGCUUCAUGAACAGUUUUAGGAAGGGAGAUAGAAUCAAUAGAUGUAAUAAAGGAACAAAAAGAUGGGUAGAUGAUUAUAAGAUACACACGAAGACACAGGAUAAGUGCAUUGACGCUUACCUUUGCAAAGAGCAAUAGGAAGAUCAUCACUUGAGACAGGAUCUAGUAACGAAGGAACUGAUUCAGGGCAUGCAGCAGGAGACUUUUGUCGUCGAGAAUAUACCUGAGUAAUUGGAGGUUUAGCAGGGGAAGAUCUUGAAGAUGUGACAGUAUAGAUUAACAAAUCAUCAUCCUCCUCCUGACAUGAAUGAGAUGAGGAUGGGGUAAAAGGUAUUUUUAAUAAAAGUAACAUCAACUGACACAAUGUACCUGCCAAGACUAGGACAAUAACAUCUAUAUCUUUUUUGGACACGGGAAUAACCAAGAAAAAUACAUUUCAAUGAUUUGGGGUCUAAUUUAGUGACUUGGGGACGAGAGUCGCGGAAAAACAUGUACCCAAAGAUUUUAGGUUCGAUGGGAAACAAAGGCUAUUUGGAAAAAGAGUAUUAUAAGGAGUCCCGUCAAUCAAAACAGAUGAAGGCAGACGAUUAAUUAGAAAGCAAGCUGUGGACACUGCAUAGCCUAAAAAUGUUUAGGAACAUGCAUUUGAAAUGAUAAGGCUCUUGUAGUUUCGAGCAAAUGUCUAUUCUUUCGUUCUGUGACCCCGUUUUGGGAUGGUGUAUCCACACAAGAGGUUUGAUGAAUAAUGCCAUUUUGCACCAUAUAAGAUUGAAAAGGUGCGAAUAAAUAUUCUUUGGCAUUGUCACUUCGUAAUAUUUGUACAGAAUGCUUAAAUUGAGUCUUAACCUCAGCACAAAAAGCACAAAAAUGAGAAAACAACUCUGACCGAUUUUUCAUUAAAUAUAACCAAGUCAUACGAGAAUGGUCAUCAACAAAAGUAACAAAAUACUUGAAUCCAGUUUUAGAAAUGACUGGACUAGGUCCCCAGACAUCUGAAUGAACUAAUGCAAAAGGAGCAUCCGCUCGUUUAUUGACUCUAGGACUCAGAUUAACACGAUGAUGUUUGCAAACUGACAAGACUCACAAUCUAAUAGAGACAAACUCUGAAAUUGUGGACAAAGUAUCUUUAACAACGGGAGAGAAGGAUGACCCAGCCUACAAUGUGUUUCAAAUGGAGUUACAAUUCCAGAACAAGCUAUGGACUUUGGUAUCUGUGUGUCAAGAAUGUAAAAACCUCCAGAUUCAUGCCCUUUACCAAUAAUCUGCUUCGUCGUAAGAUUCUGAAACAAGCAAUAGUCAGGAAAGAAUUGAGCAGAACAAUUGAGGGCACGGGUAAUUUUACUCACAGAAAUUAGAUUAAAGGACAACUUAGGCAAACGUAAGACAGAUGACAAUGAGAUUAAUGGAGUGGGGUUAACUGAGCCUGAUUCAAGAACACGAGAUUUUGACCCAUCAGCUAAGGUAACUGUAGGUGCAAUGUGUGUGGCUGAAAGGUGGAAAAUAGACUAUAAUUACCUGUCAUAUGAUCUGUGGCACCAAAAUCAAUUACCCAUUUGGAGGACGAGAACACAAGGCAUGUGUUUGGUUUACCUGACUCAGCGAUGGCAGUUACGGGAGUAGAUGAAGACUUUAAUGAUUCUUGAUACUGAGAAAAUUUAGCAAAUUCGUCUGCAGAGAUCGUAACAACUUUUCAUGGUUAAUAGCAUCAUUGGUAGAAGCAAUAUGUGCGGAUUGAGUUCUCUGGUUCCUGUACUGCAAUUUCUUACAAUCACGCUUCAUAUGGCCCGGCUUUUGACAAUAGUAACACACAACCACUUCUGCAUUCUGUCCCGAUGUCAAUUCCUUUACCACCACCUUUGUAUUGCUGUUUUCCAAGACCAACAAGAGCACUGCUGGACUGAACAGACUGGGUAUUCUCUGUGCGAAACACCCUACUAAACACAUCUUGUAAGGAUGAGAUCUCAGGACUGAAAAGAAUCUGAGAUUUAGCAGUUUCAAAUUCAGGUGAAAGACCAGCCAAAAAACUCAUAAUGGCCAUCUGUUCCCGUUGAGUUUGUUGAACUUUCACAUCAGAACUAAACGGUAACAACAGAUUAAGCUCCUCAUAAGUUUUCUUAAAAUCCAUAAAAUAAGUCAUGAUGGACUUAUCUUGUUUCUCUGCACGAUAAAAGGCUUGACACACCUCAUAUAUGCGAGAAAUAUUCCCUUUACCAGAAUACAAAAAUUCUAAAUACUCCAUUAACUCCUUAACAAAUUCACAGUGAUUAAUUAAACUAAUUACCUCACUGUCAAUAGAAUUCCGUAUUUGCAGGAACAAUCUAGCAUCUUCCCCUAGCCAUGUCUGUCUUGAACCAUCUUUUGGAGGAUCAUCAAUCAGAUGAUUGUCUUUAUCAAUGCUUCGCAGAUAAAGACGAACCGUUUUGCUCCAAUCAAGAUAUUAGAAUUGUUGAGUUUGUGGUCCGUGAUCUUAGACAUCACAGGAACCACAUCAAACGUAACGACAGAUUUCGUUUCUGCCAUGGGUUCAGAAUUAACAGAAUAAAAAAAAAAGGACAGAUCUGAACUCUUUAAAACAAGAGUGAACAAUAGAACAGAGAUGUGUCCUAUACAGAACCAGAUGAACCGAAAGAUGACUACUGAAUUUUCUGGCAGCGGACAGAGACCCUAACCUUGAUGGUAGGGCUCUGAUACCAUGAAAACUAAGAAAAAUGGAGAGAAAAUACUUUUCUUCAUCUUAUUUGGACUACACAAUAUACAUAUAUAUAUACACAAGUGUAACCUAAUUUAGAUCCUAAAAUCGUGCUAAUCUAAAUCAAUCUACUAUCUAAUUAAUACAUGAUAUUAUAAUCAUAUGAUACCUAAUUAAUACAUGCUACUAUAAUCAUAUCUUUCCUAAUAUUAGAUCACAUAUCUUCAACACUUCCAAUACAUAAACCAUUUCUUAACUUCGUUAAAAGCUCCCCCAAGAUAACAUGUAUAAUGUGGUUUGAUACCAUAUUGAACCCAAAUGUCAUUUAAUCAUCUUGAAAAAAUGAAUCAGUAAGCAAACCAUAUCCCAUAAAGCUACCAAGAAAAAUGUGCUAGUACUUCUAGUAAUAGGGAAAAUAAAAUUGUGUUGAAAAAAAUACAAGUUGAUACAUUUGCAAGAAAAAAACCAACAUAAUAAGGCAUCAUAGUUUACGACCAAAAUUCUAGGUUAAAUAUUAUAAUGUAAAACAAGAAUGAUUAGAGUUACGAAAUGACAAGGCAACUGGCUUGACAGCAAAUUUCAUAAAGAAAAAAAUACCAAGAUAGGCACCAAAUGAGUAUGUAGAUUAUAACAUUUAAGUGAUACAUGAAAAGUCCAAUCAAGGGAAGCAAGAUCCAAAAUGUAGAAGUCAAACUGUUUAAUGAAGUCACAACUAACAAGGGUGCAAGAAAAAAGGCAAGAAAACAAAUACUAGCUCAAAAUCACUUACAUCGAUAUCUUCUUCUUUGACCGAGUACUUUUUGAAAGUGUCCAAAGCUCCCUCCAACAGUGGCUUUGUGACAAUUUCAAUGAAGCGAGCCACCACCUUUACACACAAAAGAAUACAAUCUCCAAAAUAAAAAAAUAAUCAAAAAACGCUUUACAACUCAAAAGAAAAACCACAUGGAAGUCAAAACAAUGCCUUAGGUCAUUUCUCUUUGACAAAGUCUAGUUGGAUACUAUACAACAAGAAUCAUCUAUAUUUUACAAGCCUGCAUUCUACUAAAUCUAUUGCAUCUUAUAUAGAACACCUAGUUUACAAAGUGACAACAUUAAUCAACAACUCCUUCAACUCCCAAUAUUAGAUUUGCAAAUAAUCAGCCGAAAACCCUAAUUGAAGUAAGACAAAAAACCAACUUAAUGAAAUAACGCUACUUCUAAGAAAAUACCCAUCAGAACAAAUAAAAUAGCUAAAAUUAAAAAGAAAUCUAUAAAAUAACUGAAAAAACAGAAUUCACACAAGAUAUUUCAGUCACUCAUAAGCUAUAUAUCUCUUGUCAUUAUUUUUCUACCUCUUUUGUACUCAAAUAACUUUCAUUUUCCAGAAAAUCCUUCCUCUGAGCAUUUUAUUCACAUUGUUGAAAGCCAGUUAAGAACUUUUUUCCAAAAAAAAUGCUUCCAAAGUUGGCCCAGGAAAGGAAAGCACAUUUCCUUACAACAAAAAAAAGUUCACAUAAAUCGUUCAAUUUGACGAAUGUGGAGCUCAUCUGUCAAAACCCGGCAAAAAUGAGACCUUUCUUUUCCUUAUUGAAUUCAUGGCCGAAAAAAAAAACCGAUACUGUAAUAUUAAUUGCCAAGCCAACAAUUGGACAGAGGAAUUUAAUUGACAUACUAAAACAUCUGAAACAAGAUUGGAAUAUAAAAUAAAAAAUGUAUAGAUGAGGGAAAAGGAAAAUUGUAAUGACGCAGACAAUGCCAAAACAGAGACCCUCAGCAAUUGUGAGUGAGCCAGUCAACUGUCGAACAGCUGCAAGACUUCCAGCAGGCCCUUCUCGUCCUCCUUCCUCUUCCACAAAAUCCCAAAUCUAGAUUCUGUAAAUUAAGUCCAAAACAUAAGUAUUGCAUCCUACUUAAUCGGGAAAAAAAAAAGAAAAAAGAAAGCUAAAUCAAAUCAAGUCGACCUUUUGGUGGUUGAAGAUGGAGAGACAAUGAUGUAGAUGAUGAUUGCUGGUGUCUGAGCGGAACAGAGAUGAUGGGCUGAUGAUUAUGCUUGAAAAGCCAUGGGGACGAUGAUGAACUAAGCGGUUAUUAGCAAUUGAAGAAGAACAAGAAGAAGCAGCAGCCACCAUUUUCGUUUUGAUUUUGAUCCUUUUUUGGCACUUCUUUUAUGUUGGAGAGUGUUCUUCUCGGCUCACUAACGUAUCCUUAGAACCCAACUACAAGUAGUAGCUAAUUUCAUGGUUUGAUUUUGGGAUUUAUCCUAAUAUCAACUAGCAUCCUAAAAGUUUUGAAAAUCUCACUUACAUCCCCUAUUAGUAUUAUAUGACUAGAAGUCCUAAUUAAAGGCGUUGAAAUGACAUUAAUGUUACCCUUUCAUUUCAAGUAGCAAAAGACUGGAGAAAGGUCAAAAAAUUCCUACAUUCUAAAAUAUCUACAAACCAAAUAACAAGAAUGCCAUUGAAAAUAUUUUUAUCCUUCUUUGUUGCAAAAAUCUUUACUUUUAAUUUUUGUCUAUGCUACAAACGAUCUUCUACAAUUUCCUCCCUACUGCAACCAAUCUCAUGAAAUUUUAGUCAUUUUUUUUAUAAUAUUAAAGUAGCUUAAAAUGCUACCCUUGCACACAAAGGUGUUCUCUGACUAUGAAUGAUAAAAUUUAUUACUUAUUACACUUAUACCUUCUCAUAUUCUGAGUUUAGUGUUCCACCUUAUUUGUCUUUUUCUUUAUAUUUCAAAAUUCAUAAAUCAAAUUGCACAAGGAUAAAAGUAGAAAGAUAAUAUAAUCUCUCUCCUCCAAUGCUUUUUUAAUAUUACUUUUACACAUAAGGGGUGACAAUGUUACCCAAAUUGUUAUUUUGAGAAAACUAUGUGAGAUUUCUAAAACGUUAGGGGUGCUGGAGGAUAUUAUUAGGAUAAAUCUUAGGGAAAGUUUUUGAAAUUAACCCUUUUACAAAUAUAUAAUCAUUUUGGAGAAGCUUCCAAUCCAAUCAAAAAUGCGUCUCACACUUUGCUCGAAGCAAAAUAGUUAAAUAAAAUAAAAUAAUUAGUGAAGAAGAGCCUCUAAUUGACCAACCAACUACUCCUAGAUUAGUUUGCCACCAAGGAGAGAGUUAAAACUCUACUUCGGUGUAGACCUACAAUUUUAUUUAGGAUUUUCUGAAAAUUUUACCAGCAGGUACAUAGGUACCUGUCUAAUCCGGUGGCUGUUCAGUCUUCUCCAGAUCCCCCUUUGCGCCCUUGGAUCCACCCUUUAUUCUUGUGUAGAGUAGGAGUAGGUGUAGAAUAGAAAUUAUGAUAUCUAAAAAAAAACCAAUCAAUUUAUCUGAUUGACGUAAUGAUGGAAUGGCUAUUCAGUUCGAGUUAACUAAAAUAACCAGACAGUAAUUCACUAGGCCAAAAAAAGUCUGGUUGGGCAAUAACUCAAAAAAAUUAAUCUUCUUGUGCUAUUUUGUGUACUUUUUUGUCAUUCUUUCUACUUUUAAUAUUAUUUAAUCAUUGUUUAUUAAUAUAUGUAGUGUACUUUUUUGUCAUUCUUUCUACUUUUAAUAUUAUUUAAUCAUUGUUUAUUAAUAUAUGUAUGGCAUCAUCUGAUUUAAACACUAUUAGUUAAACUUAAAACUUUUAAAAUAUAAAGGAAUAUAUGUAUGGCAUCAUCUGAUUUAACUUUUAAAAUAUAGAGGAAUAAUUCAUUGUUGAUGUACCAAGUGGAAUUAGGGAUCCUACCAAGAAAAAUAACAAGGAAAAUUCCAUCUUCCCUGUCUGGUUUGGAAAAAAUUACUAGAAUGCCCUAACUUGUAAAAUUAAUUAAAAAGAAUCAAUUAUAAACUUACAAAAAAAAUUUAAAACUCUUACUAAGCAAUAAUUGUGACCUGACAUCCAUAGACUUUACUAUCCCCACCCCAAUAUAUAUUGGCGUCCACAAAGUGUAGGCAGACAGGAUUUGCGACUUUACCGUAUAAUUUAAAAGCAAAAAAAAAAGCCAAAUAUAGUUUUUAAAAAAAUGUAUUCUGGAAAAAACUAAAUACAAUUUUAAAAUUUAGAAAAUUAGAUAAGAAAAACAAAAAUCAAACAGUGACGUUGACCAUAACUUAUGAUUUCGUUGGGAGUUGAAACUUUGAGUCCAAAAGUUGUUCCCCUUCUUGUUCACUUUGUAAUGCAAGGACCUUUAGGAGAUUGAUUAAAUAUAUUCAGACCAUAUUGAGGUGAUGUUGGAAGUUGUUCAGAAGUCAGCUUCACAGUUGGUGUCUGAAUUUUUUAUGCAGAGGUUUAUGGAUUGAAUGUAUUGGAAUGAAUAGAAACUGGACCUUGGUAAGUCAUGUCCAUUGAAAUGCCAUUUCUUCCACUUGAGUUCUUUAUGUGCCUUUGAUGCUCAGAGUGCAGCAGAUUAGGCAAUUUGAUUUAUUGCAACUUUUAAUUUCCAUUUUUAUGGUCAAUUAUCAGGUCAAUGCAAUGUUUAUAACUCCGGUUCCAUCUAUUUAAUCAGUUGAAGGCUUUUGUCUGGUGUCUAACAAUCUGAAGUUCUAGAAUCCUCCUACCACCAAUGUAUCAUUGAUGGUUUGUUAAAUAGACUCUCUAUUGCCUGUGAGGCUGAUUUAAGUUGAGUGAAUGUCUUAUUAUCUUCAAUUUAUAGGGCAUGUGUAAUUGAGGCUUGGUAGGUGUCGUGAGAUCGUUAUCUGAUUCAUUGCUGGAACAAUAUGAAGAGGAAAUUGACACGUUCUAUUGGCCUCUUGAGAAAAGAAAUAAGAAAAUUCCUUACUCUGCAUCUGAUUAUUGUCCAUGUAAGAGAAUAUUGAAAUAAUCAUGAUAGAAAUUGAAUUAAGCUUCAGUUUGAAUAGAAACUUUUAAAUAAAUGGUCACCUUUAAUUGUUUUGGGCUUUUUUUUUAUUGGGGGGGAUCAAAUUUGGCAUUGGAGAUCAUGUUUGCAACUACUAUAAUAAAUUAUAUAUCCAAGAAUCUCCUAUACACAAAACUGUUUGUGGAAAUAGAUUGGAACUUGAUACUGAUUUAGUUAAUUUGGCAUUGCUGUUUUUCCUGUUUUCAACUGUACCAUCUGGACAGCAUGGAUUUUUGGUGGAUGAAGACAAGACCUCUGUUUAUCUCAUCCUUUUCUAAUUAGUAUCUUUAUGCAGAAGUGUUGCGGUUAUAAAAUCAGAUAAGGACACUAGAUAUGCAUUGGAUUCAAUUGUUACUCAUGAUGGCGAAAAACUGCCAUGCUGGCCAUUGGCAAAUCUUUCAUCAUUCAGACAAAAGCUUGGUAGUGAGGCAUAUGAUAAGGUAUUCCCUGUUAAAAUUGACCUUGUACUUGAGAAGUAUUGCUGCAUCUUGGUCUGGUUUCAACUGCCUGGGCAUGCAUAUGAUAUUUGGUUCGCCAUAUACUAUUUUGCUAGAAUGCUAGAUGGCGACAUUUUGUUUGGGUCAACCAAGAUGGAAACUAUACAUUUUACGAGGAACAUAGAACUCUUCAUAAUUUUGUAUCGGACCAUUAUGACAAUCUUAUUUUGCAGUGCACCAGUAUCCUUAGUAGUUGCUAUUACCAUGAUUACAGCUAGAAGUUAUUGGUAUAGAUGAGGCACAAUUUUUUGAAGCCCUUUAUGAUUUCUGUCGUGAAGCUGCUGACCACGAUGGAAAGACUCUGAUUGUUGCUAGAUUGGAUGGUGACUAUCUAAGGUAUUUGACAAUAGGUAUCUUGGGAGGAAAACAUCUAGUCACAGUCUUAUGAGUGACCAACUAGUAUUUAUAGGAGUACAAACCUAAUCAACUAUUUACAAGAAUACCCUUACUAAUAUUAUCUACAAGAAUACUAAUAUUCUCUUAACACUCCCCCUCAAGUUGGAGCAUAUAUAUCAUAAGCACCCAACUUGUUAUAAAUGUAUUUCACCCUAGAGCCCCCUAAACUCUUGGUAAACAAAUCAGCCAAUUGAUCUACAGACGGUACAUGAGAUGUUUUGAUGACUCCGUCAAGCAAUUUCUCUCGAAUAAAGUGACAAUCAAUUUCAAUAUGUUUUGUCCUUUCAUGAAACACUGGAUUAGACGCAACAUGGACAGUUGCCUGAUUAUCACACAUUAAAUUCAUAGGAUGUUUAUGCUCAAAUCCAAUUUCAAGUAACAUGCUUUUCAACCAAACCAACUCACACACAGUGUGAGCCAUAGCGCGGUAUUCAGAUUCUGCACUUGAUCUGGAGACAACUGUUUGCUUCUUACUCUUCCACGACACUAAAUUACCACCAAUAAACACACAAUAUCCUGUGAUCGAUCUUCGAUCUGAGGCAGAACCAGCCCAAUCUGCAUCACUAUAUCCUUCAAUAUCAGUGUGUCCAUGAUUUUGAUACAGCAACCCUUUUCCAAGAGUACUCUUAAGAUACCUGAGAAUCCGUAUAACAACAUCCCAAUGACUAGUACGAGUAGUAUCAAGAAAUUGACUCACAACACUCACUGCAAACGAAAUGUCAGGUCUCGUUACAGUGAGAUAAUUUAAUUUACCCAUAAGUCUUCGAUAUUGCUUAGAAUCAUCAAGUAAUGCACCUUGAUCUCUUGUUAAUUUCACAUUGGGAUUCAUAGGAGUAUCCACAGGUCGACAACCUAACAUCCCAACUUCACUCAACAUAUCAAAUACAUAUUUCCUUUAACAUAAAUAAAUCCCAUAUUUAGACCGAGCUACCUCAAUACCCAGAAAAUACUGUAGAUGACCUAAAUCUUUUGUCUGAAUGUUUGCCUGCAGAUUGGAUUUAAGUUUCUGGAUCCCCACAAUAUCAUCACCUGUAAUUACAAUAUCAUCCACAUAAACAACUAAUAAAAUUUUACCAACAUUAGAAUGCCGAUAAAAUACAGAGUGAUCUACUCCACAUCUUGUCAGACCGAACUCUAUGACAACACUACUAAACCGGCCAAACCAAACCCUCGGAGACUGUUUCAAUCCAUAUAAGAAUUUUUUCAAACGACAAAUCAACCGCGAAUUCUCCCCCUGAACAACAAAUCCAAGAGGUUGUUCCAUAUAUACCUCUUCUUCCAAAUUUCCAUGUAGAAAUGCAUUUUUCACAUCCAACUGAUGCAAUGGCCAAUUAUAAAUUGCUGGCAAAGAGAUAAGGAGAUGAACAGAGGUAAUCUUUACAACAGGAGAAAAAGUUUCGAAGUAGUCGAUUCCAUACACCUGAGCAAAUCCUUUAGCUACCAGACGAGCCUUCAAUCUAUCAAUAGAACAAUUAGGUUGUACUUUUAUAGUGUACAUCCACUUACAACCAACAAUCGGCUUACCAGAGGGAAGAGGAACAGGAUCCCAAGUACCAUUUUUCUCCAAAGCAAGCAUCUCUUCUUGCAUAACUAACCUCCAAUCAGGAUCAUUGAGAGCAUGGGUAAUAGUUUUAGGAAUGGAUACCGAAUCAAAGGAAGCAACAAAAGAAAAAUAUGACAGAGAGAGAUGAGAAUAAGAGACAAAGUUAGAAAUAGGAUGAGAAGUACAAUGUCUCUUACCUUUACGUAGAGCAAUAGGAAGAUCUGACUCACAGGAGGGCGUCAUACCUGGAUCUGAAGAUUGAGAGUUAAUUGGUGAAGUACGUAGCAUAUCAGGAGCUUUCUCAACCAUGGAACGACGAGAAUAAACUUGAAGAUUAUGACGAGAUAAUCGAGUUGUAGAAUCUGGUGAACUAGAUAAGUCAGGUAAUAAAGAUGAAGGGACUGGUAAAAUAGGAGAAGGAAAAGAGAAACACUGGUCUAACUCACAAACAUACCUUGCUUCAUAAAAUAAGGAGUGGAUUCAAAGAAAGUAACAUCAGCACAAGUGAAAAAAUGAUUUAAAACUGGACUGUAACAUCAAUAUCCCUUUUGCGCUGGUGCGUAUCCCAAAAAAAUACACUUAAUGGCACGAGGAUCUAAUUUAUCCACCCCGAAAGCAAGUUGAUGAACAAAACACACACACCCAAAAAUACGAGGAGGUAGUUUAAAUAUAGGAUCAUGAGAAAAAAAAAAUGGAGUGAGGUAAUUGGCCUCCAAGAAUAUUGAAUGGCAUGCGAUUAAUUAAAUAACAUGCAGUUAAAACUGCAUCACUCUAAAAUUGUUUGGGCACAUUCAUGUGCAACAAAAAUGUCCGAGCAACUUCAAUUAAAUGUUCAAUUUUUCUUUCAGCAACUCUAUUCUGUUGUAGAGUGUAAGGACAAGAGAACUGAUGAAAAAUACCGGAUUUAGUCAUAAAGAUAUCAAAAGGAGUGAAAAAAUAUUCUUUCGCAUUAUCACUGCGAAGUAUACGUACAUGCAUACCAAAUUGAUUCUUUAUUUCUGUAAUAAAUGCACAAAAAAUGGAAUAUAAUUCUGAACAAUUUUUCAUUAAAUAAAGCCAUGCAAUUCUGAAAAAAUCAUCAACAAAUAUUACAAAAUAUUUAAAACCUAACUUUGAAGUGACUCGGUUAGGACCCCAAACAUCAGAAUGAACUAACAAAAAGGGUUUCGAAACCCGUUUAUUGACCCUAAGAGCAAAAGAAACACGAUGAUGCUUUCCUAAUUGACAAGACUCACAUUCUAAUGAAGCCAACUGACUCAAAGCAGGAACCAACUUCUUCAAAUUUUGUAGAGACGGAUGACUCAAACGAUAGUGAAUUUCAAGAGGAGAAACCGUAGCAGGGCACGCAAUCGGACCAUUAGAGUUGAGAAAAUAAAGACCAUUAUACUCACGCCCUCCACCAAUCAUUCUCUUUGUCUUCAAAUCCUGAAUGAUAGCAAAAUCAGGAGAAAAAGUAAUUGAACACUGUAGAAAUUUGGUAAGCUUACUAACGAACAUUAGAUUAAAAGGCAAAUUGGGUACGUAAAGAACAGAAGACAGCGGAAGAGAUGGGUUAAUUUCUACAGUGCCUAGUCCUUUAACUUUAGUUGUAGAUCAAUCAGCUAAAGUAACAUGAGGGAAGGAAGUAGACUCUUGAAAAUUAGAAAAAUUUCUAGAGGUACCUGACAUAUGAUCAGUAGCUCCGGAAUCAAUGAUCCAUGAGUCAAAAUUUUUGGAAGUGGAGAGACAAGUCAUAGCAUUACCUUUUUGUGCUAAAGAAGCAGAGAAAAGAGAUGCGUGAUUUGCAAUUUGGUACUGCAGAAAUUUGACAUAAUCUUCCUCGAAUAUGGUAAAAGUCUUUUGGGACCCUUGUGCUGAAGAACUCGAUUCAGCUUGGUCAAUGGUAACCGCAUUAGCAAACCGAGGUGGUUUUCCAUUUAAAUCCCAACAAGUAUCACGAGUGUGAUUCUUCAAACCACAAUGAGUGCACUCAUGGGUGCCUCGACCUCCAUGACCCCACGACCUCCUCUACUUCUUCUUUCACGAGAGCCACAUCCAAAGUUAAGUUGCUCUAUCCAACCAUUGUUAGCAACUAAAGCAAAUUUGUCAUUAAUUAGAGCACCAUCACCCUGUGCAUUGUCCUUAGAUGCAAAAUGUAAGACCCGAACAUACGCCUCUGUAAAGGAUGGUAAUUGUUUACCUGCUAAAAUUUGAGAUUUGAUUGGUUCAAAUUCUGGCUUGAGACCGGCCAAGAAUUUGAGCACAAGCAUUUGUUCUCUUUGCCUCUGCAUAACUGUAAUAUCACUUGAGAGAGGCAUUAUGGCAUUUAAUUCUUCUGAAACUCGCUUAAGAUCAGCAAAGUAUUCUGUUACUGUCUUGUUAUCUUAUUGCAACUAAAAAUAUUUCAAAGAAACAUCAUACAUCCGUGAAAAAUUACUGUAGUAUAAUAACUGGACAUAAUCCCAAACUUCUUUUGUUGUCUCACAAUGAGAACACAUAUAAGCAAUUUGUGGCUCCAUAGAAUUCCAUAUUGCUCCAAGAAUUUGGGCAUCCUCUUGAAUCCACAUUAGUUUCUUGUUGUCCUCCGUAGGAGAGUCAUCUGUGAGAUAUCAUUACUUUCCUAAGUUUGUCAGAUAAAUCUUAACGGCUUUUGAUCACUGUUGAUAAUUAGUGUCAUUCAACUUCCAAUUUGUGAUUUGAGGCAUCACCAUUGGCAUAAUAUUAGUAGACGUCACAAAACCUUUUGAUAGACUUUCAGCCAUAGCGAAUAGUACUCCAAACCAAACGAAGGGUCAAAACUCGAGAUGAAUAGCACGUGAACAGUGCCGUGAACAGUGACCAGAAAGCGUGAACAGUGCCGUGAACAGUGAACAGUGUCGCGUGAACAGUCACGAUGAACAGUAUCGUGUGAACAGUCGCGAUGACCAAAACUUUUGCUAGAUGUUUAACCCUAACCCUAGGACUUUUGCUCUGAUACCAUGACAAUAGGUAUCUUGGGAGGAAAAUAUCUAGUCACAGUAUUAUGAUUGACCAACUAGUAUUUAUAGGAGUAUAAACCUAAUCAACUAUUUACAAGAAUACCCUUACUAAUAUUAUCUACAAGAAUACUAAUAUUCUCCUAACAGUAUUAUUAAAUUUUGCAUGUGGAUCCAUCUAGUCGUUCCCGUAUAGUUUUGGUGGAUGCUUUCUUUUUCUUAUGGAUUCAGACAUUAUUUAAACACGUUGAAACUUGGUUUUCUGAUGCUUGGAAGUUUCAUCCUUUGCUGAACUCCCCUCUUUUGUUGUUCAUGAGAAGUUUUGGGUCUGUGCUUCAAGUUAUACCCCUUGCGGACUCUGUAACCAAGUUAAAUGCACGGUGUGAGCUCUGUGGUAGACAAGCUUUCUUUACAUUGAGAAAGACAGAGGAUACUGACACAGAACUAAUCGCUGGGCAUGAAGUGUACAUGCUCGUGUGUUAAAAACAUUAUGUGAGCGGACAAGUGGUCAAAGAAGCUGCAAAGAUAGUGUUAGAAUCUCAAAGGGUUCAAUGCGGUGCAGUUGUGUAGUUGUGUACAACAUCGUAGGAAAUCUGGCUUCUCAUAUCUCAGGCCAGAAAUGUGGCAUUUGCUUGUGGUGUCUAAUUGUAGAAUUGGUAUACCCUUGCCUGAGUAUAUCAAAGCUCAGUGGUCUUACAAAGCAAUAGCUAGAUUUAAAUAGAUGAUUUUUGCUCCUCAGAUGUCUCUAUUUUUAUAGGGACAUGUACCUUGUCUAAGUUACUGAUGAAUUGUAUUAAUGCAUGAUUUUACCUUCUCCUUUGAUGUGCUAUGAAUGUUGAAAAGCGGAAAUGAGGCUACUUGUGCUGGACAAUAAUCAGACUAUGAUUCAUCCUUCUCGAGUUACUUAAAUAUAUGCUUACCUAAAAAUGAUUACAUAUUUUUAUUUCUGAAUUUCGAUGUCUUGUUACUUUAUAAUGACUUGUCCUAUAUUAUGCUAAUUCUUGUUUAUGUUCUAUUUUUUCCUUUUUCAGUGAGUAACAAAGAAUCUACAAUUAAUGUGUAGACAAAAUUUUUUUAACUUAUUAUAUUUAUUGAAAUAAAAUAAAUUGGUAUUGGUUUACUUAAAUUAAAUAUUGUAAAAUCCCCUAAUAUUUUGGUCUACAAAUGGGACCAAUUUUAUGUGGUUCUAAAAUUAGAUUAAAGAUCCAAAGCUGUUGUCUUUUGUUUUCACUUUUUAUUCAAAGAUAACAAAUUUUUAUGGUUCUAAUUUGAUUCUGGACAUCACAAAAAUGUCAACUUUAAUUCGUAAUAUUCAGGGAACCUUUCUUUCCUCCAUUUUGGUAUUCUUGUCCAACUAUUUCAUCUUGGUUCACCUGUACUUGUGUCUUCUCUUGGAUGUUUAAAAAAAAAAAAAACAAGCAUUUGGAUACUAGAACAGCACUAGGAUUGUUGGAUGGCAUUGCCUAAGCAUAUAAUGUGAGCAAACUUUCUUCAAUUUGAUUUCUUAUGCUUCUGCAACAUUGCAAAUGCUUAAGAAAUGAAACUAGCUGAUUGUAUCUACUUUCGUGAUCAAGAAACCUUUGAUCACGAAACAACUUUGCCUCCCAAGUGAUAAUUCACAAUAUGAAGAAGUGAUAUCCAUAUCUGAUAGUGUCUUCUAGUCCAUUUUUUCUCACAUGCAACUUUGCAUUUUGGUUUCAGACUUGUGUAGUUUGAUUAUUAAGAUGUCUGCCAAUUCUUAUUGAAUCUACUUGAUGAACAAAAUGAUCUUAGCCCACUCUUCUUUUUUUAAAUUUUAUUUUGGGUUGAAACCACCAGCCUUUGGGCCACCACCAAUGCAUUAAGGUUUGGGGGGGGUGGCAAGGAUUCACAUCUUGUCUCUCACCAAUUUGCCACAAUUAAAUGUGGCAUUGUUUAAAAAUUCCAAACGGGUGUGUGGUGCUCCCGUCUGGUCCGGUGGUGGUUCAGUCUCCUCUGGAUUACCGCAGCACCUCUUCAAACCCUCCCACUCCCCAUAGUAUAGGAAGCUAUCAUAUCGACAAAUUUUUUUUUAUUUUGGUUGUAUUUCUUUUCAUAUUUUCUUCAAAGCUGCUGUGUUUUUUUUUUUUUUUUUACACCUCCAUUAUCAAGAUGGAGAUAGGCCUUCAUUGGAGUUGCUUGGACCUUUUGAACUAAAUUCUAGACUUCUAUUCGAGCUAUCUAUUUUAUUUUUGUUGGUUUUAAUAUUUGUACGUGUAAUUCGGUUAAUUUUUUUGAUGGUUGUGAUUGUAGUAUUAUUUGGGAUUUCAAUUUGAUCUGCAGUGGUUCUAAUAUUUGUGACAAAGUGCUCCUGUUAUAAUAAUGUUCCUUUUUCUAAAAUAUUAAGGAAUUAAGAUGAUUUUAUUUUUCUCGAGUUUGUUGGAAAGUCCUAGUUUUAGUGUGGUGUGUGUGAUACAUAUUUUGAGUAUACAAAAAAUAGCAGGACAUGCGGUGAGUGUAUUUAUACAAAUUUUGAGUAUGUAAAAGGCUACUGAAAAGUCGAGAACAAAUUUUUAAAAAAGGUUAGAUCUAUUGAGCAAAAAAAAAAAAGAAUUAUAAAAUAGGAUUUAUCUGUAUUAAUUCCAGCCAAAUAUUCACUGAAUUCUUGUACAAAAAGGUAAAGCACUUUCGUAAUUCUUUCUCUUUUAACGCAUAGAUCCAGGGAUAAAAGUAGAUAGCAAAUCCACUUGCAGUAUUUCGUAAUUAUUCCAACGGCUAAUACCAACUGUGCAAACUCUAGAGUCUGCUCAUAUUGACUCUGGUGAUGGUAAACAAGUUGUAGUCUCGUGAGUUUUGAAGGUGGCCCAAUCGAGCGUAACACUUAGGCCCGUUUGGAACCUAAGUUUUUUGAAAAUUUGUCUAAAUUUUUACUGUAAUGCACUGUAGAAGUUUUUGGAAAAUUUUUUUAAGAUAAAAAACUUUUUUUCCUUUUCUUUUUUUCUUUUUUUUUCUUUCUCUUUCUUUUUCUUUCUUUCCUCUCUUCUUCUUCUUUUUCUUCCUUCCUCGUCCCCCUUUCCUCCCCCGUCACCUCUGCUCCGACAUUGAAGAAUCAUUUGAUGGUCCCAAAUUUUUUUUCCUUUUCUCUUUCUCUUUCUUUUUCUUUUUUUUUUCUUUUUUUUUCUUUCCUUUUUCUUUUCUUUCCUCUAUUCUUCUUCUUUUUCUUCUUCCUUCCUCUUCCCCCUUCCCUACCCCGCCACCUCUGCUUUGCCUCCAGCUUUGAAUAACCAAUAGCCUCUGCCUCCACCUCUGCCUCAAGCCAAUUUUUUUUCCUUUUUCUCUUCCCCUCUUCUCUCUCUCCCUCUCCGUCUCCCUCUCUGCUCCCCUUCACCCUCCCCCUCUCCCUCCAGAAGCCAGAGAACCAGCAGGCAGCAGCCAUGGUUUCUUUUUCUUUUUUUUCUCUCCCCCUCUUCUCCAUCUCCCUCUCCCUCUCCCUCUCCCCCCUUCUCCCCUUUCCUACUCUCCUCCCCUUCCCCCUCCCCCUUUGCCCAAUAUGGUCGCAUGACCAGAUCUCCGUGACUGGGGAGGGUGGCCGAGGAAGGGAGGGGAAGAGAGGGGGAAAAGGGAGGGAAGGAGAGGGGGAGGGAGAGAAAAAAAAGAAAAAUAGCAUAACAGAAUGGUUGCAGAUCGGUCAAAGGGGGAGGGGGAUGGGGAGAGGGAGAGGGAGAAAGGAAAAAAAAAGGAGGCCGGCGCCGGAAGCAGCGGCGGAGGUGGUGGCAGGCGAUGAAGGUGUGGUGGAUCGGGGUGGGGGAAAAAAAGAAGCAAAGUGGAAGUUUUUUGUGUAUUAGAUAUUUUGAAGUGUGUAGGUUAAAAAAUUUGAUAAGUUUUUUUAGGUUCCUGUAGCUAAAAUUGUUAAAAAAAACUAGUAGCUAAAAAUCUUGGCCAAAAACUUGGGUUCCAAACAGGCCCUAGUUCCGCACAAUACUUAAUUUUUUGUACUCUUUUGCAUAGUUGGACCCAUAACACUAUUUGAUGGAGACUCAUCCGCGCAGAGAUUAUACGAGAUUUACUCUAAUACCAACUAUAAUGCCCUAAAUCUAUGGAUUGAUUCAAAUAACUUUAGAGCGAAAUUGUGAAUUUAAAAUGAUUAAUCAAAAUUAUUAAGUAACCGAUGGGUAUAGUUUAUACACAUACGUUUACUUUGGAUUCACUGCCAUUCUAGAGGGUGUCUAAUUUAGUACUUAGGCGUCAUACAAUAGUUAACUCUUUGCGUUCUGAUGCCACUUGUAAUGCUUCAAGUCCAUAAUACUUAGAGUGGAACUAUGAGGUCAAAAUAAUUGAUCCGUAUUUAUUUGAUAAUCCAUGAGCCCAAACUAAUGUACCCAUCCUUUCCUUCUGCUUGUUGGUUGACUAGCAAGACUGGCUAAUUAGUCCAACCAAGUGGCGAACCUUUUAUGUUGAUUAUAAGUCAAAAACACUUAUGAUUUAUCUGGAAAGUUUUGCAUGUAUCUUACCAUUGACGUAUAUCAAGGUUAAAAUCCAACCAAUCUUAUGAAUUGCUCUCCCACCUUAAGAUUCAAGUAAUACAUUUCUUGCCAUUCAUUUUAGGCGGAAACUAAACAGUGCAUUCACAUCAUGACCAAAAGUGUACAAAUUUAUUUGCAGACGGAUCUUCUGUCUCACACCCUGUGCUACUUUCUGUCCCACUUUUUAUUAUAUUGCUAUUUCUUCUACAUAAACAAUUAUGUUUUAAUUCUUUUUGUUUUCUUAAGAUUCAAUAACUAUAAAUUGAGUAAAAAAUAAAUACAACAGCUUCAAAAAAAUAAUAAUAAUAGAAAAUUAAAAAAUAUAGCAGAAAAUUCAUAAAAAAUCUCAUUUUUUAUGCAUUUUGAUUUUUUGAGUUUUGUUAAAUUUUGUUUUUUACUCAAAUUAAUAGUUAUUUGGAUCUUAAGGAAACAAAAAAAGAAGUUAAAAUAACAUGAUGUUUAUGUAGGAAAAAUAGCAAUAUAAUAAAAAGUGGGACAGAAAGUGGCACAGAGUGUGGGACAGAAGAUCCAUUGCACAAUUUAGAAGCUGAGUGAGUGAUUUGACAAUAGUAAUAGUAUAAUGGUCAAACUUAUAAUAUACAAAUAGUAGAAAUAGGUUAUUUGCCCUUCACUUGGAGUAGGUUGUCUUGUAAGUACAAUAAUUAGUUCUGCAUAUGUCUUCAACUUUCAUUGCAUCACAUAAUUUCUAGUUGAAUCCAUGCAAUAAGUUGGCCAAGUUAUAUUUAACAAACUUCAAUCCAAGGGUGUCGCCAGGGAAUCUCUUUCAAACUUGUGUUGUAAGCAUUUUUCUUUGUAGUGGAAGAGGUGUUAAAGAACAUGAACUGAAGAGGUGAAACCAAUUUAACCCUUCAUAGAUAAACUACGAAUAUAAAAAAUUAUACUUUUCCUUCAUGACACUAACAAAGAUGGAUGGACAGUUGUAUUUCAGCAUUCAUAGUAAGUCAAAACCUUGGAUGAGUAGUUUUGAGAAAUCGUCCUCUUCCACCUAUCUCUCCCUACAAGAGUAAAUUUCCAAAAAAGUGUGACAAUUAAAAGAAAUUUUUAAAGGAUGAUAAUCUUCAAAUUUCUUCUAAAAAAGUGAAAAAAUAUAUUUACUCAAAAGUUGAGUUCACAAAGUGCUUCUUUUGAAAUUUAUAGGCACGUAUUCCUCAAAAAUUGGAUUUAGUAAAUACAUUUGGAAAAUAAUAUAUUCUUUUUAUUUCAGAAUUGUAAAGAACGUAUUCACUUAAUAUAUUGUUUUGAAAAUCUCAAUAUUUGAAAACAUUUUCUAAAUACUACCACCAUUUUAAUUUACUCCUGCUUAUAACUCAUUCAAUUCUUCAAUUGCUUGUCAACUAGAAGAGGCUACUUGAGAAUUUUGUUUAUUGCCCAUUCUAUCGCAGUAGCCGAGACAUCAAUACCACUGGCUAGUAAGACCUGGCAGAUAGAUCUUGGUAAAGCAUAACAUCUAAAGCAAAUGGAGACAUUAAUCAAGAAGAAACAUGGGAAAGCAAGUUGGGUAUAAUCAAAAGCAAGACAUUUAGUUCUAAAAAAAAAAAGAUUGUUUUCCCUUCAAAUCUAAAGUUUUCAUGGUUAUUAGCUUGGUAGGGUCAAUGUGAUGUCCCCUUGUUCGACUCUCAAGCCAUCAUAUUUUCCUUCAUUUCCAUAAGAGUUGAAGUCUCUUUAAAAAAGAAAAAGAAUCACUAAAUCUAUAUGAAAUGGUUUUAGGGUGUAAUUACUACUGUAGCACUUUGAUUGAGAAUAUUAUAGUUUAUCCGUUUAAGAUUGAUUUUUUUUAGAAUUACUCUCAAUACAGUUUCCAGUUACCUUACUAUCGUACAUAAUUCACAUUUCAAAAAAGUACUAUAACAUUAUUUUUCUACAAAAACUCCCAAAAUUUUCUUAAAAUAAUGCAAUCCAAAUGGACUCUUAAUUUGUAAAGAGCUCUCACUUUCAUAUAAUACACUAUAAAGUUGGCAGGACUUGCAAGUUCCUAAUUAUCUUCUUACAUUUCAAUUAACUAAGAGAUAUGAUACAAAUAUUUCAAAACUGACUAUUUAAAAUAGGAUGAAUGUUGCCAAAUAUGAAUGACACUCUACAUUUUUUAUAGUAGCAUUCCUACUAUCUAUUUUGCAUAAUAAAUGACUAUAUAUUAAAGAAGAUAGCUGGAGAACUAUUAUACAAAAAUAGAGUACUAUUAACAAUUACCUUAAUAUUUUGUUAGUAUACCGAUUUUUUUAUAUUAGUAGGUUUGGAUGGACGGCAAAUAUGCAAAAGGAGAAAUUCAAAUUUGAAUGUAUGUUAUAUGUCAUGCAUCCUAACCUAUUAAUUUUCUCCACAUACAAAAGAGAUGGAAGGGAAAUAAAAUAAAUAAAUAAAUAAGAAAAAAGAUGGAAGGGAAAUAUAAAACAAACAAAUAAAAAAUAAAAAUAUCCGACUUUUUUUACUACAAAUAUCAAUAUAGAUUUUUAAACUAAAUCUUUAAUGGUAUUCUCUUGUUCUUAUUUAUCUAUUUUUAUUUCAACUUCUUCUUUUUCAUGUUUAGAGGGAAAAAAAAGAAGUAAUGAAAGGGUCAAUUUGUUAAUUUAUUAGUCUGAUUUUGACUUUUGACUAUUAAUCAUUAGUUUCAAUAGAAAAAUUAAUAGUGAUAUUUUAACUCAAACCAUGAGGAGGUUAUAUAUAUGUGUGUGUGUGGUAAAACACCAAACCAUAGGGGGGCAAAAAGUAAUUUACCCAAUGGCAAAGGGCUAUUUUAUCUUUGAAAGAAACUUAAAAACUCAUGGGUGAUUUCCAUCUUCACUUGUAUUUAAUCUCUAUGUCAUCUGAUUGGUUGUCAUCGAGUUCCACACCAACAAUUUGCCGGUUGCAUCUACCUAUUGAUUUGCAUUUUAACAGGUAAUUUCCUUUUCUUUUAAUUUUUCACAACUUACCUUCUUUUUAGUUUAACCUAAGUGUCUUUUUUCAUUGGAUUUCUGCAUUGGUAGACAAUCACCAAUUUUGCGCUGGAGGAAAAACUGCAUUCUUAAUACUCUUAUAUGAUAAAACAUUCCAAAAUCUUAUAAAAGCAACUCAAUUGAUUUUCCUUUAUUGAAGAUACUUUUUUUUUGGAUAAAUUAUCUUUACUCAAUAUGUUUUUUGACAUUUCAUUUGAAAUGAAAUUACAUUAUGGUUAUAAUUGAUAUAUAAUUGAACUACAUUUUUAGUAUCGCCAUCGUACACUCCUGGUAGUAAGCAUAUGGAUGAGAAAGUGACCGAGUAAUAGAUUAAGAAGAUGCACUCCAAGAACUAGAACCACAACACUUAUAUUGACCAUUACAUUUUCCAGCCAGCAAAGAAGCUCUAUAUGACCACAUUUUGAUCGAUGUUAUAGAUGAAGUAAGGCAUGAAACACAAGUGACUAUUGGAUACUUGACACCUAUAUGUAUUGCUAUUGUAAGUGCAUUUCUUGCCUUUUAUGUGUUAAACUUUCUAGUUUUGUACUAACAAAUUGUAAACAUUUAUUUGAUAGUUACUAUAUUUGCCGUGUUUGGCCUUCUGUUGGACUUUCUAGGGGUUCUUGCCUUAGGGUCUUUUAGGAACUAAACUAUUGUGAUUCUACUUUAUCAGAUAAGGCAAAUUAAUGGAAUUAUCAAAAUUUCAAUUAAAAAUUGAUGAGAUAAGUAGUAUACAAAUGGGACCUGUGUUUCUGAGAAAGAGUUGAAAUCUUUUUAAUAUGUUGAAUUAUCAUUUAGAAUUUGCCGAAUUUUCUCUUCUUCAAGCUUUUCUAUCACCAUUUAAAAAUUGGAAAAUGUGUUGUCUUCAGCAUAUGAAGAUUAAACCUCCCACAGAUGCACACAUUUGCAAGAGUUUAUGCUAUGUUUUUCUAUCUUUCUAUUUUGGGGAUGAAUCAUUGCUAAUGUUGGACUGAUCUACUGGACCAUAUAUGGGGUACUAUCUUGAUUUUUAGCUGAACCUAUAAAUAUAUGUUGAGAGAGAUGUAAUUCAAAAUAUAAAAAACUCUUCAGUGAAUCCAUCUACUGUAGAUAAAUAAUUAAAAGUUUCUAGUCUGGUGCAUAGGGAGAGACGUACUAAAAAAUAGUAUGUGCACAUGAUGGAUGGCGUUGUAUCUUCUACUACUUUUAUCAAGGAGUUUUACAAUACAGAAAAUAAGUAAAAGGAAAAAAGUAAUCUUGACAAGUGAAAGAUAAAACAAAAAUGGCGUAAAGAAUUGGCUACCAAUGUUUUAAAAAAUGCGCCCGGCAACGAAAAUCGCUUUUUUAAACACUGUUAGCUACAUAACUGCCUUUACACCUCAGGUCCAGAUGAAUCUGAGGACAGACAUCUACCUAAGUUAGUCAUCUCUAGACUCUAAUGAAAGUUUUCCAUGCUUUGAUGCUUGGUAAACCACAAACCUUCUUGGUCAAGUAUUGGUUUAGCCAUGUAUAGUGUUUCUUGGGGAAUUUUUGAUCAAAUACUAAAAGGCAGAAUUGUUUUAGGAGCAUUUUACUGGACAUGUUCGUGGAAGUUAAAUAACCAACAUUGUUUUUUGGCUGACAACCAGGAUGAGGCCAAAGAUGCACCUUACAUUGUACAAGCAUAAAUUUGACUUUGAUAAAACAUUGAUAUGAUCAGUGUUGCUGAUUAUCUAAGACACAAUAAUUUUCUGUUGUUCCAAAGAUGCUUUUGUCUCAAGACCUGAGCCAUUGUUAGAGGCCCUAGGCUGAAGGAGCUGUCUGAUUCCGGUGCUUCAAGCCAUGUAAGCCACUGUAGUUAGUAUUAGGAAUCUUUUAGCAAUGCCUAAAAAUGAAGCUCUUUCUAUGGAAUAGUUGAUAUACUAUGGUCUUAACAUUUAUUAGUAGUAAAUUGAUAUGGACUAUUGGCAAAUAUAAUGUAACUUCCAUUAUAGAAGGGCACGGAGAGUUUUUGCAGAAAUGCUACUUUAUUUCAGGUGUUUUGUUUCAAGCUUAUCUGCUUGGGACUGGUUUCUUAUUGCUGCUAGAUGAGAUUUCUAAGUUUUCCCUUAAUCUGCAUUUUGACUGUUCUUGCAAGCUUUCAAGAUUACUUGAAUAACACUCUUUCCUUCCUUUCUUGAUUGUAUUGGCUGUCCCGCGGAAGAAAAGAGAAAGGGUAGAAUGGGCAGGAUAGAUUUUCUAAGGCACCAAAUAUAAUAGGGAAAAGUUCAGUCAUUAAUGCCAUUAACAAAAUCACAUAUCCAAUGAAAAUUCACUACAAUCAUGGUGAUUCUGAUUUAUGUUUGAGUUGGUAAUAUACUUCUAGAUUAUAUAGUAGUGAACUCUCUGCCAUUUACUAAUUGCUGUAGAAUUCCUACCUUUUGAAUGAUGAUGAUGGCUCUAACUUCACAUAAACUUGAUAAAAUCAACCAUCAUUUUCAAAUUCUUCUUCCACAUUUGUACCUUGUAUUCCAAAAAACUGAAAAUUCAGCUGGAAGUAGACAAACAAUUUUGAUUGUGCUGAUGAAAAAAGGAUGCAUUGGGGUUGGUUUGAUUACUGCUUCUAAAUUGGAUACUAGUGAUAUUGGACUCUUAAAACAUAAUGAGAAGGUCAUUCUCUCUCUCUCUCUCUCUCUCUCUCUCUCUCUCAAAUCUGUCUCUCAUACACACAUACGUGUGUGGGCCUAAUUUCUUCCCUUGUACUUAUAUUUUUUUGCUCUUGGCUGAUGGAUGAUGGCUAGUCAUCUAGUAACAUUUGACAGAGCUAGACUUUAAGAGGUUGCUUAUAGAUUCUAAAGGAGAGAAAUGGUGGUUAUGUUUCUUCUUACUCAUUUGAAGAAUUGAAAACUUGAAUAUGGAUAUGAGAGCAUAUGGAUGAUUAUGUUCAGUUUGGGGAACAAACUGUUACUUCAACUUUUGUAACUUCAUGAUAGUUCUUCUGCUUUAAAAUAGUGAUUCUAUGAUGCUUAUUUUUCUUAAGAGUUUUUUAUUUUUUUUCCCCGCUUAUUGACUCUCAGAUUUUUGGGAUACCAAGUACGAGGGUUAAUUUCCUGGGGGCAGAAGAAAGAUGAUUCAGUUAUAUAAUUAUCAGAAGUGACUUCGUUUUCUUUAAUGUAUAUGAAAAUGGAGUUUGUGCAAAGCAAGUAAAAUACGAUGUCUUUUAUUCUUCCCUCUUACUUUAUAUUUGUUGAGAAGUUUGGAGGAGAGAAGAAGAUGUUAGGUUUCCAAGAAACAGAAUUAUGCAGAUCCCUCCUACAUUUCAGUAUAGAUUACUAGCCCUGCAUAAUGAGGCAAUACGGUGCAGUUUAUUUCAAUACCUAAUGAAGCAAUAAAUGUCAACCUACAACCUGUAAUAAUAUUAUUGCCCUUCAUAAUGGAAAUGAUACGCAAGUUUUCUUGAUCUUAAUGAUUUAAACCACUAUAUGAUCUGAAGAACCAAUUCUUACUAACUUGAAACACUAAAAGCAUGAAUUCAGCCUCGGGAAAAUAGUCGUUACAGGGGCUUUGGUAGAUUUGAUAUCCAAUGGCUCAGUUAAACAAGUUUUGUUAAGAAAGGAAUCAGAAGAUUGGUUACUUUGUAUGCUACUGAUCCACAGGUGGUAGCUGUGAUGGAAAUUUUUGCCUAGUUGACAGAUGGUUUUUGUGUUAAAAGCACUCAUCUUUUGUUGUUGAAAGAUUUUCAUGGUUUAUUGUGACUUAGAACCACUUUGAAAUUUUCUGAUUCGUAAUAAGUGCACUUAGGGAAAGGAAGAAGGUUAGCAUGAUUAGAAACAAGUUAUAAACAAAUAAUCCAUGUAAGCUAAAUAUUAACAUCAUCAAUAUCCCAAUCUAUCUCACUCCAUCUCAAGAUCUCUCACCAAAAGUGUUCAUCACUAGCUCGUUCAUACUGAACUUCAAAAAUUCUAUCAUUAGUUAGGUUAUCCCAUAAUUGUUGUUUCAUAAGCACAAGACAAGAAUCUCAAACCAGUAAUUGGAGGGAAGAAAAAACAAAAUCAGUAAACUAACGCUUCAUUAAUAUUUAAAUUAAUGCCACAAGUAUACCAUUUCACUUUCAAAGGAAGGCAAAAAAAAAAUACAAACAUUUGAGCACAAGAUAUAGAGCGUCAAUGAUAAGAAAGUACACCUCAAAUCGAUGAGGCCAACAAUGGAGAAUCUAUGUACAAGGGAUGCCCCCAACGUGUAAUGCUAGGAAGACUAAACACGCGUAAAUGAGAGUAGAUGUUCAAUGGUGGCAAAAGGCGGAGGAGGAAGAUGAGUAAAAGGAAAGACGAGGAGUCAGCAAUGGGAGGAGGCAGAGGAGGCGGAAGAGGAAGAUGUGGAGGAGAAAGAGGCAGAGAAAUGGUGGUAGGUCUGUGCUAAGAGAGAGAGACCCGUUUUACUAAUUUAAUUCAUCUAAGAUCCACGUACAAAUCCGAUUAGGGGGUGAAUUGUGGAAUUAGAAUUGUAAUUCUCAGAUCUUACUAAAGAAUUGAAUCUGUAGAAUUGAAGACCCAUAGAAUUCGAAUUAAAUUCUAAUUCUCUAGCAUUGAUAGUGUCCAAACUGCAUAUUUGGAAUUCGGUUCCAAUUCCAAUUCUAGAUCUCCAAAGAGAACCAAACACACCUUAUAAGUGUUUUUCACUUGAUUGACUUAUAAUCAAUGUAAGGUGCGCAAUUUAAUUGGGCUAAUUACCCAGUUUGCCAGCCAAUUUACAAGCAAGAAUCCAAUCAUGCCAGUAUGACUAAGGCUAAUAUUAACUGAAUUGGACAUUAUUUCCAAGGUGAAGUUGUGAUAAUAACUAGUAUUGUGAAAUCCACAUAGGACGAAAGGAAAAGAUUAGUAGUUUGGGUUUGAACUCGUGACUCCGCUCAAGAGUCAUUAGACCAGUCCAAACUCCAAAUCCAAUCAACUUGCAAACAAUAAUGCAAUCAUGCCAUUGUGACUAAGGCCAAUAUUAAUUGAAUUGGACAUGAUUCCCAAAGCAAGCUAAAGUUGAAUUAAUAACUGACAUUGAGAGAUCCAUCCCACAUAGGAUGAAAGGAAAGGAUGAGUAGUUUAGCUUUGAACUCGUUACUCUGCUCAAGGGUCAUUAGACCAGUCCAAAGCUCUCAUCAGAGCAAAUCUCACAUGGUCUCGUCUGGUCAUAUGCAACAUCAAGUAAAGGUUUGGGGAAUGACGGGAAAGAGUGUUGAGAAGAAUCCAGCAUCGGAAUUUUUGAGGAAUUUAGUUCAAUUCAUUUCAGAUAGUUGAUGGAUUUUUGAGGCUACAAUUCACACUUUACAGGCAUAGUUAUGAUGUAGUAAUUAGUACUUUCGAUUUUCAAUUCAUUCAUUGGCUCUUCUUUUUUUUGGGCUUAGAUAUUGUAUAGGACACUAGGUAGGCAUCUUUCUUUUUUUUCUUCCAAACAAAUAUGUUUUAAUUUAAUUACCUUCAUAGAAGAGUUGCGGAAGGAAAUAGAAUAUGAAUCUCUGAUUGAAAAAAGUUGGAAGAGUCUUGGAAAGAUUUAGUAUCUUUUUUAGUUAGUAUCUUUUUUUUUUUCUGAGAUAUCAAUUGUCUUAAAAAUAAUAUCUUACUACAAUUUGAAUGCCCUUUGGAUUAGAGCUAAUUAAUUUAAUUCUUUUUGUCAUAUCUUUUUUCCAAGGACGUUAGAUUCUAUUUCUGCCAUUUUCAGUUGUGAGAUUAUUUAGCUCUCAGUAUAAAACAAAACAGGCUGUGGGCUUCUCUUCUAAAAUUCUCCAUGGCGGAUAAAUAUGAUUUGAAUUAAGAACAGGAUGAGUUUUAUUUUAGUACUACCGAUUUUAGGUAGCAUGAUUGUAACAAGGUACACCCAGUCAAUGUCAAUGGUAGGUAGAAAAUCUGCAUCAUCCUUGAACAUAUCCCUUUUGACAAGUUAAGGAGCUAAAAACAAAACGAGGGAGAUUAAAUUAACCAUAAGGUUGCUUUAGAUACUUGAUAGAAAAGGGCAUGAGCCGGCUAAUUUGAAAUACUUGAGGAAGCUGCUGUGGACUCACGGGGAAAGCCAAUUAGUACACAAUAAUACACCAAUUUUUAAAGAUGGAAAUCUGCAAGUGGUGGAGUUCGGUAAGACUUUGCGGUUGUAAUUGUGGGUUCCAGGCAUCAAAAUAAUGCAACAUAGAUUAUUCAAGAAUACAUAAGGUUGAUUGGUAAGAAAACUUUUUAUACAACUGCAGGAGACGAUGACAAUGUGGUGCAGCUAGCAUAAGGCAUGCAACAAUUGUAGUUUAGUGCAGAUUAGGUGUCAGAUGUGAGUGAAAGUAAUUUAGUGCUUCCUGGGCUCAUUCCAAUAUGAUUAUGGUUAAAUGCCAUGUGUUUUGCACGUGACCAUGAGAUUUUAUUUGGAUAAAAUAUAAAAAAGCCCCUUAAGGUUAAGUGAAUAUACAAAAAAGCCACCUAUAGUUUCAAAACAUAUACUCUGGUAUCUCGUGGUUUGAACUAAUUUAAAUAAGCAACGAAAAUCGUCAGAAUUAAUGAGCUUGAAAUACACGCGCUUCUUUUGCGAAUAUUUGUAUCAGAAACAAAUAAUUUUUUUAUUGAUAGACCUAUUACACCCUUAAAGUUAUAAUACAGAAAAAUCCCUUGUGCUUAAGCAAAUCUAUAGAAAAAGUCCUUAUAAUUUCAAAUCAUACAAUCCAGUACCUCGUGGUUUGAACUAAUAUUAAAAAUCGACAAAAAUCAUUUAAAUUAAAGAGUUUGAGGUAUCUUGACAUGGAAAAUAAUUUUUUAAAUCAAAAUUUUUUAGCUAAUAUACCUAUUAAACCCCUUAGAACUCAUAAAAUUUUCAAAAAACAAUCCAAAACUCCCAAAUACAACUCACCUUAUUUCUAUACAUAAAAUAAAUAAACAAAGUUUCCCAAUAAAACUCACCUUGUUUCUAUACACAAAAUAAAUAAAUAAAAACUUUCAAAUACAACUUACCUUAUUCCUAUGCACAAAAUAAAUAAAUAAAAAUAAAUAUAACCAUAGAGGGCUUUUCCGUAGGUUGGCUUAAUCACAAGGGAUUUGUCCAUAAGUUUGCUUGAUAGGAUGGUUGUUAGAAGGUCUUUUAUUACUUAUAUAUAUUAGGCAACUCACUUGCAUCAACCCAACAAAGAAUAUCAUCCAAAUUACAUUGUUUAAGAUAUUUGUCUACGCGGUAAAACCUAACCAAAAUUAUAUGUCUAUUUGUGCUUAUAGGAGUCAAUAUGGCAAAAUUGUCACCAUCUCUCUCUAAUAUUCUGCCAUUAUUUAACAAUUCAUAUACUGAAUAAAUUUUUCUGGCUUUCUUGGUUGAUUGACCAAUCAAAUCCUUCAAUCUGACAACCCGUGGCAAUCAACAAAUUUGACAAGAUUCCUCUCUGUUCUCUAUUUUCACACUUGCAACAAUCUAACAAUUUUUGGACCAAUAUAUCUUAUGAUGAAAUCCUUCACUAACUACACAUUUCAGAGCUAAAUUGGUGGUCUAAUUCGAUUAACUAAAUACUUUUCGACAACUUUAUGUCCUAAUUCUCUGAUAGUAGAAACGCCCAAGACUAACGUCAUAAUCUAGCUCUAAUACCAAUAGUAGAACCAAAAUUUUAGGAUUCUAAUAAUAAUCAAAAUGUGCAAGGUUACAGAAUUGAAGGAAUAAAACCAAAAACUCUAAACAUGUGUGGGAGAGGAGAAAAUAAUCAACUCACAAUAUUAUUGAAAUUUCAAACGAUGAAGAAAGUUACACCAUAAUAGAAAACGUGACAAACUCUACUAGAUUCUCUCUAGAACACACCCUAAAUAAUGUCCUAUUUAUAAUCUACUAGAUUUGUUUGGAAAGAAAACACUUGCAUGAGAAAUUACCAAAUAAAACAUAAAUUCCCAAAUUGCACAACUAUUAAAACCUAACUCCAAUAAAACUAAUAAAUAAAUAAACACUUUUAGAUUUGGUUUAGUUUGCCAACACUUUUCUUCAUUAGAAAUUCCCAAACAAGUUGACGAUAAAAAUGUUAGGAAGAAUUAAGGACAUAGGAAAAAUUGAAAGAAAUUAAGACUCUGCAAAUUCAAUACGUGGAAAUCCAUAGAAAAAAUUUUUGGAAGAUGCAAAAGCAUUAGUAAACCAAAGAAAAUUUUUUGUGAUUAUGUGUUACAAUCUUAUAAUUUCCAGAGAGAGUUGCAGUUUUGUCUCUAAUGUUUGGUCUAUCUGCCAAAUUGGUCAGUGACCCAUCUUAAAGUAACAAUCCAUCUUUUUGAAUAAACAAUUCAAAAGUGAAUUAAAGAAUGAUUAAAGGUAAAGGGUUGCUGCCUAAGCUUCUCAAUCAUAGCAUGCAGUGAUUGGCAUUUGAGGUGGGCAUUAGGUGUAAACGUACGAGGGAAGUUAACAAAUAUUCGUAGAUCCUAUGCAGACUUCGUCGUUGUACAUAUAAACAAAUCUUAAUUCUGAAAUAAAACAAAUAUGAUUUAAUGGAAAAAUAUUGUGAGGAUUUAUACUCCUUUUUAUACUUGAGACACAUGUCGUGUAUCGUGAUGAGGAAUAAUAGAUUCAUUCUAUUCCUUUGUGCUUUAGUGUAUACACCUUAUGACAAAAAAUAUAGUAAAUAUAGUAAAUUUCAUUACAUAAAUAAUAAGAUUCAAUAUUAAAAAGGCAAAUUUUAUUAAGUACUUAAAACUUACCAUUUUACAAGACAAUCUUACCGAUUUAGUUGGAAAAGUUACAUGUAUUUUUGGAUGAAUUAUUUAAUUCACAAAACAGGGAUGCAAAAGGUUCUAAACUGUUACAAGAGGAAAGAGAACCGAAUGUUCAAAUCAACUGCCAUUGUUUUAUAUUAAGUAACCUAGCAACAUUAGUAUCAUACCAUUGUCCAAGAAACAAAUGAUACUAAUAACGCCAGCACACACUGCUCUCAAAAAAUGUGUAAAAACUCUCAAAUGAUACUAAUCACAAGUUGAGAGCCGCCUUCUCUCUGUUCUAGAGAGAGAAAUCUCCCUCCUAUGGGAGUCGUGCUCGUUUAACAACUUUUCAAAAUUGUUCAAUUCCCAAAAUAACAGAUUCACUUCAUCAUCUGCUUUCCGUUUUUAGCAUCCUUUCCAUUUUCGUCGAUGCCAGCUAAGAACAUCAUUUUCCUUAGAUUAGCUUUAGCAUUUUCAGUAGAUAGCCAUAUAAUUCAUCAUCCAGCUCGCGGGUGGUCUGUGGCGUGUUCUCUGGGGAGGUUUUCUUUUUUGGUUUGUGUUUUUCUGUUUGUCUGCUCUUUCAGGUUGCUCAGCUAGAUCGCUGAUCUAGGGGCGUAACAGUGUGGUCAAGGAGACGAAGUUUGGAAGGCUGGAAAGCGGUGAUGAUUUCUGGAGCAGAAUUGGUUUGGCAACAAUCUGAAAUUGGCGGCAGUCUGGACUGUGGGAUCUUCGAAGAUGGAGCACAUCGAAGAGGUAAUGAGGAAGUUCACUUUAUCUGAGAAUGAGAGGGAGGGAGUUUGUUUAGGGAGUGAGGAUCUGGAAAAAGGUGUGAAGGAGUGUAGUUUGAGUCUAAUAGGGAGAGUCUGGGGGAAAAAGUAGCUAACAUAACUGGAAUGAGGAGUUUUGUGACUAAUGUGUGGCCGCAGUUGCGAAAUGUUAAAAUUACUGAGAUUAAGGCUAAUAUGUUCCAAUUCAUUUUUGAGUCUAGGAAGGAUAUCGAGUUAGUGCUUAAUAAAAGACCUUGGAUCUAUGAUGGCCAGCCUCUGGUUUUGCUGGAAUGGCAGGCAGACUUAGAGGAGAAGGAGCAGGCGUUUAGUAGGACGUUAGUGUGGGUACAGAUCUGGAACUUACCUCUUCAUUGGGUAACUAAGGAGGCUGGGCGGAAAAUAGGUGGAAUAUUUGCAGGAGUAAGAGAAGUCAUUAUUCCUCAGGGAGGGGGCAAGGAAGGUAAACACCUUAAAAUCCUAGCUGAGGUUAAUCUUGAAGAACCUUUGCCUAGAGGUUCUAUGGUGAAAAGUGGUGGAGGAACUAGAUGGAUUGAGUUUAAGUACGAAAAAUGUCCUGAUUUUUGCUUCUGCUGUGGACUAAUAGGACAUAAUGAGCGAAUUUGCAAUAGGAAAGGGGUCAAUGUGGAUAAGGAGAAUCAGUAUGGUAACUGGCUUCGAGCCAGUUUUCCUAGGAGUCCAAGGAAGAAAGGCAAGAAUGAGGGGGAACAGGAAGCAUCAGGGAAAGGGGGACAUAGGGAUCAAAGUUCAGGAGGGGAAACUGGAGGGCAGCUGUAUCCUUUGCUCACUUACACUAAGGAAUUCCACAGGGGAAUUGGGAAGACAGAUACUCAAUUCAAAGGGAAGGAGAAUUGGGGAGAAGCAGUAAGGGGGGUCAGGGAGAAGAGGGGAAUGGGUGGCAGGAGGGUGAGGGGAGUGGUAAGAAUGUGGUUGGGGGCAUGAGAGUAGGUAUAGAGGGCAGGUGGAAGAGGAGAUAAAGGAGGUGGCAGAAGUAGAUAUGGGAAGGGAUCAACUGAUGCUCAAGGCAGUGGAUGUGGAGAGUGCAGUGGGGGAGGAAGCAGCAAGGAUAAGAUGUGGAUGGAUGAUGAGAACAACCACUGUUUACACAAGGGUAGGAGUAUGAAGGAGGGGGAGAAGGGAGGGAGGAAAUUUCAUUUGCAGGAGGACCAGGGUAAUAAAACUAACAUGGGGAAGUAUAGGGUCAGUAAGACUUGGAAAAGACUGGUGCAGGAGGUGAGUAAGAGGAAGCCUCUGUCUGAGGUUGAACAUGUACAGAAUGGCACGAAAAUGGGAAAGAAAAGACAGGGAGCAGGUGGGGAGGAGCUGGAAAGGAACCUGAGGGAGGUCGAUGGUAAGAAGAAAGCUAAGCUGAUUGAAGGGGUGGAGGAUGUGGUGAUGCUGACUGAGGUGGUGGAGCCCUCCCUUAAUGGGGCUCCCACCCCUCAAUGAGAGCUCUGGUGUGGAACUGUCGAGGUGUGGGGAGCCCCUUGACAGUUCCCCAACUUAAGGAACUUGUACAAGUCCACUCUCCAUCUCUGAUAUUCUUGUCAGAGACAAAAAAGAAAAAGACAUUCAUAAAUAGUGUUAAGCAGUGGGUGAGGUUUGAUGAGUUGUUUGUAGUAGAUCCUAUGGGGUUGGCAGGUGGUCUAGCUGUGAUUUGGAAGAGGGAUAUACAGGUGAAAAGUAUAUUAUUUACUAGUUUCACUAUAGAGUUACUUAUUGGUGAUCAGGGAGGGAGCAAAGAUUGGUGGUGUGUGUGUGCCUAUACCAGCUCAGAUGAUAAGAUUAGGGAGCAGCAAUGGAGGGUGCUAGAGAGGAGAACACAGAUUUGGGGUGAUUGCUGGCUCUAAUGGGAGAUUUGAAUGAUAUCAAGUCUAAUGGGGAGAAGUGGGGUGGUAGAAUCAGGCCUGCUAGCAGCUUUGAAACUUUCACUUGUUUCAUUAAUAGGACUGGCCUUAUAGACAUUGGUUUUGAGGGAGUGCCUUGGACUUGGUGUAAUAACAGGGACAAUGAAGGGGAGAUUAAGGAAAGGAUUGAUAGAGUGUUGGGUACUAAGCAGUGGUGUGGAAACUUUGGAAAAGCUAAAGUGAUCCAUGCUGAGACAGAAGCUUCUGAUCACUGUGCUCUGGUACUGGACCUGACCCCUGUAGACAUUCCUAGGAAGAGGAGAUUUGCUUUUGAUAAAAGGUGGAUCAUGCAGGAGGGGGUUGGGGAGGUGAUCAAGGAGGCAUGGGGGAAGAGCACCAGGGGUCUAGGCUGUAUAGAGUACAGAGCAAGAUUAAACAAGUUCGUAUGAAUCUGCUGCAUUGGAGCAAGAAUUUGAAUCUGAACUCCAAAAAGCAGAUAGAACAGAUUAAAAAGGAAAUUAAAGAAGUGAGGGAUAGGUAGGGCAGUGAGGGCAGAGCAAAAAUUGUAGGACUUAAGAGGAAGCUGGUGGAGGCUUACAAGAGGGAGGAGAUAUACUGGAGCCAAAAGGCUAGAAUUAAAUGGCUCCAGGAGGGUGACAAAAACACCAGCUUUUUCCAUGCUAGUGUAAUGAGCAGGAGGAAGCAGAAUAGGAUUAAUGGCUGAAGAGGAGAAGGGGAGUGGUGUAGGAAUGAAGGAGAGAUGGGGAGGAAAUUGUGGAUUACUUUCAGCAGUUGUUCACGACUGAUGGUCCAACUGAUUUCAGUGCUAUUCUGGAGGAGAUCCCACAGUCCAUAACUGCUGACAUGAACAGGAAGUUGACAAGGCUAGUCUCUGAUCAGGAAAUUAGUCAUGCUGUUAAUUCCAUGCAUCCAAACAAGGCUCCUGGACCAGAUGGUAUGUCCCCUAUCUUUUUUCAAAAAUUUUGGCAUAUUGUCAAGAGUGAUGUUAUUAGUGCAGUUCAUAGUUUUUUUCACUCUGGUCAUAUUCUAAAAUCCAUAAAUGAGACUUUGAUCAGCCUUAUUCCUAAAACUGACUCCCCAAAUCUGAUUACUGAGUUUAGACCUAUCAGUUUGUGUAAUGUUACUUACAAGAUCAUCUCAAAAGUUCUAGUCAACAGAUUUAAGACAGUGCUAGAUUGUUGCAUUAGUUCCUCGCAAUCAGCUUUUGUGCCUGGCAGGCAGAUUCUGGACAAUGUACUAGUGGCACAUGAGAGUAUUCAUUUUCUUAACAAUAAGAGAACUGAGAAAGAUGGUUAUAUGGCUGUCAAACUUGAUAUGUCUAAGGCUUAUGAUAGGGUCGAAUGGGUGUUUCUGGCUAAGAUGAUGCAAAAAAUGGGUUUCUGCCCAGCUUGGAUCCAUUGGAUCUUAGAGUGCAUCACUAGUGUUUCCUAUUCUGUGAAUGUUAAUGGAGGGAAAAGGGGUUUUAUAAAGCCUUCUAGAGGCCUAAGGCAGGGGGAUCCCCUAUCCCCCUACCUGUUCCUGAUCUGUGCAGAAGGGUUCUCUGCCUUGCUUAGAAGAGCUAAUAGGCAAGGCAGAAUGUUUGGUAUGAAGAUUGCUAAUGCAGCUCCUAGCUUGUCUCAUCUCUUCUUUGCAGAUGACUCGUUAAUCUUCUGCAAAGCAAAGGUGGGGGAGGCUGUGCAGCUCAUGCAGGUGCUGGAAGAGUAUGGACGAGCAUCUGGCCAGUUGAUCAACAAAGAAAAAUCCUCCAUCUUUUUUAGCAAAAAUGUCAAAGGGAGGAGAAAGGGAGAGGUGCUUAAGGAGCUGGAAGGCAUGAGGGAGGUCCAUCAGAGCAAGUACCUUGGGCUUCCUAUGGUUAUAGGAAGAUCAAAGAGACAAGUGUUUGAGUUCAUUAGACAGAAAGCAAUUAAAAGACUUGGGGGUUGGAAGGAAAAACUUCUAAGCCAAGCAGGAAAGGAGACUUUGUUGAAGUCUGUCAUUCUAGCUUUCCCGGCAUAUGUGAUGUCUUGUUGUAGGCUGCCAAAGGCAUUAUGUCAGAAUGUGUGCUCAGAAAUGGCCAGAUUCUGGUGGGGCCAGAGGGAGGAUGAAAAGAAAGUUCACUGGAUAGGAUGGAAUAGAAUGACAGAUAUCAAAGCUGAAGGGGGCCUGGGGUUUAGAGAUUUACAGGACUUCAACUUGGCAUUAUUGGGGAAGCAGCUAUGGAGAAUUUUGAUGCAGCCUAAUUUGCUGGUGAGUAGAGUUAUGAAAGCAAGGUACUUUGGUGGGAAAUCCAUUUGGGAUACACUACCAAAGGGCUCAGAUUCAUGGUGCUUGAAGAGCUUACUGAGUGCCAGAGGGGUGCUGGAGGAAGGACUCAGAAGGAGGGUGGGGGAUGGGGAAUCUAUUAAAAUCUGGGAGGAUAGGUGGUUGCCAGGGGUUGAGGAUGGGAAGAUAAGGUCUCCAAGGAAGGCUGAUAGCAAGAUUCAGAGGGUUAGUGAGUUGAUCAAGGAAGGUAAGUGGGAUAGAGAGCUACUGAGGCAGGAAUUUGAGGAGAUGGACAGGUUACAAAUUCUAAAAAUACCACUGAGUUUGGGGAAGGUUAUGGAUAGGACCUAUUGGGCAAAAUCAAGUUCUGGUGUGUAUUCCGUCAAGACUGGCUACAAACUAAUCAAGGAAAUGAAGCGAAGCCAGUGUCAGCACAAAGGAACUUCAGAACCAAGUAGCAGUAGGAUGAUCAAGUCUCAGAAUUGGAGCUUUCUGUUGGGAUUGAGCAUGCCAAAUAAACUCAAACACUUCAUUUGGAAAUGCUUGCAAGGAAUAUUGCCAACAAAUGCAGUGGUGAAAGGGAAGUGUGGUAAAGGGGAUCAUGUGUGCAAGUGCUGUGGUGAUAGCUCUGAGACAUUAGAGCAUAUGUUUUUUCUGUGCUGUACUGCUAGAGCAAUCUGGAAGGUGGCUCCGUUGAGGUGGGAUGGAUUAGAGGAGUUUAGGAACAGUUUUUGGCAUUGGUAGGAAGAGCUCAGGGGGGCUGUCUCACGAGAGGGAGGAAGGGAACACAUUACUCUUACGGUACACAUCUUGUGGCAGAUUUGGAAAGCUAGGAAUAAUAAGCAAUUCAACAACAGCAGUAGAGAGCCUAUAGUGGUGGUAAAUAAGGCAUUAAUGGAAUGGAAUGAGUUUCAACUGGCACAAGGGGGGAGCAAAACAUGACAUUUUGUUAGUGGGAGAGCAGGGGAAGGACAGGAGAUGGGUUGCACCGCAAGAUGGCUGGAUCAAGCUCAACACUGAUGCAGCUUUGGACCAAAAGCACAACAAGGGAGGGUGGGGAGUAGUGGCCAGGAACAGCUCAGGGGAAUUGGUGGGCGCAUGGGCAAGACCAACUGAAGGCUGUGCUGAGGCGCAAGUGGAGGAAGCUCUGGCAAUAAGAGAAGCUAUGAUAAUAGCCAAACGAAUGGGAUGGAGGAAGGUGGUGCUGGAAUCAGAUUGCAAGUUGGUAGUCGACAAAAUCAAUGCCAGGGAGGAGGAAGUCAGUAUAGCCACAAUUCAGUUGGACAUUUGGAGAAUUAUGAAAGAUUUUGAUAAAUGUUGUUGUUCCUUUACUAGAAGGAGCAACAACUAUGUAAGUCACUAUUUAGCAAAGUUUGCUAUAACUCUGAUUGAUGUAGCUGAAUGGAAGUUUAGCUUCCCAGCAUGGUUGCUUGAGGUAGCUCAGGCUGAUCUACAGGAGCAAUUGCUCUGACUUUAUGAUUAGGCAAUGUUAUCUUUUGGAAAAAAAAAAAAAAAGAUACUAAUCACAAGUUGAGACCCUCCGCUUCUUUGGAAGUUUUAAUUAACGGGCAAUGGGCAUCAGAAAUGGAAUAUAUGACCAUAUUCGACAUGGCACUUAGUCCUGUAAGUUCUAGAGAUGGCCCCAUUGAAUAUAGAAUAGAAAUAUACAUAAUAUGAUAUGUUCGUAUUAAUUGAACAUAUUCGCAAAUCAUAAAAUAUAUCAACCAUGUCAUGUCAUUUCAUAAACAUAACUCAUAAACAAAUACAUGUAAUAUCCGACUUCUGAGUACUCAUUCUAGAGAUUGAACCCCUUCUAGAAGGGUGAUCAAAAGGUUUCGCGAUUAUCCCUUGAUCACAUAACAUAAGUCAAUCCGUUAGACUCUAUACUGACUCCUAUGACUAACAUAACAUCACAUAUUAGGACUAUAACCCGGCCCGUACCAUCUAUUUUUUGAUUGUUUAGAGCUCAAUUUAUACAUCACAUGCAUUUUCAUUUUAUUCCAUGAAAAUAUGCCACUCGUUUCGUAAUUCCAUGCUUGCAAAAAAAGUAUACCCAUUUCUUCAUAUAUCGAAAUAAAGCUCUUAUUUGAAUAAUAUUUAUAUUUAAUAUUUUGAAAAUACAGAAAGGUAAGUAUCACUUAUCUCAAUCUGCUCGAUUGAAGAGAUUCUUAACAUGUUCGUGAACUCGCUCCAAACCUAUAAACAUUGACAUAUAUAACCUAAUUAGCUCAUAUAUCCGGUUCUUAAAGUGCUUAUUUUUAUGUUGAAUAACCCUAAAAACAUGCUUGGACAUUCUCUAAAAUGUGCUCAUAUAUUUUCCUGAAAUAAAAGAUUUUCCGCUUUAAAAAGUUUGCUAAUUUAGACAGUUUACCUUUUUAGACAGUUUCAUGAACAAUUAAAAAAAAAAAUCCGCCAACCAUGUAUGACCCAAAUUAUGAAGAUGCAGUAGACCGUGUGUUUUUAUCUAUUCCUUGAAUUCGUGCAUCUGGUAAACUAGUAGUUCCGUGGCUUUAACCAGAUCUCUUGGUCUCUUUCUUUGUUCCCUAUUUUUUUUUCUUUUUCCUAAAAAUUUCUAGAUGUUUCAUUGGUACUGGAAAUCAGUAAUACUACUGAUACUAGUUAAAUACUUGUGUCUUAUUAUACUAAACCUAGACACGUCAGAAACAACACUAGUAUUGAUUGCAAACUUCCAUGCAGAAAAAAAAAAAAAAAAAAAAGACUCUGUAUAACAACACUUAUAUAGAUGGUUGGCUUAUACAUUCAUUCAUAAAUUUCAUCACUUCAACCGAAAGAAAUAAAAAUUUUUAUCAUGAUAAUACAAUAUUCCGUCCUAUGUCCAAAACCAUAUAGAGAAACCCAUCCUAAAUUUCAAAGCUUGAGGAAGAAAUUCUACAAGAAAAUUAACAAAGGUUCAAGUCUUGCGUACUCUUAAUUCCAGGUUGUCAAAUCCCGAAUCAUCUUCUCACCUUACAUCUCUUGUUCUCUCUAUUUCCCCAGACGAUGCAGGGAAUUUUCCUAGACGAUGCAGACACACAAAUUCUCCUUAUUCUUGGCAAUUGAUGGAUAAGAAAAUUCAGGGGACGUUCAUUUUGAUAAUGGUUGGUAAGUCACAUAAUAUUCUCCCGAACUUCCUCUCACUAUCCUUAAAACUACCCACUAACCUUAUGAUUUAGAAUAUGAAUCUCUGAUUGAGAAAAGUUGGAAGAGUCUAGAAAAGAUUUAGAAUUUUUUUAGUUUUUUUUUUUUUUUUGAGAUAUCAAUUGUCAUAAAAUAAUAUCUUACUACAAUUUGAAUGCCCUUUGGAGUAGAGCUAAUUAAUUUAAUUCUUUUUGUCAUAUCUUUUUUCCAAGGACUUUAGAUUCUAUUUCUGCCAUUUUCAGUUGUGAGAUUAUUUAGCUCUCAGUAUAAAACAAAACAGGCUGUGGGCUUCUCUUCUAAAAUUCUCCAUGGCGGAUAAAUAUGAUCUUGAAUUAAGAAUAGGAUGAGUUUUACUUUAGUACUGACGAUUUUAGGUAGCAUGAUUGUAACAAGGUACACCCAGUCGAUGUCAAUGCUAGGUACAAAAACUUCAUCAUCCUUGAACAUAUCCCUUUUGACAAGUUAAGGAGCUAAAAACAAAACGAGAGAGAUUAAAUUAACCAUAAGGUUGCUUUUGAUGCGAGAGCCGGCUAAUUUGAAAUACUUGAGGAAGCUGCUGUGGACUUACGGGGAAAGCCAAUUAGUACACAAUAAUACACCAUUUUUUAGAGAUGGAAAUCUGCAAGUGGUGGAGUUCGGUAAGGCUUUGCGGUUGUAAUUGUGGGUUCCAGGCAUCAAAAUAAUGCAACAUAGAUUAUUCAAGAAUAUAUAAGGUUUGAUUGGUAAGAAAACUUUUUAUACAACUGCAGGAGACGAUGACAAUGUGGUGCAGCUAGCAUAAGGCAUGCAACAAUUGUAGUUUAGUGCAGAUUAGGUGUCAGAUGUGAGUGAAAGUAAUUUAGUGCUUUCUGGGCUCAUUCCAAUAUGAUUAUGGUUAAAUGCCAUGUGUUUUGCACGUGACCAUGAGAUUUUUUAUUUGGAUAAAAUAUAAAAAAGCCCCUUAAGGUUAAGUGAAUAUACAAAAAAGCCACCUAUAGUUUCAAAACAUAUACUCCGGUAUCUUGUGGUUUGAACUAAUUUAAAUAAGCAACGAAAAUCGUUAGAAUUAAUGAGCUUGAAAUACACGCGCUUCUUUUGCGAAUAUUUGUAUCAGAAACAAAUAAAUUUUUUAUUAAUAGACCUAUUACACCCUUAGAGUUAUAAUACAGAAAAAUCCCUUGUGCUUAAGCAAAUCUAUAGAAAAAGUCCCUUAUAAUUUCAAAUCAUACAAUCCAGUACCUCGUGGUUUGAACUAAUAUUAAAAAUCGACAAAAAUUAUUUAAAUUAAAGAGUUUGAGGCUUCUUGACAUGGAAAAUAAUUUUUUAAAUCAAAAUUUUUAGCUAAUAUACCUAUUAAACCCCUUAGAACUCAUAAAAUUUUCAAAAACAAUCCAAAACUCCCAAAUACGACUCACCUUAUUUCUAUACAUAAAAUAAAUAAACAAAAGUUUCCCAAUAAAACUCACCUUGUUUCUAUACACAAAAUAAAUAAAUAAAAACUCUCAAAUACAACUUACCUUAUUCCUAUGCACAAAAUAAAUAAAUAAAAGCAAAAUAUAACCAUAGAGGGUUUUUCCGUAGGUUGGCUUAAUCACAAGGGAUUUUUCCAUAAGUUUGUUUAACAUGAUGGUUGUUAGAAGGUCUUUUAUUGCUUAUAUAUACUAGACAACUCACUUGCAUCAACCCAACAAAGAAUAUCAUACAAAUUACAUUGUUAAGAUAUUUGUCCACUGCUAAAACCCAACCAAAAUAUGUAUGUCUAUUUGUGCUCAUAGCAGUCAAUAUGCCAAAACUGUCACCAUCAAUCAGAUAUCUCUCUAAUAUUCUAUCAUUAUUUAACAAUUCAUAUAUCUGAAUAAAUUUUUCUCUCUCUUCUGUCAAGUUUUCUCGCCUUCUUGGUUUAUUGACCAAUCAAAUCCUUCAAUCUGACAACCCGUAGCACUCAACAAAUUUGACAAAAUUCCUCUCCGAUCUCUAUCUUCACACUCGCAACAAUCUAACAAUUUUCGGACCAAUCUUAUGAUCAAAUCCUUCACUAACUACGCAUUUCAGAGCUAAAUUUGUGGCCUAAUUCGAUCAACUAAAUACUUUUCGACAACUUUAUGUCCUAAUUCUCUAGCAGUAGAAACGCCCAAGACUAACCUCAUAAUCUAGCUCUAAUACCAAUUGUAGAACCCAAAAUUUUAGGAUUCUAAUAAUAAUCAAUAUAUGCAAGGUUACAAUAUUGAAGGGAUAAAACAAAACACUCAAAACAUAUGUGGGAGAGAAGAAAAUAAUCAACUCACAAUAUUAUUAAAAUUUCAAACAAUGAAAAAAGUUACACCAUAAUAGAAAACGUGACAAACUCUACUAGAUUCUCUCUAGAAAACACCCUAAAUAAUGUCCUAUUUAUAUUCUACCAGAUUUGUUUAGAAAGAAACCACUUGCACAAGAAAUUACCAAAUAAAACAUAAAUUCUUAAAUUGCACAACUAUUAAAACCUAACUCGAAUAAAACUAAUAAAUAAAUAAAUAAACACUUUUAGAUUUGGUUUAGUUUGCCAACACUUUUCUUCAUUAGAAAUUCCCAAACAAGUUAACGAUAAAAAUGUUAGGAAGAAUUAAGGACACAGGAAAUAUUGAAGAAAUUAAGACUCUGCAAAUUCAAUACGUGGAAAUCCAUAGAAAAUUUUUUUUGGAAGAUGCAAAAGCAUUAGUAAACCAAAGAAAAUUUUUUGUGAUUAUGUGUUACAAUCUUAUAAUUUCCAGAGAGAGUUGCAGUUUUAGUCUCUAAUGUUUGGUCUAUCAGCUAAAUUGGUCAGUGACCCAUCUUAAAGUGAUAAUCCAUCUUUUUGAAUAAACAAUUCAAAAGUGAAUUAAAGAAUGAUUAAAGGUAAAGGGUUGCUGCUUAAGCUUCUCAAUCAUAGCAUGCAGCGAUUGGCAUUUGAGGUGGGCAUAAGGUGUAAACUGACGAGGGAAGUUAACAAAUAUUCGUAGAUCCUAUGCAGACUCCAUCGUUGUACAUAUAAACAAAUCUUAAUUCUGAAAUAAAACAAAUAUGAUUUAAUGGAAAAACAUUGUGAGGAUUUACAUCAUUUUACAUUUUAUACUUGAGGCACAUGUCGUGAUGAGGAAUAAUAGAUUCAUUCUAUUCCUUUGUGCUUCAGUGUGUACACUUUGUAUAGUUUUUUUGGCCGUUAUACAUGCAUUGUUAAGGUAUACCAUAUCAAUAUAACUUACCAUUUUGAAAAGAAAACAAUAUAAAACAAAUAUGACAAAGAAAUUCAAUUUAAUUCUAUGAUGUUUUACUAGUCGCCUACGUCUGCGAUUUGAGUCAUCGAUGAAUAGAUGGAAUACCCCACGCCUGAUCUUUUUUGAAAGGAAAAGAAUAAAAGCAAAAUAAAGAAGGUAAAAUAAUUAUUAAAUAUUUAAUAAGACUUUCUGGCUUGCGUCCACAAGGCACUUGUGUCCAAAAAUAUCCACACACAAUUCCUAGGUACCAAGUGUGAUCAGUAACGCGUUUUUUAUAGGGACAAGCUGAGAGUCUGAGGCUCCCCGGGGCAGCUGAGAGUCAGACAGUUUUCGUAGUUUCCUCUUUAGGAGCAGAUCUUAAAUUCGACUUCCGGGAGCUACUGUGUUGUGAUCCUUGGGGCAGGACUCUCGCAGUUUGGAAAGAGUAGUUUGGCCUGUUCAGGUAAUUUUGGUCAGGUCAGGAUACUUCUCAGUCGAAAAAAAAAAGAAGCUAAGAGUCUGAGACCCCUUACGAGGAAAUGGAUGCCUUUUGACUGUGGUUUAUCUUGAAGUUAUGAGAAAUAAAAAAGCUACAGCUUUCUGAGAUAUUCUACGAUUGCAACGGUGAAGUCUCACCAAACUAUUCCACCACAUGCAGAUUUCCAUACCUAGAAAAUGGUGGAUUAUUGUGUACUAAUUAUCUGUUGAAGUGGAAAUGUGCAAAGGUUUUGGAAUCAAGUAUGCCUGUUUUCCUUAUUGUCUUUUCGAUACGUGUUCGCUUGGAAAUUUCUUAUUCUCAUGCUUUAUCCCCACCGCCACAUGAGAAAAGAUGUUAACAGUAAAGGAUGUCCAAAAAAUGAAAGAAAAGUGGAAUGUAGCAUAUAAAAUGAAAAUGGCUUUCUUACUCUUAAUUUAAGAUACGAGACAAAUAAAUAAGUACACAUUAAAUCCCUAUUUAAAAAAUAAUUAAUUACAAAAUCCAAAGAAUAAGUGUAUCAUAUUUAUUUAGAUUUACAUGUUUGGAUUGCAAAUUUUUCCAAAAAAAUUGUUACUUUUUCCGUGAUCACAUUUUUCAAUCAUCUUUCUACCUUACAUAUGUCAAAUCGUUUUCAGAAAAUAGUAAUCCAAACGAGAUUGAAUUUGAAACUCGUAGUAUAAAACCUAUUUACCAAAUAUCCCUUAAACUUUAAACAGUUUUUUUCUUUUGAAGGAUAAAACUUUAAAUAGUUAAUGCAAGAAACAUUUGGGGUCUAUCGUGUUGGUAAAUUCAAAUGUGAGGCAAAAAGUGGAGCUGUGUGGAAUGGAUCCUUGUAUACCGUCUAAUAUCUUGCAGUAAUUGAGCAAAAGUUGUGGACUACAUAAAAAUGUAAAGUAAAUCGUCAAAAGCUGUAAAUCAAGCUCAAAGAGUCAAGACCAGUAGGAGUAGUACCAAGGAAGCAAUCCCUUUCUCCUAAGUAAAAAAAUAUAUAUCCUUUCCGAAUCCAUAUUCCAGAAUCGAAUAAUGAUCCUUUAUUUAUUCACUAUUAUAUAUGUUCAAUACUUUAGGGGGCGCUUGGUUCAAGCUUAGGAAUUGGAAUUGUAAUUGGAAUCAUACAAGAAAACUUAGUAUGGGUUUUGGACAAAGAUAUGAUUACAAAUGAGGGUGCUUGGUAAAUAUUGGUAAGAAAUGGGUAUCAAAUUUAAUAAUCAAUUUUUUGCUUUUAAUUUCUUUUUUCUUUUCAUAUCUUUCUUCUUCCUUGUUCAAAUACUUAUCCCAAUUCCCACAUACCCAUCCACCAUAUAUAUAUAUUCAUAUAUAAAUAUAAAUAUUUUGUUUAAAAUAUAUUUAUAAAUAUAUUUAUAUUUAUAUUUAUAUAAAUAUUUUAUUUAUUAUAUUAUAUAAAUUUAUAAAUAUAUUUUAUUUCAAUUUUUUAUAAUAUGUAUAUUAAUAUAUAUAAUAUGUAUAUUUCAAUUUGUAUAUUUCAAUUAUGUAUAUUAAUAUGUAUAUUAUAUAUAUUAUAUCAAUUGAAAUAAAUAUUAUAUAUUUAUAUAUAAAUAUUUUUGUUUAAAAUAUAUUUAUAUAUAUUUAUAAAUAUAUUUAUAUUUAUAUAAAUAUAUAAAUAUUUUUAUUUUAUAUAUAUUUAUAUAAAUAUAUAAAUAUAUUUAUCUCAAUUUUGUUUAUAAUAUGUAUAUUAAUAUAUAUUAAUAUGUAUAUUUCAAUUUGUAUAUUUCAAUUAAUAUUUAUAUUUUAUUAUAUAUAAUUAUAUUAAUAUUAAUAUGUAUAUUUCAAUUAUGUAUAUUAAUAUUAAUAUGUAUAUUAUAUAUAUUAUAUCAAUUGAAAUAAAUAUAUAUUUAUAUAUAAAUAUAUAUUUUGUUUAAAUAUAUUUAUAUAAAAUAUAUUUCAAUUUUUUAUAAUAUGUAUAUUAAUAUAUAUUUAAUAUAUAUUAAUAUACAUAUUAUAAAAAAAUUGAAAUAAAAAAUAUUAUAUAUUUAAAUAAAUAAAUAUUAAUAAAUAGAAACAGAGCUAGUAUAUAUUUAAAAAAAUACCAAAAAUAAAAAUUUUUUUUUAAAAGAUUUUGGAAUCAAAUGUGGGAUUCAACAAAACCCUCCAAUCUAGUUGGGGAUUGAGAGUGGCUGAUUUUUCAUGAUUCAUUCCAAGAUUUCAAAACCCAUACCCAUUAGCCAAGCAACAAUUUUGGGACUCAAUCCAAUUCUUGAUUCCUAUACCCUCCAACCAAGCACUUGAGUAAUGGAUCACGGAAUCCAGCACCAGUUGAUUAAGAAGUUGCUCAGUAAUUCUUCUUUACGAUGUGGAACCGACGCGAAUCUGUAAUCUUCUUGGUCUCCAACACUGCACACUUUUGUCCUUUUAUUUCAGUUGUUUUCUAUUCUACAUAUUUCAAGGAUUAAUUUCACUUUACACCACUCAAUUAUGCCUGAAUUCCUACUUAAACCACUGAACUUUAAUUACUUUAUUAAAGUAUAAUUUGUCUCACUUUGGUCUUUUAAUGUACAAAUUCUGUCCUAUUUUAAUUCCUAAAUUAUAAAAUCUAUUUCACUUUAAUCCUAAAGAACGAUAUUUGUCUCACUUAAAUAUAAUAUCUGUCUCACUUUUGGCAUUAAUUUUACCAAAGUGGGACAAAAUUUUAUUUUAAGGACAAAAUGUCUCAUUUUAAAGUUUAGGAAUCAAAGUAAAAAUCUGAGCAUGGGUAAAAGGUGAAAAGUGGAAUUAACCCUAUAUGAAUUAGAGGAAUGUGUUUUAUUUUUUAUUACCAUUGUUUGGAUGUAUUAUUUGAAAUAUUAUUUGGAAUAAUUACUUUAGUACUUUUUGUGAUGUGAUGUAUGUGAGAUAAAAAGGUGAUUGGGAAUAUAAAAAAGUGGGUUAAAAAAUGUGUUUAUAAUGCAAGCGAAAUAUUAUUUGAGAUAAUUUGUUAUCCAAACAAACUCUUUUUUUCAACCUAAGGUAGACUAAGUGCUUAGGAAAGUUGCCAAGCCGUGUGUUCUUAGCUGAUGUGUCGCUUUGUGGUUGGUGAAAAAGUUGUAGUCCUCCUCCUCCACGUGGUGGAUGCCUGCUUUGUGAUGUUGGUUGUGUUUUGACUAAAUAGAUUGUGUGUGUUUUGACGGGCUGUGUUUUGACUGCUUGCAUGGAACCGAAAAAAGGAUAACCUGCUUGUAUGGAACACAAGCAAUGGGUUAUAGUGGUCAUAAUUAUAAUAGCUGAUAAUGAUGCUACUGUCCUUCCAAUUUUACCUAAUGUCAGCUUUUUGGUGAGAUUAGAGUGUGUAUUUGGUCAAUGUGACAGCUCAUUAAGUUACCUAUUUACCCUUGUUUUAAAUGUUUAUUUACAUUGUCUUUUUGUGAGUUGCCUUAGUUUAGUUGUAAUUGGGUUAUAGAUGUCAAAAUAACGCUUAGUUACUGUGCACUUUUUAAAACAGGCCUCUGUUCUUUGCCUCUGCUGGUUAUCAACGUCCUCCUUCCGUGCGCUACCGUCUAUACCGUCUGUCCUGCAUUCUGCAGCUGCUAUCAUGCUUAGUGGUUGGCUUCCGCAUUCGGUCACCAUUUUCCCUCUCUCGUUCUGUUGUUUCAUUUCAUCAUCAACUAUAAGGUUGGUUUGCUCAUUUUUUCCCUUUGCUCGUUCCUCUGUUCUUUUGAAUCCUUCGUUUCUGUUCGGCAGUCUCGCGAUAAUUGUCUGGGUCAGUUUUUUGCUUAUCGAUUUAUAUGUUUUUUUGCUAUUUCUGUUUAUGAGCUGUGGCAGCAUUACCUAUUUUAAUCACUGACUUUGUUGUUUUUUCCCUUUUCCCUGCUAAAAAAUGCUGCUGUAUAUAUGCCUUUGGUUUCCUGGUAAGGUCAUUGUUUUAAAAAAAAUAAUUCCCGCCUUUCUAUUUUGCUCUCUCCAGUAUCUCACCUUUCUGUUGUUGUCGUUUUUUCCAUCUUUUGCAGCUUUAUUUGAUGUCCGUGUUUUCGGAUUUUUGCUGCCAUUUUCGACCUGCUGGGGAGCCCGCUGUGGACCUGACCUUGUGCUAUAUCUUAUGCCAGCAAUUUCCUUGCAGGUCAGAUGCUUGUUUUGUGGUUUUGUUUUCCUCUUCAUUCCUUGUGCCUGCAUUAGUUCAUCGCUGUUUUUUCCCUCUUUCCUGGUCAUUCCGCACUUCAUGUAUUUUCUCCAACAUGCAUGGCUUCUUCGCAUCUUUUUGCUUCGUUCAUCGAAUUAAUUGGAGUUGUAUCUGCUUCCUCAAAAAAUUUAAAAAAAAACCUUUUAGACCAUAGGGAAAAAGACGGCUACAAUGACAGAGCAGUACAAAUUCUACCAUGCAAAAGAAGCAGCUCCUCUGGCUAUCACUCGACAGAUUUCUACAGCCUAUGGAAUCCCAAAUUGAAUAAACAAUGCACAGACAAAUCAAACCAUAGGCAAACAGAAGCCAACCUGACUAUCACUCUCAAAAUUCUUUUUUAAGCAUUGUCACUAGGAAAGCGCAUGUUGCAUUCUUAGCCUUAAUCAAACACCCUUUACAUGCCAAGAAAAGUCAAAAUCAGUCACGUAAUACUCUGAACAUACCCUUUACUUGCGCUAUACACUGAAAUCUAACUUCUGAGUUUACAUGCCACAGCUAAUUCAAAAGGCCAUUUGCACAUUGAGGAAAAUUGAACUACUGAUUAGUCAUGCAUGCACCAAUCGCGUGAGGCUAGAGUUGCUCUUAAUACUUACACUUCUGAUGCUUUCUGAACAGAAUAGAACUAUUAGAGCUAUUUAAGCAAUCUUAUAACUUACAAAUCCACAGCCUAGAUUUACUAAUUCAAAUCCAGCAGGCAAAGCACUGAGAAAAUAAACCAACAUCAUGCAUGCAACCAGCUUCACCACUAAACAAUAAGUGAUAUUGUACAGUCCAAAGCUAAACUCAAAUACUAAAACCAUUAAAACUCCCUAAUAAAAUCACCGACAGAGAUAGAGAGAGCAAAGAAAAAUAUAAAAGUCUUAGGACUUUAAUGAUCAUUAAACACACGCAGUGCUUUAAGCACUAUGCAGGAUGAGUAGUGAUUCAACUAUCAGCAUUCUGACCUUCCAACCACAUGUAGCGUGAGAUGCUUUCUGAUGUAGCUUCUGAGUCCGUAGGGAGGGUUCUUUGAAUGAGCUCAUGCUUUCAACAAUAAGCAUCCCACACUAUUUGAGCAUAUGAAUUCACGUGUGUUGUGUUCUUUCUUUUGGAUUCUACAAUGUCCUUUUAUGCUCAUUCUUGGUUCUUACAAAGUCAUCGUGUUUGGAUUGUUCAAUUCUUUGGAUUUUUCAUGGUUUGGUUAGUAUUUUUCUCUGUUGCAACUUGGUACUGUGGCUGCUGUUCUAGCAGGCCUUCAUCGCUUGCUUGUAUAAUUUCUUAUACCCUGUUCUUUAUAGCAGCUCACGCGUUUUGAGCUUUUCCCUUUACGUUCUACUAUGCUCUUUUAUACUUAUUGUCAGUUCUUACAAGGGCAUCAUAUCUGAAUUGUUACUCCUUAGUUUUUUUUUUGAGAUGGAUAAAAAUGCUAUGCGCCGGAAGCGUUAUGCAGAAAUGUCACCCACUGCCAAGGCUGCACUUUCACGUCGGAGGCGUGAGGCCAGGCUUCUUAAGAAAAAGAAUAAAUCAUCGCGCUCUUACCUUCGUACCGUGCCACUCGGGCAUGUUGAAACUGGUGUUUGUUUCUCUAAUUCAGCUCCUACGCGUAACGACUCGUUAGCAGCUUGUCAUGGUCAGGUUGUCGAUAGUCGUUCUGUUGCGCUUCAAGAAUCGUUGAACUAUACGUCUGCCGCUAUGCCUGCCUCGCUCUGUCUAUCUAGUCAAGCUUGUUCCUCUCCUAUUGUCCCACAUUUAGUGCAAUAUAGUUUGGAUUCUGAAGGUAUAUAUACCAUGGCACUAUUUUAGUUACCUGCCCCAAAACCAUUUAUAGUUAUUUCAUUGUUCUCCCCAUGUCUGCAUUUUGGCCUGCCUUCAUUUUCUGUGUGCUCUUCUGAUGCAAACUAGCCCAUCUAUUUGUACACUUUGCAGCUCGUCUCCUGAAUCGUACACUUCACUGUCGGCAAGCUGACCCACAAAGUAGUUCUCCAAAACAGAAAGAGCCGGGCUCUCUCUCCCUUCAUCUUUCAGCUACUGUUCUCUCAUUCAUGCGAAUGCCUUAUCUAAAGCAUUGGAUCAUCCUCCACAUAACAUUGUUAUAGCCUCGAGCCAGGAACAGCAAACUUCUGAUGCUCUGAGUAAAAAUGCACAUAAUACCUCCACAUCUGUUAACAAUUUAAUGAUUGAAAUUCUAAGUCCCCUCGAUGCAGCUCCUUCAAAUCACUUCUCCAGAAACUGUGUUCCUCCUUCUACUGCAUUAAAUCUCCCAUCUAAAAGUACCUGCCAGUGUACAGGUAUUGCAGCACUUAGAAAUAGUUUCCCUUGUGUUUCUUCUUCACUUCCACUAUUGCCGUCUUCUGUCUGCUAUUUCUAUAUGCAUAACACCAUCUAUGUCUCUGUCUCGCUACAGCUUCAUGCAGUGGCAGAAUUCCGUGUAGAAAACGUCCCCCACGAAAUUGUUCUGACAAAAAGAAAAAAACUGAACUUCUGGGAUCCCAUUGUUUACCUCAUGACCCUAUGCAUGGGUCAAAUCUUAAGUCCCUUGACUCUUCCAGUACUUCAUGCUCAGGCCACUUAAUUGAGCAGUUUCCAUCUUCUUCUAUUUCAUUCAGUCCUCAGUCUUUUUGCUCUACUCAGCCUACAGGUAUUACUCGUUCAUUUUGUUGAUCCUUUUUCUUCCCUUUCGUUUUCAACCUGUACCUUUUACAAAAAAAAAAUAUCUCUCUUCUAAAGCAAUACUUUGUGUUAUGCCCGGCUUAUUAGAAUUUGCGCUCCUGCGCUUAUAGAUGCCCUGUUUCUUUAAGAACAAACAGUUGUUCCUUCUAAAAAAAAUUACAACGGUUUGCCAGGCAACACGAAUGCUACCAGCAAAUCAUCUCGUCCUCAUAUUGGUGUUACAGCUGCUACAACGAAUCUUUCAAACGUUAUAUUGACAACAAGGAGGCAAUCAGGUUGCCCUUUCUUUGUUUGUCAUAUUUGUGACCUUUCCCCUCGUAUUCCCUUCAUUCUGUGCUUCUUUCAGAUUUCCUUGCGAACAUCAUUCCCAUUAUAUAGCUUAAAUUGCAGGGACACUUACUGAACGCCGUCGUUCAAAAAAAUCUAGGAUUGAUGAAAUUGCUAAAGAGUCUUUAUUGCUCCCUGAUGCUCUUGAUUGUCAGUAUUGUGGAGCUAAAAGAUUCUAUUUGGAACCCCCUAGCUUUUGCUGCUCCCAAGGAGAAAUUUCUAUUGUUGCUCCUCCAAUGCCUUACGCUCUAAAGCGUCUAUUCAUAGGAGAUGAUGAAGAAUGUGAGCAUUUUAGGAAAUUAUCUCGCACAUAUAACAAUAAUGUGUCUUUCACUUCAUUUGCUGCAAAGUAUGAUCCAGAAUUGACAAGGAAUACAAAGGGAGUAUAUACCUUUCGUGUCCAGGGGCAGGUUUAUCAUUUUUUGAAUAGUUUAUCACAGCCUGAUGAUAGACCCUGUGGAAUCCACCUCUACUUUUUUGAUACCGAUGAAGACUUAAUCAGGCGAGUCGCUGCUUCUGACAAGCUUCGCGAGAGCACUUUGAAGCUUUUGAUGGACAUACUUUCUAAUAAUCCUUAUGCUAGAUUCUUUAAGGACCUAAGUGAUGUCCCAGAUCUUGAAAAGCAUAGUGUUGUCCUUAACUGCUUUCCUGGCCUUGACCAGCGCAUUUAUAAUCUUCCUUCUGCUUCUCAAGUCGCUGCUAUAUGGACUGAAAAUGAUGAUGAAUCAGUCGAUAGGCAACCGCAUAUUCUCGUAUAUAGCCGAUCAAAUACUGCUCACAAGGUCCAGCAUUAUUAUGCUUGUUAUGAUCCUUUGCAGUAUCCUCUCUUAUUUCCACGUGGUGAAUCUGGAUGGCACCAUGGAAUUAAACGAGCUUAUAAAAGAAAACGAACUGAUCAUUCCUUUGAUGAAGAGGUUAUCAUUGAUCCCUCUUCUGUGCAUGAACCAUCUGAACUUAUGGAUUUAGAAAAAAGAGGCAAGUACAUGUCCUGCAUUUUAUAGUUUUUCAGCUUACCGGUUACGAAAUAAACUUCUGUUUACGUGUAGAUUUUUUUCAUUUCCUAUAGCUGCUGAUCAUCGGAAAGAAGGAUGAGCAUACUGUAUCGGCUAGAGAGUAUUACUGCUAUAGGUUCCAGAUCAGGAAGAAUGACGAAUCUAUGCUAUUGCAUACUCUUAGAUUGCUGCAGCAAUUUUCAGUUGAUUCCUAUGUCAAAAUUGAAACAUCACGCCUGGAUUUUCAGCGCAAGAGGCAAAAUGAUAUUCGGACAGAAAUCCUUCAAGGAGUGCUAGAUAGUGUUUCCAUUGGUCAAAGCGAAGGCUUAAAAGUUGGCCGAAAAGUGAUAUUACCAGCUUCUUUUAUCGGUGGCCCAAGAGAUAUGAGGCGACGAUAUCUUGAUGCAAUGGCAUUGGUACAAAAAUAUGGAAAGCCGGAUAUUUUCCUGACCAUGACAUGUAAUCCAAUGUGGAAAGAGAUUCAAGAUAAUCUGCAAUUUAAAGAAAAACCUCAGGAUAGGCCAGAUCUUUUGUCUAGAGUGUUUAGAGCAAAAUUUGAAAUGCUUAAGGCUGAACUUUUAGACAAGAAAAUUUUUGGAGAAGUCGCUGCAUGCGUUUAUGUUAUUGAAUUCCAAAAACGGGGCUUUCCUCAUGCUCACUUAUUAUUAAUCUUGAAGCCGCAAUUUAAAUUGCUUAAUCCUGAGUCAUACGAUAGAAUAGUUUCUGCUGAGCUUCCUGAUCCUAAGCAGUUCCCUCAUUUGUAUUCUCUUGUUCUUAAGCACAUGGUUCAUGGACCUUGCGGGCACAUGGGUAAGAAUAGCCCUUGUAUGAAAGAUGGUAGCUGUAAAAAUCAUUAUCCAAAAAACUUCUGUGAACAUACAACUCAUGCCGAAGACAGCUAUCCAUACUAUAGGCGGCGGAAUGAUGGCAGCAAAAUAACUGUUCGCAGGUUUGAGCUUGACAAUAGAUGGAUCAUUCCUUAUAACCCAUAUCUUUUGGCCUUGUUUGAUUACCACAUGAAUGUGGAAAUCUGUUCCACUUUGAAGCUGGUUAAGUAUUUGUACAAGUACAUCUUCAAAGGACACGAUCUUAUCAGCUUCAAAAUUAUAUCUGACGAUUCCCGUGCCGAUGUCGAUGAGAUUAGAGAAUUCUAGCAGGGAAGAUGGAUUUCGCCCCCGAGGCUUUUUGGCGCAUCUUUGAAUUUAGGCUAAACGAGAUGACUCCAGCUGUCUAUACUCUACAGGUUCACCUACCUGGCCAGCAACUCAUCACUUUCAACAAAAACUCGGACCUUUUACAGCUGAUGAGGAAAAUUGAUUUCUCAAAAACCAUGCUGACUGAGUUCUUCAAAAUGAACAAAACAAAUGAAAGGGCUGAAACCUUGAAGUGCUUUUAUAGAGAAUUUCCAGAGCAUUUUGUUUGGUCUUUUAAAUAUAAAGCUUGGACUGAGAGAAAGCGUAAGAAAGCCAUUGGAAGGCUAGUGGCAAUCAGCCCUCAUGAAGGUGAGAGAUACUACCUUAGACUACUGCUCACUCAUGUUCGAGCACCUACGUCAUUUGAUGACCUCUUAACUAUUAGUGGCCAAAAAAUGGAUUGCUUUAGAGAUGCUGCUUUGGCCCUUGGGCUUUUACAGUCCGAUACAUAUCUACAAUACACUCUUGAAGAAGCAGCUCUUUUUCAAAUGCCAUCCUCUUUGAGACUCUUAUUUGCUACUAUUCUUGUUCAUUGUUCUCCGACAGAUCCUCGAUUUCUUUGGAACAAAUUUCGCUAGAACUCUCUGCAGAUUACCACCGAUCUCACCACCUCUGUUUUUAUACGGCUAAAGAAAUUAGAAAUAAGGCCCUGCAGGAAAUUAAAAAAAUGGUCGAACAAAUGGGUAAGAGUUUUGCUGACUACCAUCUAACUACAGACAUUCCACCAGCUGUUCACUAUGAUAAGCUAACAAAGAGAUUGAAUGUGAAAGAAAUAUUGAAGUUCUAGCAGAGGAUCUAAUAAUGUCUUCGAGGUUAAAUAUUGAACAACAGCAUGCGCUAUGAUUUAAUUCUGCAGUCAGUUUUCUCUCCCAUUGGCCAGAGUUUUUUUGUUGAUGGCCCUGGGGGAACUGGUAAGACUUUCUUAUAUCGGUCCCUUCUAGCUACUUUGAGAUCCCAAGGCCACAUUGCUAUUGCAGUUGCAACGUCGGGUGUCGCAGCGUCUAUUCUUCCAGGAGGAAGAACGGCCCACUCUAGAUUCAAGAUGCCACUAGAUUUUUCUAGAAAUAAAACCUGCCAGAUUAGUAAACAGGGCAGUAUUGCAAGAUUGCUUUUUCAAUCAAGGUUAAUCUUGUGGGACGAGGCUUCAAUGGCAAAACGAGAAAUUGUUGAAGCCUUUGAUGGUUUGCUUAGGGAUAUAAUGGACUGUGACCUUCCAUUUGGAGGAAAAGUAGUUGUUUUCGGUGGCGACUUCCGUCAAACUUUGCCGGUUAUCAAACAGGCAACAAAACAGACUCUUAUCGAAUCCAGUCUUCCUAACUCUCCUUUGUGGCCUAAGCUCCAGAAGCUGCAUUUGACACAAAUAUGCGAGCCAUCUUAGAUCCAGCGUUCUCAGAAUUCUUAUUAAGAAUAGGUGAAGGAAGAGAGCCUGUUGAUAUAGAUGGCGAAAUAACCUUAUCUUUUGAGAUGGUCAUUCCUUAUACUGACAAAGAGAAAUCUUUGAACAGGUUAAACAAUUUGCCCUUUUGAAUGCUAAUUUUAUCAAGCCUUUCUUCUAUACUUCAAUAUUUAUAUAUUCUCACUUAGAUUUGUUACGAACAGGUUGCUGGAAUUUGUUUUUCCAGAUUUAACAGCCUAUUUAAAAGAUCCUUAUAGUAUGAUCAAUAGAUGUGUCCUUGCACCAAAAAAUACCUCAGUUGAUGAAAUAAAUGACAUGCUAAUCAGAAGAUUUCCUGGGAAUCUUCAUGUGUAUGUCAGUUCUGAUAGAACUGUUGAUCCACGCCAUCAAGGAGACUAUGAAGAUUUCUUGAAUUCUCAAAAUCCAAAAGGCCUUCCUCCUCACAAACUGGUGCUCAAAGAAAAUGUCCAAUCAUGCUUAUGAGAAACCUCAACCCUACUGAAGGAUUAUGCAAUGGUACACGACUCAUUUGCAGAGAGCUAAGACAAAAUACUAUCUGUGCAGAGAUAGCUUUUGGCCAACAUCAAGGGAAAAGAAUCUUUCUUCCUAAAAUUCCUAUACAAGUAUCUGAUAAUGACAAGAAUGGCCUGCCGUUUAUAAGGACACAAUUUCCUGUUCGUGUUUGUUUUGCCUUGACAAUAAACAAAUCCCAAGGUCAAACACUAGAUUAUGUUGGAAUCUACCUCCGUGAGCCAGUUUUUUCUCACGGUCAACUAUAUGUUGCUUUAUCUAGAGUUAAAACUUCUGCAGCAGUCAAAGUCCUUAUCCUGCCUGGAACUUUUGAUGGCAUAAAAACUGAUUGCAAGACUAGAAUGUUGUCUUUGAAGAAAUACUUCACCUCACUGCAUGAUAUUUCUACAUGUUAGAGUUAUUUCCAUUUAAGGUUUGUUAGCCAUAAUUAUUAUUCUAUUGUUAUGAUGCCUGCAAUACCGUUCUUAAUUUAUACUAACAUUUGAUAGAUUUUUCCUUGAUUUUUUCCCAUGUAGCAUGGACAAGUUCUUAUCCAUAAAAGAAAUUAUACCUGAUAUGCAAGAGUGGUCAUGCAAAGUUAUUGUUCAGGAAAAACAACAGGUUACCCAAUCACUGUCGACACCGACAAAGAAACAAAAAUUUAUUUUUGUUGAUGAACAGGUAAACAAGUACAGCCUCUGCAUUUAAUCUUUCUUUAUUUUUUGUUCAUGCAGAAGUAGAUAAAUACAACCGCUGCAUUCAAUCUUUCUGUUUAUAUUACGUUUAUAUUCACAACUGAUUCAUUCUGAAACUUUUUCUUUUAUGAAAUAGGAAUCAAAGGUUGAAGGCAUUAUUUUCAACCAUGAUAUUCCUAGGGUCGGACCACUCUUGCAGGUCUACAAAAAGUACAGAAUUUCGAAUGCUCUGGUUAGACCAAUCCACCCAAAAUAUCAGACGGCUGAACUGAAAGUACAAUGGAUCAUCACAAGUAAAACUGUUAUUGAACAGGAUCCUGAUGAUGAAGAUAUGAUGCCUGUGAAAUUUAACUGCACUCAAUUCCAGACUUGGCACAGUUCAUGGAUCAUAGGGAUAAAUCUGUCGGUAUGUAUGUUGUGUAUUACACAUAUAUCAUGAAUUUCAACUCAGAAAAUCUUUUACAAGAUCAUUUCGCUUUGCCAGAUGUCCUUGGAAUAGUUAUUGAGGCACAGGACACAAGAAUCAUUAAUAAAGAUUUCAAAGAAUCUGUUGUCCAAAAAUUCGUCCUUGUCAAUGAACAGUAAUGUUUCUUUCUGCUGCUCUCCAAACUCUUACUUAGUUCUCUCCUCAUUUUCUGUAUAUCCUUUGUAUGUCUUGACAACUGCUUAUUGUCGUCUUGUUAGAUCACAAGCUGUCAUACUUUCGAUGUGGGAUGAUUUCAUCAGGAAUGAAGGACAACAAAUAAUAGCUGAAUUACACAACUACCCUGUCAUCAUAUGUCGCAGAUUGAAAGUUAGCAACUAUAACGGUAAUUUUACCUCUAUACAUCUUUAUUUUAAUUUCAUUUGCAUACAAAAUUUAUUCAUUCUUAAUCUUAUAGGAGUUACACUGUCAACAUGGUUUGAUUCUGCAAUCCUCGUUGACCCUCCUGUGCAACAAGCAAGAGAAUUAAAGAACUGGUACUGAUUAUUUAUAUACCACAUAAGCAAUCAAUCAUCUAUGAUCACUUCCUUCCAUUACUUUUUUCCAUUUCCUCUAUCAUAGGGCGAUGAGAAAUACCAAGCUACUUGCAGCAAUCGUUGAUCAAAAAAGCUAUAUUAAGUAUAACCCUGACAUAUCUGUGAAAUCAGAUCAGAAAAUGACUUUAAUUUCAAAUGUCAGGCCAUCACAAAAGGUUCCAUGCUUUUUCGCCUAUUCUGUCAUUUAACUAUCGAUUUGCAUAUUAAUAUAUGGGUUAACGCUGUGCCUUUCAUUGCUGUGUUUUUAGAAUGUAUGGGUUAAAGCAAGGUUCUCUUUUCAGCACAUAUUCCAGAAAUACUGGUAUAUGAGCUGUAAAAAAUGCUGUCGGGGCACUGCUGCUGCAAAUGGAGUUAUUUUUAUGUGCAACACAUGCAAAGAAAAGCAUCCUGCUCAGCCUAGGUAGUUACUUUGAAAGUCAUUAACGUAUCAGUUAUGCUAGUCCAUUAUUUAACUCUUCUUUAAUAGACAUGCCUCCCUGAAAUUUACAUACAUCUAUAGGUGUCGCUUUGAUAUGGAUUUAUGUGAUGAUUCUGGUACGAUCACAGCUUCUGUCUUUGGAGAACAAGCCGAAAAGCUGCUAACCUUCACUGCUUUUGAAAUAAUGGACCAUUUUAGGCAGGCAUGUUGUCCUUUAAAAUACUGACUGCCACAUUAUUAUUAUUUCCAUUUAACACUUAAUGCAACAGACGUCUCCAUUCUGCAUAUAAUCCUUAUCUGUUUACUUAUUCUUCUCCUAUACGUUUUCCUUCCAUAGAACAUUGAACUCCCUCUGGAGGUUGUCCAUAAGGAGCUGGAGUCAAAGUGGUUUCUGGUACAUAUAAAAUCAGUGCAGACUCAGAUGGCUGAUGCAAAGCAACGCUAUACAAUUAUCUACUUUUCUGAAGUUCUCAAUGCUGAAUCCAAAAAUGCUGAAUCCAAAAAUGCUACUUUGUUAAUUGCUACAGCCUGACACUGCUGACACCAUUACUUCAGGUAUCAGGAGUUGAAACGUUACCUUAUACAUCACCUUUUUUGUUAACAUAGGCUUUAUUUCCUUCCCAAUCCAAAAAAUUAUAGCUCAUAAACAUUAGUUCAAAAACUCCUUUGUUCUUCUGCCUCUACUAGACAAUUGAAUAGAUACUUAUCUAUGAUUGUUAGAUAUAGCCUAUAUAAACAGCUAUUACUAUUUUGCCUUUAUUAACAAAAUUCAUUUUGCUACAGUCACUGCACCUGUUAAAGAAACCAAGCCAGCUUCGAAGACUAGAAAAUGUCUAACUGAAAAAUUUGAUGCCUUAGCUGAUGCAGCAAUAACACUCCCCAGGCUGUCACUGAAGGCUCCAAGAAGAAGGCGAAGCUCAUUUAAACUGCUGUCAUUUUAUUUUUGUGUAAAAAACCCCAAAUACCAAGCAAUAUUGUAUGUUGCUAUCAAUCAGUUUUUGUUCAUCACAUAUAUUCUGCUCGAGAAACCAUGCUACCUAUGCUUUACCCCCUUCUCUUGAGCUUUAUUUAUUUAGUACUUUAUUUCCCUAGGGGAACUAUGCUGCCAGUACUUGAUUGCUUUUGUUGAAACUUGCAACUCAAAUUAAAAGACCUUUGUGUCUUGUUCUGUUGCUCUUUUGACUAGACAUUUUACUUCCAUUUACCUUUUCCCAGCUAUUCAAUCCUUAUAUUUCUAUGAGAUGCUCGUUACCCUCUAGUUACACCAGAAUGCUUUGGUCAUAAUUUUACUCUAAAGCUAUCCACUUCGGCAUUAAUUAUUCAAUGUACAUAACAGAUAUAGUAUUAAUUACAAUAUAUCUGUUUUGCUGUGAUAAACAGGCAUCACUCAGUAGUAUAAAUAUACCAAUCUAUUCCGUUUUCCAUUCCUUGUUUGUAUCUACAUGCCUUUGCUUUCUUAACUGAACACAUCAAGCAGCAGAUUUGCUCCUCACUACACCAACAGGUUUUUGCUGCUGAUCCCUUUCAGUAUGCGUUCAUAACUCAAACUUAUGCACCUACACUUACCAACUGCACUCAUAUUUAUUACUUUUACUUCCCUAACUCUAUGCAGCGCUCUAUUAUUAACAAUACUCGUCCAUUCACCUUAACAGCUUCAUGGCUGAAACAUCUAUUGUUUCUAUGGAUUACUCUCACAUCGCAAGCAAUGCUCCACAAACAUAUUGCUUUCUUAUUAGGUGCAAAAACAGAGGACAGGUAAUAAUAUUUUUCUCCAAUGUAAUAGCUUUUUUAUGGGUUACUCUUGCAGUUGUGUUUAGAAAUGACCUCUCUUUUUAUGCACCAUGCAGCCUCUGCCUCAUGAAUUUCAAAUAUUGCUCAGCCAACACGAUGACACUAAAAUCACCUUCAGGCAUGGAUUGCAGCGAUGGACAGUCUCAGUCAGAAAUAACUGCUUUGAAGAAGGAUGGGUAGAAUAUUGUCAUGAAAACAUGAUCACAGAACAUCAUAUGCUAUUACUUCGGCAUGCUGGAGAUUUAAUUUUUGAUGCGAUUCAUUUCUGUGAACUAAAAAAGCAAGUCUACCUCCGAUCGACAGUUUCCCUACCCAAUCUUUUGCAUCAGCAAAGCAGUAUAGGUUCACACGUUAUUUUUGCCAUUCUAAUUUAAAAGUAUUAUUAUACCAGUUACUGCAUCUUACAACAUCAUUCUUUCAUCUUGACAGAUCCUGCAUUUUUAUCACUUCGCCAACAAAUUGUUUCCUCAUCGCUAAGUCUGGAUUUCUCUCAAGAUUUGUCAAAUUCAAUAUGCUUUUAUCAAACAUUUGAUUCAGCAUAUCCCAGUCCUUGGUAAUCAUCUGUUCUACCUACCAUUUCUAGAAAGGUUUCAUCCGCUACAAUAAUUUACCCUCCUUCACAAACUAACCUACAUUCUCUUAUUUGUAGAAACUCCCGGUUCGUUGAUCACUUUUUAAAUGGUGAGAGAACUCCAAAUAUAGUUCUAAAAACUGGCCGCAACAUCACUGAAGUUGGAAUCAAGCGCAACCACCUCAAACGAAAUUGGAGAAAGUUUGUUCUGGACCAUCAUCUCCAACAUAAUGACACACUUGUCUUCAUUCCAGAGUCACAGACAAGCUUUGCUUUUUAAUCUUUAAUAGUGAUGGAAUUGAGAAAAUUUUCCCUUGGUACAAUACCUUCCUGCUGUAUUUUUAUGGUGGCCGAAUAUCCACUUACAUAUGUACUACUCCAUUAAAUGUAUAAUCAGCUUAUUCGUAGCAUGCUUCUCGACAACGAAACUGCUGUUGCUUAUUUUGACUAGCAUACAUAUCCAACAAUUUAUUCUGCCAAGGAAUUAUUCCCUUACUGCAAAAGCUUAUUAGAUUCCUGACAAUGCAAAGCCUAUCUCAACCAAACAUCACGGAUGACCCAACACUGAUCAGCCAAGCUUUUCUUUUCUGCCUGAAAUAUUCCUUCACUGUACAUUACAUUUGCAUUACUUAUUUCUAUGUUUCAGUACAACUUCAUCAAUUUAAACGAGCUCCCUUCUUUUAAUUAAUUUAAAUUAUGGUUUUUACUAAUACACUAUGACAAAUAUUACAAAUUCUCCACUUGAUAGAUACAAUUAUGGCCAUAUUAGUGUUCCUUUUCAUACAAGCAUCUCACAACCAUCUCACGUUGCACCAAAUUAUUUUAGAUCAAAAGUUCAAAGCUAGUGGCACACAAUAUCCCAACUCCCUGCAUUAUUACUCGCAUUUUUAUUACCUACCACGCUACAAAUCAUUUACCCUUUCUCUGCUUGAAAGUAAACUUAGUCUCUUCUCCAAAUAGCCACAACGCUCAAUCAUCUCUUCAAAUUACAUCCUGUUACAAAAUACCCCAAAAAUGAAACCUGGUAGCAUUCCUUUGUCUGCUGUUCACCCAUCCUUGAAAGACUGGGGAGUUAUUGUCCAGGCAAUUGAAGCAACUCAUAUGAAGUAUUGCUCAAUCCUUCACCAACAUUAUCAAACAUUUCUGCUUGCUGACGCAGAGGUGAUAUAUAUCUAAGUCUUCCUUUUUCCUUCCAAUCAUAAAAUUAAAUUCUACUGUAGUUUAAUACUUCCUAAUCACAGGGUACUACAGUCGAAAUGCAUGUUCCUCAAAACAUUCUCGAUCAAAAACCACAAUUCCUUGUACCGUUUAAAAGAUACUACAUCUCUAAAGCUUUUAUUUCUCUGCCAAACACUGCUACUGCCAUCAGCGAAUAUCCAUUUCAUUUCCUUGCUACUGAAGAUACUUUAGUUGAAGAAAUUGAAAGGAAAUCAAGCAAUUCAAGAGCCUGGUCAGCCUUCUCUUCCUCUUCAUUUCCAGCUACUUUCUUUCUCUGCUUUAGCCGCAAUUGCUGACACUGAUGAGUUUAUAAGUAAGUUAACGCUCAUACCAUGCAAUAUCUUUUCCAGCUAGCAAGAAACCCCUAGCAUACUGAUUUUUUUAAAAAAACUUCCUUAGAUGUCAUGGCAAUUGUGCUACAUGCUUUACCUGUCAAAAGUAUCACUUCUCAGGGGAAAACGUCGAUUGCUCGAGACUAUGUCAUUGCCGAUCAAGAGUAAUAAUCUUACCUACUAAUUCAUUUAGUUCUUCCGUACACCAUAUAUCCAAAUAAACACUUCGGACAAAUAUUUAUUCUUCCUGUUUUGCUAGCAUGAGACCAUUCAUCCUAACUUUGAAGAAUGACUUCGAAGAAAUCAACGGUCCUGCAAUUGCAGCUGCUCAGAACCAUUUUCCUAUCAUCAUUGCCAUAAGAAUCAAAGUCACAACACAGAACUGUAACCAAAUAGCUACUAUUUAUUAUUUAAAAAACAGCUACGCAUUUAUUAGCUGAAAGUCUUCUUUACUCUUCUUAUACUUGAUGUUUUCUUCCUUUUCCCCCCUUAAAACCCAGAUCUUAGUCUUUCAACUCAAGAUUCGACCACUAUUUUGAUAGCUCCAAUCGUGCAACAAGCAACCGAUCUGCAUCACUGGUCAGACAACUCACUGCACGCUCUCCAUUCCAUCAUUCCAGUUAUUCUCUUCCAGCUUAACUUUUCCUUUCUUAUUUUAGGUAUCGUCACAACACGCCUCAGCUAGCACAGAUGGUCCAUGAGCACAGUUAUGCUAAUCCGCACAUCCUUUUUCCUCCCCCUCAUUACAGUCAAAUCCAUGACAUAGCCGCUCUGCUUCACUUCGUAAAAUUCUUAUACUACUGACCAAUUUCACAUCUAAACUUCUUUAUUAUAUUUCCUGUUACCAUUUCCCACUUUCUUCUUCUAUUACUUUUAUUUUAUAGAAGCCAAAGACCGCAUGGAUUAAAGGUGUCGUCGAACUUGAUUGUAAACCUCAAGAUUUAACCUAUAUAGCUUGUCCCAAUUGUUAUCAUCCAGACAGUUGUAUAGAUGAGCGAAAAAUUAUCUGCAAAUACUGUCAAGCUAAUGUUGAUCUCCAACCCAGGUGCAUAUUCUUAUAAAUAAGGUACAUUAUUUUUAUUAAUCAAUCUAAACUUCCACUGUCAAAUCAUCCACUUAUUAAUUCCAGGGCUUGUAUUUCAAUUUGGAUCACGGAUUCAACUGGCACUCUAUGUCUUACUGCUAUGGCCUCUGAAGCCGAAAAGCUAGCUCAAUUCUCAACUGCUGAGCUAUACUAUUUGCAAACAGAAGUAAUUAUCAAUUUUCUUUUAUAUGCUACUUGUUUAACUCUCUUUUUCCCAACAACUUAGGUUCCUUUCUUACUUUUUUCGCACCAGAACAUAAAUAUGGCUCAACAUCUUCAAGCAAUUCUCCACGAAAAAAUCCUUACAUGCUACGUCAAGCCAUCGACUUCAAAGUUCAGAAUGCUACGGCGCUCAGCUUAUGAAAUAAUCACUUCCUACACUUUAGAUCAAGUUCACAACAUUGACAACCUCAACAUCAAUAAUCUCAACAUUAAUGACUGAAGACUUGCUUCUUUUGUUUGUUAAAUCAUGCCUUUUCCAAUCAACAAACUACGCUCAUUACUUGUGAUGUUUUUUAACUUAUAUGUUAACUAUACUGUUUCUUACCAUUUCACAUUUUGUCUAUUUCUACAUUCCAAUUCCUUAUUACUUUACUUAGCAGCACUGGGCAUGCCAAUAUCUGAAGCCCACACCGCGCUUACGCGCGGUGUACACCUCCUAGUUAUUAGAAUAAAAGCAAAGCAGUUUGACGCGGUUAUUGGUAGUCAUAUGAAAAGAUCCAAACUGUUUUCUGAUGUUCUUGUUCGGCAUCCAGCAGUGAUUUUCAUUCAAUUCUGACCACCCACUCUAUAUUUUUGUAUUCGUUUCGAGCUAAAGAACUCGUAACGAGGCAAACAAAAUUCCCAACCUUUUUCCUUUCUUUUGCUGGAAAAAAUGCAACAAAUUUUUUUUUUGAAAAAAGGACUGAAAUGCACUGUCAAGUUAGAAGUGCAGAAAGUGCACUUCAUUUAUAAGUUUUGUGGAGCCAAGAAUUUUAGAAGAAGAUAAGGCCCAUACACAAAGUUACAAAAGAACACAACGGAGAGAUAUAGAAACAGAAUUGUAUCAAGAAAGGGGGUGAGCUGAACGUGAAAGCUUAAAAUUAUCACCCAUCGCCUAAAUAGUGUAUAUUUUUGCAGAAAAAAAUGAAAAUUUGAUUUAAAUAAUUGUUUUCAAGGCUUUUCUGAAAACUAUUAUAUUUUAGCACCUUUAUUAAUAAAUAAAUUCGUGAGAUAAAUAGGUAGUAGAUUAACGUGUUCAAAAUUUUAUUGUGAAGCAUGUUUAUGAAUACCAUGACCUAGACAAAUUUCUUAUACUUUAAACGCAUGUCACGACGAGGAAUAGAAUCAUUCUAUUCCUCGGUGAUUUAGUACACAUUUUUUAUAGUCUUUUCAUCCUUUGUCCACACGUUGUAAAGUUUUACUACAUUAAUAUAACUUACUAGUCAUCUACAGCUGGGAUCAAAGAGUCAGCCGUGGAUAGGAGAAAACAAAUCCUACACUUGAUCAUUUAUGAAAAAAUAAAAAUAAAAAGGUGAAGCAAUUAUUAAAUAUUUAAUAAGACUUUCUUACUAGUGCCUGAAAGGCACUGAUUCAGGCACCGGUUAAUCAAUUCCCACGUCUUUGAUUUUGAAAAAGGUAAAAUUAAUCCAAAUUCUUCUAAAUGCAAGAAGAUUGGAAAAUAAUUUGUGAUUAUAAGGAUUAAAAUCUUAAAGAACCCACUCAGUACCAUUAAACAAACCUUAAAAAUAUCCUAAACUGACCUGAGUAUUUGUCUCCAGUCUAAGAUAACUCUCUUUGGAGAUAUGAUAGGUAACGCGUUUUUACAACGGUCAAGUUGAGACCGUCCUUCUGAGUAAAUGGAUGCCUUUGAAUCUGAAAGUUCAGAGCAGAUAGUACUUAAUAAUUCAAUAGACGAAUUAGAGGUUUUUCAAUUUCGCUUAAAAUCUUGAGUAGUAGGUAGAGCAGUCUAUUCCCAGGUAUGGAAUCCAAUUACCAAAUACCCCUUCCAUUGCAUAUACUCGAUGUAAGAAACAUUUGGGGAUCUACCGUCUCAAUACCUUAGCCAUAAUAAUUAAAUAAAAGUUGGCUGGGAAGACCAAGUCGUCAAGACCAGCAUGUUGGUGUAGCAUGAAAACAAGUAUAUAACAAUGUUGUAGGAGUGGUCCUAAGCAAUGUUUUCAGAACCGGACCGGACCGGCCGGUUCAACCGGUUGGACCGCGAACCGGACAGGCCAACGGUCCGGUCUAGAGCUAAACCCGGAGAGUAGUCAAGAACCGCUGGAAACCGGAUGACUCGGACGAACCGGAAAAACCCGCUUAGACUGUGAACCGGCGGUUUUUGAAACUUUUCAAAAUGAAUUUCCAAAUUGUAGCCACCAAGAGUCGAACACCAGACCUUGUGUUUGUCGUAAGAAGCCCUUACCACUAAACCAUAGGCAGCGGACAUGAUUAUUUUGUGCAGAUAUCUACUUAAGUUAUUAAAUGAAAAACUAAAAACACCCAAAGCCUAAGAUACAUCAAACUUAUUUCUUUGUAUAUAAAACAUAUAUAUAUAUAUAUAUGCAAAGAUAGUAAUAAUUGUUAGUAUAUGUAUAUAUAUAAUAAAUUAGGUGUAUUAAAUGUGUUAGGACAACCGUUAAAAAAAUCCUUUAAUAAAAUAGCUUUUUCAAAUUAUUUUUUAAAUUUUUGUAGAAAAAUGUACGACAACGAUUUAAUAUGUGUAGAAUAAAAAUAAUCAAGAAAUAAAUUUGUGAAAAAAUUAAAAAUUAAAAAAAAUGACAAUCCAAACAAGAUCUAAUUUGGUAACUAAAUUGAAUUGUUUAGAUAAGUUAUUGUUUUCAAAAAUUUUAAUUACAUCAGAAACACUUGUGCUUUACAUCAUAAAUAUAUUGUUGGUAUAUCUAUGUUUGUUAAUGUACUCCCCUUGAUUAUUAAUGUAAUCCCCUUGAUUUUUUAAUUUGUGAAAAUAAAUAAAAAUACUUAGACUUUUAAUUUCAGUUACAAUCUCACAAUAAAAUAAUGGUUGAAAUGCAAUAAUAGAUAGAAAGAUUGAGUAGGGAUAUUCUUGCUCAAUUGACAUUGUAGACAAGUAUUUAGGAAAAAAAUUGAUAAGUAAUUAUUAUUUUAAAAAAUAUUUAUAAUUACAUUGUACACAUUCGUACUUUACAUCAUGACUCCUUGAUUUUUUUUUAAUUUGUGUGAAUAAACAAAAUACUUAAAAAUUUUAAUUUCAAUUACAAUCUCAAAACAAUAUCGUAGGUAGUAACAUUGAAUAAGGAUAUUGUUACCUAACUGACUGGUAAAUAAAUAUUAAAUAAGGGAAUAUUGAUAAAUAAUUGGGCGUUAAUAACAAUUUUCUAGUGGACAAAAAAUGUGAAUAUGGAGAAUUUUUUUCUUCCCAAUGAAUAUGGACUGAGUGAGAAAGUCAAUUGGCCGAAUUGAAAACACAAAUUUGAAAAAAAUUAAAAAAGAAUUAUUUUUUUAACCCAAAUUAUUUAGUGCUACAACCACUCACUUUUAUCUCAUUUUUUGUUUCUUAUCAAGUUUGCAUUUCUAUUUUCGAUUCUCUUGACUUCCUUCGAACUCCAAACUUUCUUUUUUAAAUUGCAAUCUCUAAAUCCCAAAGGCAUAAAUUAAAAUUUAAGUUUACAAUGUCAAAUCCUCAUAGACGUGAAUUUUGUAUAAUUUCAAAAUAUUGUGAUAUUUUUGGGAUAGAUUUAAGAUUAUUUUGGUAGAUAUAAUUGAAAUUGAAAUGAAAUUUAUUUGUUUUAACUUAUAAUUUAAAAAUUUUAUUUUUGAAAAUCCAAGUUAUUCAAAAAUAGUAAACUUUUCAUCAUAUAAAGUUUUAAAUUAGUCUAUUGCAUGUCUUAUUUUGUGCAUAUAUAUAUUUAUAUAAAUUAUAUUUUAAAAAAUUCAUUGAAUCGAGGUUGAACCGGUCCGACCGGUUGAACCUCGACCUUUUCACUUCACCGGUUCAAUUGACGGUCCGGGUUUUAAAACAUUGGUCCUAAGUAACCAAUCUGGUUGUCCGCCUUUGUAUCAACCUUCUAUUUGCAACCAAAUAUCCUUUCCAAAUCAUAUUAGUAGUAUUCUAUCGUUGCAAUGGCUGAAUUGUUUGUUCCAAAGAUAAUAGGUGAAUUGGGUGAUGUUGCCAUGAAGCAGUUUGGGGCGAAGGUCAACUUGGUGAUGGGGUCGAAGAAGAGGUGGCAAAUAUCUCCUCUAAGUUGGCUACCAUUGAAAAAGUGCUGCAUGAUGCAGAGAGACGAAGGCUGAAGGACAGAAGUGUUGGAAUUUGGCUACAAAAGCUUGAGGACAUAACAUAUGAGAUGGAUGAUGUGUUGGACGAAUAGAACUUCAAGAUUCACAGAGCAAAGAAUGAGGGAACUAAUCAGAAUGCCAGAAUGCAGCCUAUACUGCGGAACAAGGUUUGUUCCUUUAUCCAUCCCUUUGCUCUUGUCUCAAACAAGUUCCUGUGCGUAGCGAUAUAGCUCAGAAAAUAAAGAAAAUAAAUGAACAGCUAAAAUUAGCUUUGAAAGAGACAGAUCAAUUCAAGUUUAUUACAAGUGGGGGGAUUUCUGAUUCUCAUGAUUUUCAGCGAAUUAUGACUACCUCAAUCAUAGACGAAUUAGAGGUCUAUGGUCGAGCAGCUGAUAUGGAGAAGGUUCUUGACCAAAUUUUGUCCAAGAGUAGUAGUCAAGGAAGAGAUGGGGUUCAAAUUAUCUCUGUUGUAGGGGCCGGGGGUAGUGGAAAGACCACACUUGCCCAGCUGCUCUUCAAUAAUGAUAAAGUGAAGAACCACUUUGAACUUAGAAAUUGGACCUGCAUAUCAGAUCCUUUCGACCAGAAAAGGGUCGCGAAAGCUAUCCUUGAGAAUGCUGGAAAAAGUUCUUAUGAAGCAGAGUUGGAUCCGUUGAUCCGACGUAUAAAAGAAACUUUUUCCGGCAAGAGAUUCCUGCUUGUCCUAGAUGAUGUUUGGAUAGAGGACGACUCAAAGUGGAAACCUUUCAAAGACUCUCUUAAGGAUGGGGCUCCCGGAAGUGUAAUCUUGGUAACGACAAGGAGUCAUAGAGUGGCCACAGUGGUGGGAUCGACUGAUACUCACGACCUAGGCAUGAUCUCUCACUCUGAUUGUUGGUUAAUAAUGCAAAAGAUAACGCUUGCUAGAAAAUCAGGAGACUUAUGCAAGAAGGUGGAAAGAAUUGGGCAGAAAAUUGCAGAAAAGUGCAAGGGGUUGCCACUUGCAGCAAAGACUAUGGGAAGCUUGUUACGGUUCAAAGAUACCGUACAGCAGUGGCAGAAUGUUUUGGAAAGUGAGAUAUGGCAAUUGGAGGAAGCAGCUGUGGACCUUUUCCCUCAUUUGUAUUUAAGCUAUAACGAGUUGUCCCCGGAGCUGAAACGUUGCUUCUCAUAUUGUGCUGUCUUUCCCAAAG
rnacentral:lncRNA from 1 species